rnacentral:lncRNA from 1 species
GAUAUUCUUAUAAUAAGAAUAUUUCCUUUAUAUGAUAAAAAAAAACUUUCUAAUGUUCCUGGACUUAAAAUUUGAAUUAAAACGACAAUAUCUCAUGCGAUUAAACCUAACAUUUGGUUUUUUUUUUUUUUGAUAGGUAAAGAAAAGUAGCAUAUAUAAUAAAAAAAAAGGAACACCAAAACCAGUGCUCUCAAAGUAUACAAGAAGUAUACAAUAAAGCCUAAAGGUUCAACCCAAAGGGGAAGGGAAAGAGCAAAAACCAUCACAUGUCCUUAUUUUGAGUCUAACCAAUCAAUGAAGCUAAUAAGAGAAAAAGGGCUUAUAUCUAUAGAAACCCUAGACCAAGACCACAAAUUACAUACAAAUUUUUUUUUCAAUUUUUGGAUCAAUAACUCCUCAUUGUCAAAUGCUAACAAGCUACUUUCUUUCCACACUGCCGAACAUAUACAUAAAAGGUAAACCUAACAUUUGUUUAAUUUCCUCUGUUAGAUUUUCGCUAACAGAAUUUCUCAUGAACAUGUAUUUCUAACAUAUGUACAUGUAAGACCCUUUUUUUAUUAUUCAUUGCAAUUCUAAAUACAUUUUAUAUCUAACCUUCUCAAAGAUGCUAUGAAUAGUCAAAGGUAUUCGUAUUUUAGUAUCAAUACAUGGUUUUUAUAAGCAUAGGACAGAAAAGAGUAUAUCAAAAUACAGGCCUAUGCAAAGGUCAUUAAACAGUAAAUAGAAGGAAGAAACAAAAAACAACCACCUCUCUAAAGUUAGUACCCAAUCAAAUCAGUCAAUAUGAUCUACAUAGACUUCGAAGGCUUUAUUUAUGCACUUUUUAGCCCAAAAGCAAAAAAGUGCACAUUAACAAGGUUUUGAGAGCUUGACCCAAAUUUUCCAAAAUUUUAAACGAUUUCUAAUUUCUUUCCCUCCAAGUAAUGAAAAAUAAGCAAAAGGAUAUCACUUGAGUCUUUUCUGUUUCUUCAUCACAAAUGUUUUGUAUUAAUCAAUAAAAUCUCUCUUAUUGAAAAAGACUAUUGUCUAUCUAUGGAAAAUAAAGAAAAUAACAACUAUCAUAAGACCCUAUAGGAAAAAGUAUAUGGUUAUCUGAUUCUUCUUCACCCUUAAAAAGAUCACAUCAAUUUGUCAAGGUUAAUUAUCUCUUUUUCAACUAGUACAAAGUUAGAAUCCUCUAACAAAUGGCUUUCCAAGAGCACCAUUUUCAUCAAGAUGCAUGGAUUCCAAAUUAUUUCCAUAUGAAAAGUUUCCUCAUUACCCCAUUAUAAAUAAGAUUAGAAGGCUUUAACCAUGAAUUUUUCAUCCUUUAAAUUCAAUCCAAAACAACCUAUCCUUUCUAUCCCUCUUUUAUUGAUAUCUCAUGCAAAGAUAGAAUCAAUUUUUCGAGCUCCAUCGUCUCCUUAACUUAUCUUGGUACCUAUGGAUUCCAAAUCGUUUCCAUAGGAAGAGUAGUUCUUCUCCUAGCUCCAAAUAAGAAAAUAGAACUUUGAGUAAGAAUAUUCCAUCCUUUGAAUCUAUCCAAAACAAUAUAUCCUCUUCAUCCCUCUUUACCAAUCUCUUGUGCUCUGCCUCACCACUUCCUAGAUUCCAAUAAUUUUUUUUAUAGACAAAGAUAUAUUGAAUUGAGAAAAUGCCAAAACAAGGGACACACCCUACGUAUAUAGGCAGUAUACAAAGAGCCAAAACAAGGCUUGCAAAAAGAAAGAAAAACCCUAGAGAGAUAAAAAGUUAGCCACUAUAUGCCAAUCACCCAAAAAAUUAAGAAAAGAGGGAGAGUCUAAAUCCAAAAGCUAUUGAGACAUCACUCUAGAAGUGAACAGAAAAAGACGUUCCUCAAACUUUGAUCUGACAACUCUUCCUCUUGGAAUGUUCUUCAGUUUCACUCUCCCCAAAUACACCAGAAAAGACAAAUAGGCAUCAAUCUCUAAACUGCUCUCCUCUUCUUCCUAAUCCCUCAACUUUCCAAUCUAGAAGCAGAUUCGUCAUUGAAGCCGGGAACACCCAUACCAGUCCAAAAUAUGAUAGCGGCAAAGUCCAUGGCUCCCUUGUCUUACCAUAAUGAAUCAGAAUGUGGUCUGACGAUUCCUCACUAUCUUUACAAAGGUUGCACCUAUUGACCAUGGACCAGCCCUUCUUCAUUAACAUGUCUACUGUUAAAAUUUUUCUCCGCACUUCUUUCCAAGCAAAAAAAACAAAUUCUAAGAGGGGCAUAUGAACCCCAAAUCUCUUUGGCUGGGAAUAAAAAGCUAUUCUUAGCCCUUAAGGGCCUAUAAUACGAUUUGACAUUAAACUUUCCCCUCCCAUCGAUCUUCCUAGAUUCUAAUAAUGUAUGAUAGUAUCAUGUGUUAUACAUAUUUCAUAAUUAAAAUAUUCAAUGAUGACAUGUUUUGGAUAAAAAGAUUACAAAAGGUUGCACUUUUUUGUUGUAGAAUACCCUAUAUCAUGCACCAUUUUUUGAUAAGUAAAUAAAAAAAUAUUAUAAUUAUCAAAAAGGGAUACAUAGGAUAUAUAUAUAUAUAUACAACGUUGCCCUAUAGAGAGAACACAAAAAAUAACUAUUUCAUCCCUCGACUAUAUAUCCCACCCAAUAUACAAAAUCAAAGGCAUUGAGCCUUCUUCUAUGUACAAGUUAGCAUGUGACACAGUACUGUUAAAAAGUGUUUUUAACACUUGAACUAACCACUCUUUACUUUUGAACACUUUUUUAUUUUUUUUCCUUCUAAAUUAUUUUAAAAUUACAGAGAAAAAACGUUCUUCAAACCAUACACCAUAAAAUUUUAAAAGCAAAUUACAAUUUAGGAGACAAACUCAGUUCAAAAUUGUGAUAAAAAUUCACUAAUUGCAGGAUGUCUGCCUCAUUUCCGCAUGGCAUCAAAAGUAGCUAAAUCUAAGAUUUGUUUGACUUCCCUAAAUUAGCCAACAUGGUUUUUACAAUUGAUUACAACAUUUGGCAGCUGGUAAUUACUAUUCCAGCCGAAAUAAAGUCUUAUUACCUUUUUCCACAUCGUUUGUCACUUCUUUUAUUAAUAGGCUGGUAAAUGUUGAGUGGAGGAAGAAAAAAAAAAGAAAAUUAUAAAAAAUAAUAUAUAUAUAUAUAUAUAUAUAUAAAUACUUUUUUUUUCUAAAAUCACUUUUUUUAAAUUGUUAAAUAACAAAAUUUUUCAUAUAAAUAAGAGGAAGAUGUUAUUUUGAUUACAAGUUUUACUAUUCGUUAAUGUUACAAUUUGUGAUUAGUGAUGGAAAAAAAAGGUAAAAAUAAAAAGUAUUUAUUUUUACCACCAAUCAUUACUCGUUAAAUAAGUAGGGGUACAAGGUAUGGUUAAAAUAUCAUUUCCCAAUAGAAAUCCCAUGGGGAGGUGCUAAUGAUUGAUUUUUACAUUAUUUAAUCGUUAGCCAAUUUAAUUGAUAUUAUUAGUAUAUUCCAAAAAAAAUUAAGUUCUAAGACAUUAUUUAACAUGAUGCUAGAAUUAUAAAUCCUAGGAGUCUUAGCUUCCCUUUCUAUUUUAUAUCAUGUAUAAGAAAGGUUGCAAGUAAAAAGGGAGGUGACUGUUAUUUAGCAUCAGCAUCCAUCAUUGAUUAAUUUCUAAUUGUUUAACUUGUUAGAGAAAGCAAUGAUUUAACAUGACAUUAGAAUUUUAAUUUUUAACAAUCUCAAAUAUAAGUUUGCAUGCAUUCCAUCACUUGUGUAAUUUAUGAUUGAGGGUCCAAUAGGGUGGGAUUCUGAUUUUUAACCCUUAGCAAACACAAAUCAGACAAAUUGUUAGUUCUUACUUCAAACCUUUGAAGGAUGCAUUAGUUUCACAAUUAUGAAUAAAUUGGUUUCCACUUACCAAACUGGUAACAUGUUUGACUCCAUUGAGCAUUUUGAACCAACCGGGUCCCUCUUGUAACCAACCCUCUACCUAUAACACCACUUUUUAAAUUGCAGAGGGAACAACAAACGAUAUUUAAUCUGGUUAAAAGGAAACCCUAAAGCGUCAUGACAUAAAAUAGUGGAUCAAAAUGUGGACAAACAGAAUCACUACUUUGCACUUGAUAGUUUCGUUCAAAAAUCACCCACCUUAAAAGCAUGGGAUCAAUGAUGAGCAUUUUGAGGAAAGGGUCACCUUCGAAAGGAAGUAUACCAUUUUGCUAGGGCUGGUGAACUAGAAAGGAUGGGUGGAGACCCGAGAACUCACCUUAUCCCAGUUUAGUACCCGGUCAACAAUGAAAUGAUAAGUGAUUCUGUCCAAAUUACUUCUUUGUGUUUAGGAAGAGAAGACUUAAGAAUGGUCAAAGGAAAUGAAGUAACCUUUGGUGGGGUGGUCUCUAAGAGAGUAGUCAUAUGGUUUAGCUAGCUAGUUCUUGGUGGACAAACAUUCUGCCCAGCGGGAUGGUUAAAUCAGCUCUCUUAUAACAACCUUAGCAGAUAGGAAAGAAAUUACAGGUUGUUUUACGUAGACUCCUAGUUAGAAUGAUCCUGUAAAGAAGACAACUUCUCAUCAUCUAUUCAUAUUUUCAUCAUCUUACAAAAAGUUGAUGUUUCGAAGGAAGAAAAAAUGUUGCAUCAACUCCCAGUCAAAUGCAUAAGCUCAAAGUCUUGAAAAUGAAGAGUUGUUUCUAAAAAUAGUUUUCUAUUCUGAACAACAGAAAACUGGUUUUCAAGUUAACAGUUUUUUUAUAGAAUACAUUUUUUUUAAGAACUUGUUCUGGAAAUAGGUGUUUUUUAUAAACAUAUUCUAAUUGUUUUUUAUUGUUAUUAUUUUAAAAGGUCAUAAUAAAAAUAUGAAGAAUGACUAAAAACAAACCAUUACAUAUAAGAGUUGUUUUUAAAAAAUAUUUGAAAAUACAAAAAACAAGUAAUGAACAUUCUAAGUUUUCAAUCAGACUUUUGUUUUAGAAAACAUUAUAUAACUAAUUUUUGAAAACUAUUCUGGGAACCAUUUUUUAAGAGUUGUUUUUGAAAACAUUCUCAAACAAAUCAUAGGUUUCUAGGUUUGCAAAUGAGGUGUAGUUUUAAAAAAGGUGAUGAUUGGUUUUAUUGGAGGUAUUCCUUAUGUUAUAUGUAAUUAUAUUGGAUUAUAAUCAGUACAUGACAGUUAAUGGUUUCGCUUUCAAAUAUUGAAGGGCAAGAAAUCUUUCAGUAAUUUACAUCAUCUGAUAAAAAGAAGUAAGCCUAGAAUAUCCUAAGAAGAAAAGCAAAACAAGUCGGACAACCGACGGUCACUACAAAACCAAGCCAAAACAUCACUAAAUAGUCAAUGUUAAAGUUUGUAAUAAACAAUGUUUCAGUAAGCUAAUACUCUAACAGAGUUGACACCACUCUAGGGCAUUACUGUCUACAGUUACUAUAUCCUUUCACAUUGUUGUCAUCCUUCCACACUACUCAUAAAAGUGAUCACAAUCUUCUAUGUUACAAUAUAUAGGCAUUCUUCCCAUUCUAUUCAUCUUGUGAUAUGCCAUUACUCAUUAUUUUCAUCUCCAAAACUUUAGGACUAUCCUCUAAGACAAGUGGCCAUAAUUAACAUCAUUAUCCAGCCUCCAAACUGAGACCAAGGUUGAAGAUUCAAGCAGGCCCGAAACUUUGUUUGGUUGUUGAAUCAAUAGUGAUGAGGUUUUCUUUGAGCUUCUCUCUUGCAAUUGAAUCAUUCCCUUAAAAAGAAUGGAAUCAUACAGCAUGGGCUUCACAAGUGUAAUUGAUGCAUGGGGUGCUUUAAUGGCAACAGAAACAAAUCCUACAAUCAUUUGCUGUUUUAUCCCGUCAUGACAUGAUAACAAAAAGGUUAAUUUGUUUUUCAUGAGACAACUCUAUCUGUCACAAGUUGGAUUUAAAAUCAUCCCAAAACUAAUUCAAACCUAUGUUUAAAGAUAGAGUAUAAUUCUUUUUGAAACAAACAUGCCUUUAAAGAUUUUAUUUAGUAGGUUUUACUAUUUCAGACAAUUGAAACUGGAAAUAUUUUAAUUUGACAGGAAAUAAACGAUAGCAAAAGAGAUGACAAAAAAAUUACAUUGGAACAAGCAGGCCAAAAGGAAAAUGAAGCAAGGGCAAGGACACUAGAGGGGAACAACCUCUAAACAAAUCAAUGUCUAGAUCAUUUUGAAUUCAACUAAGGUGGAGAAAGUCAAGCUCAACAAGCACUGAUUACUGCACUCACAUAAGUAGGAAUAUAGUGGAGGUUCAUGGAGUCAUGAACUAAAAUGAAAUGGGAAGCAAAGACCGGGAGACCUCAUAAGAGAGUGAGAAAGUGCAUGUGGCAGGAGAGUCGAAAGCUAAAAAAUGGCUCUAGAUAAAGUGGAUUGGGCAAAAAUGAUUCCUGUAGAGUCCAUGUAGAUGGAAAAGGAUUGCCAAUUCAAGUUAAGUUUGAUGCUAGACAACUAGUGAAUUUAUGUAAAAUCAGCAAACAUCCACAUAUCAAAUUCACCCAUGUUAAUUGUUGUAUUCAACAGCUUCAUAUUGCUCUUAGUGUAACAUUUUGAAGGAUUAAACAGCUUCAUAUAUGUUCUUUAAAUAUGGAAAAAUAAAAUAAAAUAAAAGGAACUUUUAUUCCCUUACGAGUUUAAACUAUUACAGGGUCAUUUUUCUAGGUCAAAGUAGAAUUUGGAAUUCCUAAUCAAACUAUAUAAAGUCAUAGAUCUAAGGGCCAAAGUUUUUAUCCUAAUUUAUAGUCCAGUAUAUAAAUAAAAACUCUGUCACGAAUAAAAACUUUUAUUAAGCAUAAAAAAGUGUUUUUGACUUUCAAAAUAUCUAUUCAUUCUGAACUUUCUUAUGCUAAGUGAUGGCAAUGCCCUAGCCUAAAUGACCUCUACAUAGGUGGAAGUCUAAGCCUCUAGGCUACCCACACAAGGAUGCAAGGAAAGAGUUCAAUUACUUCACUCUAAGGGGUAAAGAGGCUGAAUCUUUUGACAAAAUUUCAGUGAGGUAGAUGAAGGAGUUCCCUUGUGACUGGUUCAGUUAGAAUUCUACUUUUUUUCCUUCCGUGUAGCCCCAAAAAAAAUGACAAAAAGGGAAAGGAGGGGAAGAGAGCUUGUAUAUUUUUUCUAACUACAAGGAUGAAAUUUCCUUUUCUCGCAAUGGAAAUGAAGAAAGAAUAAGGAUUGAUUCUGAUUGGGUCUUGGCAACUUGGCAACCAAGAAGUUGCUGGUCAAAGGUUUAGACCAAUUGCAAUUCAUCACCAUCUGGCCGACUUUCUUCUUGAGGCAGAAGUAGAGAAGCAACCAUCCAUAUCAAGUGCACUCCCUCUACUCAAUUACACUCUUAAUCAAGCUGGUAAAGGGAAUUUAUAUAUCCUUGGCCAAUCUACAAAUUCAUAGAAGUUAGUUUUACCUCCAUGAGUAAUCCUCAAGGCUACUUUCCUAGUAUUAACUUCUUGAUGGUUGACACUAAUAAUAAUACGCCUGUGGGAGGAAUGAGCAUGUUUCAAGUGGUGUGUCCCGCUCGUGUCUUGCCUUCACAACACCAAUCACUUUGGAUACAUUAGUGAUGUGCCCUGCCCUCACAGCACUAGAUGCUUUGAAGUUGUUCGGGGAUAUUUAUUUGGUGAGAUAUGAAGGGUUUCACGGAGGUGAUGAAGUACUGUACACAUGUGAAAAUUACUUUGUUCAAUUUGAGACGAGGAGGGUAGCAUCAACAUGUAGGAAACACAUCCGCAUGUCAAUAUAUUUUCACCUCUUUAUUGGCAAAUGGGGAUUCCAACAGUCGAUUUUCUUUCAUGAAAACAUAGUUCACUCUACACCCAAUAAGUCCUCAUAAUUUUAAAAUGCGCUUACAUGAUUAAAAUGAGCUCAUAUAAUAUCUACAUGGAAGAAAUGAUAUCAAAGUCAAUGUUCAACCUCGGCGUGGGACUCUGUUUAACUUGGGUGUUUCUCCAUUUGAGUGCCCCAUAAUCUCGUAGGACACAAUAAAGGCAUAGUAUCUGCACCUCUAAUGAGUCCUCCUCACGGUUUUAAAAUAUAUUUAUAUGAUUAAGAGGAACUCAUGAUAUCUACAUGGAAGGAACGGUAUCAAAGUCGAUUCUCAACCUCAAUAUGGGACUCUGUUUAGCUCGAUAAGGGUAUUUGUUUGUUUGAGUGGGCCCAAAAUCCCGUGGGACCCAAAAGAAUGUAGUAUUAAUAUGGGGUUAACUAUGAUAUAUUAUAUCAAAUUAGAAAAAAUGUUCAUGACACUACAUACGUAUGAGUUCUUCUUAACUAUAUAAAUACGUUUUAAAGUAAUGAAAGCCUAUUGAAUUUAGAACAAGCAAUAUAAUUGAGAGCAGAUUAGAUUGAUUACACACAUGUCGCUUAUCAUAACAGCUAGACUUCCAGUCCCUUGUAAAAGGGUCCCUAUGGUCCAUUUGUGGGAAAUCCCUUAUAAAGAAGUCCUUGUGGUCCAUUUGUGGGAAAAUAUUAAAAAAAACAAACCACAAAAGAAUUUCAACCUCUCAAAUUGAAGUAUUUGCAUGGGAUUUAGCCAUCUUCUCCAAUCUUCUCUUUCUACUCAACCUAAUUACUCUCCCCUCAAAUCUAGACACCAUACUCAUGGCCGAUCUCUUCCUACCAAAAAAUUUCCAAUUAAACAUUCGAUGAGAGAUUAAGAAUAGCAUUUAAAAUAAUGGCAGUUAAACCUCAACUUGAUUUCUAGAAUAAAUAAAUUAUAUAUUCAACAUAAAAUGUGAUUUUUUUUUAGUGUGAGCAAAAUUCCUUUGCUUUAACCCCCUCAAGCUUCACUCAAAAGCUAUGCUUCAACCACAUAAACUUAAUUGAUCCCCAAUGAUUACAUAUCAAAAGUACAAAGCCAAUAUUUGAAAGAUGCUCUCGCAAUUUUUUUCAGGCAUCUAUCCAACAAAUAAGAGUCAAUAAAAACACUCGAAAGAGAAGAGGACCAACAAAAGAAAACACCUUCAACAAAAGAAUCCACACCAUUGAAAAAAGAAAAAGAGAGAGAAAAAGAAAAAUCACAAAAUGCAAGGUUUUUCAGAUCUUUUCUUUUUCUGAAGAAUCAUAUGGAUUCUCUAACCCAGCUGCAUGUUGAUUAAACAUCAUUUAAUCACAUAUUAGGACAUUAGAUCCAUAGUAUAAAAAGAGAAACUUCAGCAAAAACAUCAAGGUUUAGUCAUAAGUAUCGCAGAUCUUCCAUUCUCAAAAGGGAAAAAGGUAAAGAAAGAAGGAAACAGAAAAAUAUGGAAGAAAAAAAGGAAAGCAUUACAUAACUGGAUAAGCCAUUUCAAUCACUUUUACAUGAUUAAAUUCUGAACCUGGUAAAAAUAUAAAGGAUCAAACAAUAAUCAAAUGCCAAGUAUGAUUUAAAUAAAGUAACUUCUAAUGGUUUAACUUACACAAUUAAUUUUAUAUCAGUUUUCUUGGCUAUCCACCUAAUUUAUAGUUUGUAGCGCACUAAUUUUUUAUUUAUGUCUGUAAUUAAUUUGAACACAUUAGUAACUAAAUAAAUUCUCAUAGACAAAGACUUCAAGAUCCUUAGGAUGACUCACUAUAUUUAGCUUCCUUUACUGCUUAAGAAUAUGGUUUUUAUUUUUCUUAAAUUAUCUGAUCAAGGUUUGAAUAUUUCAACUGCUUUAUUUUAAGUUCAUAACAGCCUAUAACUUUAUCAGAUAGGUUGAAAAAGUAAGCCUUCCUACGUGCAUGGGAUUUACCCAGUGGGAUUCAGGUAGCCUUUCAUGUGACUUACCUAACCAACUAACUACCCAAACAGAAAACAUCACAAAAGCUCAACAGUGCUCCAAUCCUUUGACAGGUGGUACACUGCGACCACUUUGGUGGUGCUGAUGGGCACCAUAUAAGGUGACAGACAGAAUUGGGAUUCUAAAACCAAAGUUCUUCCAGUCAGGGACUAACACCUGGCCUUGGCAACAGAUGCUACGGAAGGAAGGAACCAAGAAGAGAACCAACAAUGAGACAACCCGCCGAUCCCCAUUCACGGUAAUCCAUGCAAGAAUCUUGAAGGACCAUAAUAAAAAAUAAAAUAAAUAAAAACACCAAUAAAAUAAAGCCCAAGACCAAUAGUUAAAAGGCUUUUAUAAUACCAAGAAAGCAAGCAAACAAUUAAGGUAGUGGCUUAUGUAACACCCGUAAAUCCAAAAAGCACUCCGAGAAACUACACACUAUAGCAUAAUUAUUAAUUAUAGACUGAAAACUGGAAACCCAUGGAAAGAAAGAAGCAAAGCUCUACCCAAAAGCGAUGUAAAGAGAUGCAAGGUAACUAAUUUGAAUGGAAAAAUGCGCAAAUCAGAUUAUCAGUGCUUACCAGAAACGAUGUUGAACCGAGAGGAAUGUGCUCUUCCAGCAACUUAGUUCUUUCCUUUUCCCUUCUGGUCUGAAUGCCUGCUUCCGUCGCCAUAGUAGAGUUGCAAGCAGCCAUCAAAUCCAGGUGGAAAUUGAUGAUGGUGGUGAUGAUUCUCCACAGGAGCAGCGCCCAUGAAGAAAGGUAGAUUUGAUCCGUCUAUAGGAGAAAACCUCUGAAGGUGAGGCAACAGAGACGGAGAAUUGGACUGAAGGGUCCCCCUAUUGAAACCAGCAAGGCCGGAAGAGAUUGUAAAGUUGAGGUUGUUGUCACUACCACCGGGUUGCGAAGUCGCCACCGGGAUAAGAUGGUCGGGAACAAAAGAAAAAUGCUGCAGCUCCGGAUGAUGAUCGCCAGCCACAUUGAACGGCGAUUGCGGCAGUGAAUUUCCCAAGUGGAUUUGUCCAGCAAAUCCUGACGAGUGAUUGGUCCGGGACGAGGAUGACCCGAGAAAUCCCGGGCCAAUGUAAUCCAUAGUGGAAGUCCACUGUCUUGUCAUCUUGUGAAACAAAUUGGGCUCGCCACUGGGGUUGUGCUGAACUGAAGUCGCGUUAUUGCUAGCACAGCCAAUACCCCCAGUGAGUAGUUCUGUGAAAGACGAGCUUUGGGGAAUAGGGUUGUUCACAUUGUGAGGGUGGGCAGCACGGGAUUCAUUUUCUUUCUCCUUCUCCUUCUCCUUUGCUGCUCUCUCCCUUGCUCGUUCACGGGCUUUCACACGGUUAACGCGGAUCUCAGAUCGCGAGAGAGACAACCCUGAGCCCUUGCUCGUCUCUGAAGUGCUACUACAAGCAGAUUUCGACAAAGAAAUAUGCUGUUGGGGAUGCUGAUGCUGAUAAUUGUGCUCGCCUUCUAAGUCCACCGAAUCAAACCCUUGUUCAGUGCCAGGGCUCGGUCUUUUUUCAUCGCUCAGUUGCUUCGGUGUAUCAGGAAAUGAACUAUUCAGCGAAGGGAGCUCGGCAAUAGCAUCUGAAGCUGCUUUAAUCAACCACUCCACAGCUUUACUGGGCUGAUCAUAACCCAACCGAUCUUGAAGAUCAUAGAAUUGUAUCGCGGUGGUGACUGAAAGCCGAACACGCCGGUCCCUUAGCCCUUUGGACGUCAAAACCUUACUAUGCCUAUCCUUGCCGCCGGAAGCUCGAGAUACCCUAAAAAUCCGAGAGUGGUGCCAAGCGCGAAGGCGACCACCAUCGCUUCCUCCACCACCUCCCCUUUUAAUUUCUCCAUCUUCCUCGUCAUCUGGGUAUUGAUCUCCCCCCUUUUGACCUAUCUUGGUUAAAUCAUUUCUACCAUUACCAACCCUGGAAAACUUACACGCCUGCGUCUGAAUCUCAUCCACCUCCAUAGCACUUUCAUACCUUUCACCAAGAAAACCAGCACAAGAAGAAGACCCCUUUGCCUUGCUUCCUAUUAUGACUUUGUCUACCUCGUUGCUUCUAGGGAUAGAGAGAGUUUAGAGAAACAAAGGGGUGGCAGUUGGAGUGGUGGGAGUGCAGGUGGGGUGGUGUGUCCUUUGCAUUGAUGACGAAUACUCAGAAGUACUUUGGCUGUGUUGUGAUAAAAAGGCCUUUUUUUACGGUUCGAUAUAUCGCAGUCCAAGCCGGAAAUGUCAGCACUCUUCGUUUAAGCUUUUUGCAGUGCUUUCAAAAGCAAAGCCUGAAAUGUCUCAGACUCACUCAGCCCCUGCGAACCUAAGAGAGAGAAGCAUCGGAUGCUUAAUACGUACACUGUUUUAACACUAACAUAAACACAUCCCCACACCCAUUUUAUCAACAUCUCAUUUGACUUAGGCCUAAAGAUCUGUUUUUAAAGAUAAUCAGCUUUGGAAAAGCGAAAAAUAAAAGCUUACUACUUCUCACCUUGAUCUGAUGAGCUUUUUUCUGCUUCAGAUUUAAGCUAUAUAGCCUGCAGAGUCGGCAAUUGCGUACAGGUCGCCGAUCUAUGUCUUUUUUCAACUCCUUCGAAUUUAAGGCUUUCAAUGACCUAAAAAUGGCACACAUUACAUUACUACUGUGCCCAGAGGAAAGAAAACAAUAAUCAUAAAAUAUACAUCGUUUCUGUUUUCUAAAUUACAGACACCAAAUCUUCAGCAAUAUUGACUGCGAUUUUGAGGUUUUAAAUUAUGGUAAAAAUGGCUGAACACUCUUUUGUUUUUCCUAUGGUUUUCUUUGUUUUCAAUGCGAACUAGAAAACACGGAUCUGUGCUCAUCCUCCACAUGGAUCUGUCGCUCUGAAGAACAAUUACUGUACAAACCGAAACAAAAUUUCGAGUAUUCGUAACUCAAAAUACGCAAAACAGCUCCAUUUCAAAAGCUUAAAAAAAUUGAACCAAAAAAUUUUGUUUUAACCUGCGAUUUCCAGUUCCUACGCAGCAAAACAAAGAAUCAAACAUUAUUUGAAGAAUGACAGGUGGGAAUAAGCUCCAUUUCAGAAAAAAAAAAUUUAAGGAAAAAAAGGCAAAGAAAAUAAAAAGGAAAAAAACCAAACAAACAACGAACGAUAUGGAGCCGGAUCGGAGCGGUUUCAAAACGAGGAGACAAAGAAGACCUUCUUCGGAUUUCGGGAAGCGAAGUUGGCGUGCGGUUGUUUCCUACGGUUGCGAAAGCAGUCUUCUCAGUAGAAAAAGACUCUCUCUCUCGAACUCGCUAUGUAUCGCUAAAAAUGCACUAGCACUUGUUCAACUCCUCGUCCCCUCCCACUAGUCCAAGCCUUGAAAACACCAAAACCGCCAUUAACGAAGCUCGAAUUCACCUGAAACUGAGCUGAAUUGCGACAGAGAUUGAAGGAAGUCGUGGAUGCGUGUUUCUCUCACUAGAACUGAUAUUUCUUUUUCUUGCGUUCCAGUUUUAAGAGAGAGGAAGAGAAAGAGAGAUGAGGAUUGUUUGGUGGCUGAGAAAAUGAAAUCCAAGUGUACAGGAAUUUUUGAGAAAUCAAGAUACGAAGAGAGAGAAAGAGAGCUCGCGGUUCUAUGCCCUAAGGCUUCACCAUUCGAGCAAUCACCGGGCUUAUCGGGAAAGGACAGACACAGCGCCGUUCCCACUUUAAAUAUGUCUCUCUCUCCCAUUUGCCCCUCUCUCUUUUCCAUUUUACUCUUUUGCCUCCUUUCCUUCAUUUUUACUUCCCUUCUCUUUUUUCUCUCAUAUUUUACUUCUUACGCCCUUUUUCUUCCCGUAAACAAACAAUCAAAGGAUGCUUUGUUUUCUAUUCAUAAGUAACCCAUCCCUUCACCGUAUGGUUAAUUUUUAUAUCAAAUUAUGUUAGGUGCUUCUUAUUAUUCUUUAUUUCUUCAAAAAUCAAAUGAUACUACUUUAAGUACGCCAUAUAAUUUUUUUUUUCUAAAUAUUUUUAAUGAAAAUCUUUUCGUUUUAAGUGUUUUUUAAUUUUUAUUCAAACACCUUUUUAAAAAAAUAUUUUAUAUAGUAUAAGUGAUUUCUAAAAUUAUUGUUAAACAAACUCUAAAAAUACAUUUGAUAGUAUUUUCAUUCAAAAUAUUUCUAAUAAAAGUAUUUACUCCAUAAAUGUCUUCUAAAGAAUUAUCGAGUUGGAUAUUUCUUUAAAAAAAAUGUCAUUAUUCAACUUUUUACGUUUCAUUUAUCGAAUACAAUAGAAUAGGAUAUUAUUAGAUAUUAUAGGGCGAGAAAUGUCUUUAACUCUUAAUUAAAAUAUAUUUCCUUUUGUAAACAGAAUAUUAUAUAAACUAUUUCUUGAGUUUAUAUGUAAUUAUAAUUAGAUUUGUUAUUGAAUAAAGAAAACUGAUAACAAUAUCUUUAUAAAUACUUUUAAGUCAUGAAAAAAAAAAGAAUGUAAAGAUUAUACGGGGUGAAUAGAAAUGAGACACUCAAGACUGGAUAGUUACAUUUAUUUUUUAUAUAGUGGAAUAUUAUCUCUUUCAUUUAGUCUGGAUGAUUGGUGAAUCACAUUAAAACCUCGCAUACCUUUAUGUGUAAAUUAUUUUAUUUUUGUACUUUUUUCAUUAAUAUGUCUAUAUUAAAACUUCCAUUGACACAAUAAAUUGUAACAGAGCCUUGUUGAAUAUGCCUAGAGGAGCCUUGGUUGAAUAUGUUUGAAAGAAAGCCUUAAUUGAAGACAUGUAGCUAUUUCUUGAAAAUGUUUGGAAGGUCAUUGGUUGAAGAUGUCGGGAAGAUCAUUGGUUGAAGAUAUCGGGAGAACCUUAUUUGAAGAUUAUAGGAAAAGCAAAGAAAAUAAAACACAAAAGAGAAUUACAAAAAAAAAUUUCGUUCAAGGUAAAAUCAGGUUUUUUUUUCAUAAAUGACACAAGAAGCAAGGAGAUUGUAAUAUAGGGCAAGACCAGGGUGCAUGAAAUAAUAUGUAAAUCAUAGAGAGAUGGAAAAUUGACCUAAUAGAAUUUGAUUCAAAAUGAAGACUGUCCGGAGGUGUUUCAAAUUCCUGAUUGGAAUGUACUUAUUUUUUCAUAAAAAAUAGUAUUAUAUAAAAUAUUUUAUAAAUUUAAAUAUGAUUGUAAUUAGCUUUCUUAUCAAAUAAGAAAAAAAGGAAAAUGAGUUUUGUCUCACUAACAUAAAAAUAUAUGGAAAAAAAUAACCCUAAUUUUUUUUUUAUAAAUUUGGGAGAAAAUAUUACAAGUCUCGAAAGGAAAAGGUUAUGAGAGGAAGAUGAUUUAUAAGGACUAUAGAGUGGGUAACGUAAAAUGUUUCAAGUGGAAUGUUAUUUAUAUUAUUCACAACAUUUUUUAUUAUAUAAUAGAAUGUUAUCUCUCAUUUGUUAAAGUAAGCAUGAUUGGUGAACAACAUUAAAACCUUUUGUGUCUUUACGUGCAUAUUGUUUUAUUUUGUAUAUGUUGAAUUUUUUGUUGGCACAACAUUAUUUAUGAUCAAAUGAAAUAUGUGUAUCUUAAGAAAUCAUAUUCAUGGUAUAUAAUGUACUUUAUAUUAAAUUCAAUUAAAUAUUUUAUGCCAUAUUUGUAUUUAUUUUAUAAAAAAAUAAAAAAUAGAAUGAAAAAACAUAUUACAUUUAAAUGUUUGACAUUUAUUUUUAAAAAAUUAUACUACAUAUUAAUACUUGAUACUAAAAAUAUAUAAAUCUAUCUUAUAUUUAGUAUUAUUUGAAAAACGUUUUACAAUUCAUGUGAUAUAUUUAUCUUUUUUAUAUAUACAAGUUUAAUAAAUUUAAAUUUUGAAGAUAAAAAGUGCACCCACUUUUUAAAAGAUGAGUUUAGGAUAAAUAGGAGAAAACGAUCCAAAUGUUGUCAAAAGUAUUAGAGGCAAAAGUUUUUUAAAAUAAGUUUUCUGUUAUUUAAAUAAAAAAAAUAAGAAAAUAUAUUUGAUAACAAAAAACUAUUUUCCAUUAAAAAUAAAAAAUAUAAUAUUUUCAUCUAAUAUCUUUUAAUUAUUUUUUGUUGUUUUGUUUAAAUAAUAAUUAUACAAACAUGUAAAAAAGAUUAAAAAUAAAAUAUUAAAUAUAAAAAUUAUUUUUAAAACAUAUUAAAAAUAUUUUAGGUUUCAAAACAUAUUUUUAUUUUAUAAAAUAUCAUAUAACAGUUUUUAAAAAUAAUUAUCAAACAUGCAUUUAAUUUUUAAAUAACUAUGUUUUUAUAAUUUAUUUUUCUAAGAAAAAAAUCCCAAGUCUACGAGCUACAUCUACCACAGCCAUUAAGAGCGUAGCUCAUAUCCUAUUUAUAGCCUUCACCCAACAACUUCACCCCCAUUCAAUUAUUGCUCUGCAAUGCUGCUGUUAUUGCUGCAUAAAUUAAAUUUUCAAUUAUUAUUAUUAUGAGUAAUUUAAAUUUUCAUUUGUUUUCUGACAAAACUCCAUUGUUUCCAACUUUCCAUCCAUAGACACAUUACAAUGGUACCAAAAGUUUAAUAGCUUUUAUAGACCAACAUGCCCCGUGGUUACAGCUCACAACCAUUAUUUGGAAUUGAAUGAUUCGUCUAUUUUUGUGUCCUUAAUUAAUUUUUAUUUAUUCUUGGUGCAAUCAUUGAUUGGGAGAAUAUAUAUAUAUAUAUAUAUACUUUUAUUUAUGGACUUUAGAAAAUUUAGACAUGUUUGGAUGACCAGAAUGAAAAAGGAGAAUAAAAAAUAAUUUUAAUUUUAAUGAAAAAUUUAUAAUCUUUUUUAGUUUUAUUUUUGUUUGCUAUAAGAUUUUAAAAAUAUUUUUUAAAAAUUUAAAUUUAAAUAUGGAGCAUUGUGAAAUUACGAUUUUAUAUCAUAAAGUUGGAAUUAAUUCCAGGUCUUAAAAACAACGUGGUGGACACUGUAGAGAUGGAGACUGUAGAGACGGGCAGUCGAAAAUCAAAGAGGACACACCAACCAAAUGUCCAAAUCAGUCUUUAAAAUAGAAAAGGCCAUGUGUGGGCAUAAAAUUUAGCCCUACACUACCCACCUGGCUCCUUCUCUCGCACAUAUUUUUUUCUCCUCCAUGCUACACGCUGGAAUCUUCUCUUAAAAUCCGCCAGGACUUAAAAUAAAAAUAAAAAAUAAAAAAAAAUUCAAAUUUUGAAAAAAUAGGAUGAGUGAGAUAAGAAGCUUUAUCUUUUGAAACACAACUUUGAUUUAAGUAGUGAAAUUGUCUUAUGAUUUAUCAUUAUUCUGUCAAAAAGGGGUCAUGAUUUGAAUUGAUCGUGUUAAUGUUAAAAAUUAGAGACUUUAUUAAAUAUGUUAAAAAUGUAAAUUUAAAUACAAUUUAAUUAUUAAAAAUUGAAAAUAUGUCAUGUAACCUAUUUAUCUUAUUUGAUAAAAUUGAUGUUAUUUAAUAAUCAAAUCAAGUUAGAUUUUGUAUCAAUCUAUAUAAUUUAUAUGUUUAGAACUUGAUUGUAAUUAAUUAAUUUAAAAUCAAAUAUUAAAUAAGUAAAAAAUAUAGAAUCUAUUUAGUCGUGUAAUUUUAAAAGAGUUUUUUUAACAAUUUUUAAAAACAAAAUAAAAUAGAUAAGAGAUUUUAGAGAAUAAAUAGACAUUGUUUUCAUCAACUUUAAAAAGCAAAGAGAAAAUAUGAGCUCUUUUGACCAUGUUUCUUGAAACUUGUUUUUAAAAACAUUUUGUUUGUAUUUAAAAAAUGGUUUUUAAUACCAAAUUUCAAAAAACAUGACCUAACAACCCAUAAGUAGGUUAAAGUUAUAUUUAGAUUUAUUAACAUGAUUGUUAAAUAGGUCCAUUUGUAUUACAUUGGUGUUACAUGUAAAGUCUAUUAAGAUUUUAAACCUAGUAUUUCUUUAACCUAUUUACUUUAUUUAAUAAAAAUGAUGUUAUUUAAUAAUCAAAUCAAGUUAGAUUUUAUAUAAAAUCUAUAUAAUUGAUAUGCUUAUAACUUGAUUUUAAUUAAUUAAUUUAAAAUCAAAUAUUAAAUAAGUAAAAAUAUAUAGAAUCUGUUUAGUCGUGUAAUUUUAAAAGAGUUUUUUGUUUUUAAAUAAUUUUUAAAAAUAAAAUGAAAUAGAUAACAUAUUUUAGAGAAUAAAUAGAAGUUGUUUUCAUAGGCUUUAAAAAACAAAAUAAAAACAUGAACUCGUUUGACCAUGUUUCUUGAAACUUGUUUUUAAAAACAUUUUUUAUAUUAAAAAAGCAAAUUUUAAUACUAAAUUUUUUUUAAAAAAAAGACCAAACAGCACACAAGUUAAGUAGGUUAAAGUUAUAUUCAAAUUUAUUAACAUGAUUGUUAAAUAGGUUAAUUCGUAUUACAUUGGUGUUAUAGCUAUAUAAAACAUGUUUAGGAACUGUUUUUUAAAAUAGUUUUUUGUUUUUCAGAAUAAAAAAUAUAAAAAAUAUGUUUGACAACAAAAAAACUAUUUUUAAUUUUUAAUUUUUUUAAGAAAAGAAAACAUAGUAUUUUUGAAGAAUUAUUUUAAUUAUUUUAUAUUAUUUUCACUUGCUUUGUGUGAGCUGUUUUAAGAAAUAGUUACACAAAUAUGUAGAACAACUAAAAAUAAAAUAUUAGAUAUAAAAAUUAUUUUUAAAAUAUUAAAAAUAUUUUAAAUUUUCAAACAAAUUUUUGUUUUACAAAAAUCAAAUAAUAAUUUUUAAAAACUAUUUUUCAUAAUUAUUUUAAAAACGGUUAUCAAACAAACUCAUAGAUUUUUAUAAAUUUGCAUGUAUUGGUUACACCAAAUGACGGACAUGUAUAUGGAAAAAAUUGAAAGAAAAUAUAAAGAAAAAAUAAAAUAAAUAAAUAAAUAAAGUAAAGUAAAGUAAAAAAAAAAAAACUAAUUUAAAAUUAAUAAACUAUUUAUAUAUAUAUUUCAAACUCAUUUAACUUAUUUCACCCAUUUUAUACAAAUAUUAAACAAUUUAAAAAUAUAUAAAAUUUUAAUUUUUUAUUUCCUUACUCCUUUUUCAUAGCCAAAGAUAACCUCAAUAAUUAAUUACCAAGAAGAGGUAAGUAUGGCCAAACUUGGAAAUUAAAAAAAAAAUAAAAAUCAUAUACCUUACCUCAAAAGCUUUCCAUAUUUUGUGAGAAACAUAGAGUGGUAGGCAUCACCUACUGAAGGUUACAUAAGUUUGAUUUGAAUUAUAUACCUAAGAAUUGGACCAUUUUGCCAAUAAUUGGUUGGUCCAAACUUAGUAUCUCACCUACUCAUCACUUUCAUCUGUGACAAAUUGAACAAAUUGAGUAUUUGGGUACCUAUUAGCCCUAUUAGAAAACGACAUUUCGCAUAGGACUUGAUGCUUUGCCGGUUGUUACUUCCAUCACGUCAUUUCAUUCCCACUAUCAUUUGUAACUUUUUGUUUUCACCAUUCAACAAAGUUUUGGAUUUAAAAAAAAAAAAAAAAAAUCAUUGUAGAAAUAAAAAUUUCAAAAAUUUGAUAAUUUAGAACACCAUCGAUUCAUAGUAGAAAAGAGGGGGUGGUCUUUGGUAUGCUUUUUUGUUAUAUUAUUGAAUUUCCAAAGUUACUAUCAUUUGAAUGAAGUAUGGAAAAUGCCAAGAAUAUGAUUAUUUAUGAAUAAUAUGAUUAAAGUAUGAGAAAUAUAUUACAAAUUUUUCUUAUCUUUUUAUUUAUUUUUUAAUUUUUAUGUUAAUAUUAUUUUGAAAAGAGAAAAAUAUUGGAGAAAUUUCUUAAUAUUAUUUCAAAUAAAAAUUUGUUUGAAAGUUUAGAAUGUCUUCAAACCUGUUUUUUUGUAUUUUUAAAUACUUUUAAAAUAAUUAUAUUUGUAAUAUAUUUUUUAAUUAUUAUUUGUUUAUAUAUAUAUAUAUAUAUUAAAAAAUCUCAUAUAAAACAAAUAAAAAUAAUUAAAAUAUGUUAUGAUACCAUAUUUGAAAAAUAAGUUCUUGAGAAAUUAUCAAAUAUAUUUUAAGUUUAAAAAAUAAAAAAUAGUUUUUAUUCUUAAAAAUAAAAAUUUUGGUGUUUUUAGAAAAUAUUUUUUUAGUUCUUUUCAUUUGUUUUUAUAGAAUGAUUAUAAAAAUAUGGGUAAUAAUUAAAAAUAAAAUACUAAAUGUUAAAUUUAUUUUUAAAAAUAUAAAAAACAAACUAAGAAUUUUGAAAUAGACUUUUGUAUUAUAAUGUUUUUUAAAAACUAUUUUUAAAAAACACUUUUCAAAUAUAGCUUUAUCUUUUAUUUUUAAGAAUAAAAAGUUGUUUCUAAAAGUAUGGUCAAAAGUUUUGAUAAAUAGAAUAGGGUGGGAAAAAAAAAAAAGGUAAGAGUGUGAAUAAGGGAGAUGAGGGUAGGUUAGUAAAUAGAAGGGAAAAAGGGGGGUUAGGUACAAGGAAAUGAAAAGGAGAGCACUAGGCUCCCCAAAGUGAUGUAAAAAACAAAGGGUGAUCCCCACCACCCAAAUGUCGAGUUGAGAACUCACUAAUCACAAACUUUCGAAAAAGUAGUGUUUUUUGGGGGAAUUAACAUUAAAAAAAAUAAAGGAAGGAUUUUGAGGGCAUUUAAACAAAUAGGGUGUCCGUACGAGUAAUGAUGUGUCUCUUAGCUUCCCUCCAUAUAUUUGUUUAUUUAUUGAAUGAUGGAAGGUAGCGGUCGAUGGGCCACAAGACCCACUGGCCACUACCAUCCCUCUGCUCCCAAACAAAUUUACAAGUAACAACUGAGAGAGGCCAGCUAUUUGGUGCCCUCUUCUUCUCUCCUGCCUCAUGGUGGCAGUGCCACCCCACCCCACUCUUAGGCCUUGUUUGGAUGUCUUUUCUUUUGCUUAUAUCUCCUCCUCAUGAUUCAUGAUUCAUUUCAGCAUGCAUGCACCUUGGAUUUUGAAUUUUGUUCUUAUCCUUUUAUGGCCCAUAAUUCAUGUAUUUAUGUUCAAACCCUCAUAAUUAUUGGAAAAGAGCUUUUCACCUUUUAAAAUUCCUAUAUUAAAAAUUAAUAAUAUUUAUUUAAGUACUCUAUUUUCUAUUUUUAGAAAUAAAAAUACAUAACUUUUUUGUUUGACAAAGGUGUGACAAAAUGAGUUGAGAAGCCAAAAACUCCUUUUUAAGCCUAGUAAGAGUUUUCACCUAUUUUGAUUAAUUUUAUCCAACUUAUGAUUUAAAAAGAAGUUUAGAAAAUGUUUGUUUUUUUAACUUUUUUCUGAAAGUAUUUUACUUAUAAAAUUUAGGUUAUUUAUUUUUCUAGUUUUUUUAUGACUUAUUGUAAAUUUUUAACAUAAUAAAAAAAGUCAAAAUAUUUAAAUUUUUCUAAAUAAAAAAUGAUAUAUUAGUUUUUCUUUAUUUUUUAAUAUUGAAUAAAAAUAAAGUAUUACAAAAAUAAUCAAAUACUUGAUAAUAUUAAGUACUAUUUAGUUUUAAGUUCUAUUUAUAAUUAAAUAAAAAAAACAAACAUUGUCUUAGUAUGAAAAGUAAGGAAUUGAUUCUUGUUGUAUGAGCUCUAUUUUGAGUUCUACAAUUUUUAUUUUUUAAAUGUUUAAUAAUUGCGUUUUAAAAAUUACGAUAUUGGUUAACUUCCAACUAAAGCCAAAAAUUAAAAACCAUCCCAAGCCAAGCCUUAAUAACUCGAAGGAUUUAGUUUAUUUGGAUCUUCAAACUUUUAUUAAGUUUUUUUCAUUUAAAACAUUUUGAUGUUUUUAAAAUUUUUAAAAUUUGAGAUAAUAAAUUUUUUUUAAUAACUCAGCUCAUCCUUUUUCGAACAAAAUUUUAAAGUAAUUAUACAUUUUAUAAAUAAGUUAAUAUUAUUUUUCAUAGCUUCUUUUGAGGUGAGGUAAAAAAUAAUAAUAAUAAAAAAAUCACAUUAAGGAUAAUCUUGAACAAUUUGACUUAAUGCAUGAUCUCCUUUGUCCUCUACAACCUCUUAUUAUUCUAUCUUGAAUCUAUGUAACCAAGCCUAGCAGCCUAAUUGUUUGAAAAUUAGGUUAAAAAACACAAGUACAAACCCAUGCAUGUCUUUUAACUUAAUGGGUUUGACUUAAGAGGGAAGAAUGUUGAAAUGUUUUCUUUUCUUUGGCUUGAAUUCCAUGAGUCAAAGUAUGACUUCUCCUUCAUAUUAACUGUUUCCUUUUCCUAACAAGAUCAGUCAAAGUAGGCCUAAGUCUAGAAGCUUCAAGAUCUCUUUAAAAAAUAAAAUAUAAAAUGAGAGGAGAUGUGAAAAGUAGGGGGAAUAGAGAUGUACAAUGGAAUGGUUUGUAGGAUGUCCUAUCUAGGUAGGGGAUGUUUAAAUAAGGGAACUUAUACCUACCAUCUUCCAAUUGCAUGGCAAAAUGGAAAGCCAUGAUGAGUUUAGGGUAAUUUUUCAUUUUAAUUCUUUUAUAAAAGUAGUGUUACUUGUCCAUAAUUUACUUAAGGUGGAUUUUUUUUAUUUUUUUUAUUUUUAAGUAGAAGUAAUUAAGAUGAUGUUAAACAUGUUUGAUGUGUAAUACAAUCUCAUAAACUAUUUUAAAAGGAAUUUUCUAAAAUAAAUUAUUUUUAUAAAAUAUUUGAAGGGUUUAUUUUUACAUUUCAAAAUUGCAAGAACGUUAAUAGUUAAAAAUAAUUAAAGUUGUUUUUUUUUUUAAUUUUAACCACAAAAAUUGUCUUUAAAGAAUAGUUUUUACAAUGUUAAGAUAACCUCCCCCAAGCACUUCAUAAAAUAUUUCUUUAAAAACUUUAUUUUGAUUACCUAAUGGAGUCUACGGCCUCUUUGAUUAUUGUUUUCGAAAAAAAAAAAAAAACGUUUAAUAAUCAGAAGCUUCUUUUUGUUUUAUGUUUUUAAGAAUAUAAAAUAGAUAUUUUUAGAAAAUAAUGUUUAAUUUGUUUAUGUUGUUUUCAUUUGUUCUCUAAAUAUUAUUUUAAAAAAUAAUUAUAAAAAUAUGUAAAAUUAUUAAAAAUAAAACAUUAGAUAUAAAAAUUAUUUUUAAAAUAUAUUUAAAAAUACUAAAAAUAUUUUAAAAACAUUUUAGGUUUCAAAAUAGAUUUUUAUUUUACAAAGCAUCAAAUAACAAUUUUCAAAAAAUCUUUUCUCAUAACUAUUUUAAAAAACAAUUAUCAAAUAAACCCCAUAUUUUGUUUUCCCAUGAAAAAAUCAUUCAAUUUUUAUUUAUUUUUAUCAAAAUUCUUAUUAGAUAUAGUAAGCUAGCUUGGGCUGCUACGUAAAAACUUGAGAAUUAGGUUAAGGGCUCAUUAGAAACACUCCUAAAAAAAAUAUGGUUUUGAAUAUAAAUUAAAAAAACAAUUUUAUAAUAUUUUAAUAGUAUUAACAAAAAAAAAAAAGGAACUUCUCAUAAAAAAUCAUUUAUCAAUAAUUAUUCAAAAUUUUCUAAAUUUAAAAAAAUAGAAUUUUAUUAAUUACCAAAUUUUGAUGAGAAAACAGUUUCAAGUAUUUUCAAAAUCAUUAUCAACUGGGUUUUAUAAGAUUUGACAUUCAAAGUUUUUUAAUAUUCAUCUUCAACUUUAUCAAAUAAUAAAAUAGUGGAAGCAAACUAAACUCCAAUGCAAAAUGAAAACAAGGGGCGAGAGAGAAUAGCAGAGCAAUUUUGCAGUACACAAAAAGAGAAUAAUAGAGAGAGGGGGGAGUGUGGAGAUUAAGGAAAAUGGUGGGUGAUAGCCUUUUAGAGGAAUGGAGAGAUGUCUCCCACACAAUGACCAAAAACUAAUGUAAACAAACCAUCUGUUACAUUAACACCAACCCACCCAGGCGUGUUCUCGCAAUUCCAUGCUCUCUCACUUGCCGGGAAAUUUGAAGCCAACCAUUAAAAUAUUUCCCAUUCUAGAUUUCCCCCUUUUUUUAAUUACAUAUUUUAUUUUUAAACUCUUCAAAAAAUGCCACUGCCGACUCCCACUCCUCACCAAUUACACCUCACCCACUCUCCAAUCUGACACUUGUGCAUACCCUCUGAUCAAAGGACACCCAUUAUUUAUUUAUUUUUUAUUUAAAUCUUUGUCCCGUUGUGUACAAACAUAUGUCCACGAUGUAAAAUUAAUAUGUUAUGUAAUAUGCUAAAGAGUUGACAACAUUUAGGAAAAGUUAACGAGAAAGGAAAUUAUUCUUUAAGCGAAAUGUGACGGGAAAAUCCAAUAAUUUAAUAAAAUAAGAUUGAUGAUAGAUAAUGGGAGAGGUGAGGUGGGAGAAAGCAAAAGAAGUGGAAGAUGGGGAAAAAGGUGGGUUUGCGCCGCCCAAUGCAGAGGGCUCUUUAGGCUUUACAGAAGGGCCAAGUGGGUAGAGGAGGAGGAGACGAGGAGAGGGUAAAAGGAAAAAAGGGAAAAAAAAGAAGGGGGUGACCGGUGAGAGGCUCGAGAGAGAGAAGUGGUGAGAAGGAGAAAUCGAGGAAGGAGGCAGAGGCACGUGUCCUGGUCUGAGUGUGUGUGAGUGGAAGAGUGAGGCGUGUAAUAUCUCAAUGCUUUUCUCGAUAUCUCCAUUCCACUGCACGUGUCACGGUCUUCCGCUACCGUCCUCCAUCAUCACCCUUCCUUCUCUCUCUUCCUUCCUACCACUACUUAUCUUUUCACUUUAUUUUUAUUUUUAUUUUAUAAUUAAUGACAAAUAAAAUUAUUUAUUCAUUUAUUUAUUUGGGUUUUGGAACAUGGUAUCUUCAAAAUUGGUAAGGAGGCAAUGUAGAAGUAAUGAAGAGGGAAGCAAAAGGUAAGACUCCACCUUUUCAGUGGAUUGCCUAAACCACCUUUUAGCCCAAUGGAAUGACCCCAUAUAGAGAAUGGCCAAACCCAACACAUGAUUCGUGAAUCUUAUUCCCAUUAAGUUUUCAGAUUGGGACACGACCGCUCUUAUCCCAAUUAUUGCAUGCUCACGUUUCACAUAUGUUCUUGUCCCAACAUGCACUAAAAAUCAUCUUACAUUUUAACCUCUCCUCUCACUAAUUAAUUAGGAUCCUAUUACUAUAUCAAAUUACAUUUUUUUUUAAUAUCAAUCAAAAACACAUUAUCCAUAUGUGAAAUUCAAUUUUUUUUUACUUUGUGUCAAAGUUUCAUUUGUUUAUACUACAUAUAAGAUGAAAAUCCCAUUAUAUUUUGAUCUUCUCGUAUAUUUGUAUAUUUAUCAAAUAACCUAAAUUCAAGGUUCGAUAGUUAUUGAUUUGAUAUUUUAGUAUUAAUGUUGGUGAUACUAAAAUUAGAUACAUGCCACCUGGUUACUCCUUGAAUGACACAACUCAUCUCAACUUCAUAUUAAAAAAGAAGACAUCCUUCAAGUCCCAUCCAUUAAAGGGUAUCUUUUUGAGUCAUCACUUGAUCAUUGACAUGGUUAUAUUGACAAAAUUGUAUUUCUCAAUUUGGAACUUGACGAGAAAGUUUGUAAACACCAUUAUCACUAUUAUAAAAAGUCUACAUAUAUUACCGUUGUAUAUGAGGCAAGCAAGUCUACUAUAACAUUCAAGACCAAAAAAUAAAAUGAAAUCAUGUUUAACCCUGAGGAGUAGCUCAGUUGGUCAGACUUUGGGUUUGCUCCCCAAUGGUCACCAGUUCGAGUCCCCUCAGGGCCACUGGAGGUUUACCCAGUUGUUAACUUCAGGACCCCGUGGGAUUAGUCGAGGUGCGCGUAAGCUGGCCCGGACAUCCACGGUUAUCAAAAAGACUGCUUUUAGGGGUCAAUGUUAAACUCUAUAUAAAAUAUAAAACACUUUGGACUUAAUUUAGUUUCAGACUUUUAGAGAUCAAUUCAAUCAACUUGCUUCCCAUUAUUGUAUAUCUUCAUCCAAUGAAUGCCUGAAAAUCCUCCAGAGUGAUGGUGAUUACAUCAAUUUUUGUAAUGGGUCAUUAUUAUUUUUUAAUCAAUUAUAAUGACAUAACUACAAAGAAGAAAGACAAAAAAAGUUUGAUUUGUAUUGAAGCAUAUAAAGUUUUAUUUUAGUAUAUUUUAGUCUUAUUUAUCCGUACAUAACCUGAACUCAAAGAUUUGAUAUUUUAAUAUUUUUGAAUUAAUUAUAACGAUAUGGAUUAGGGAGGAGAAUGAAAAAUAAAAGGGUGUGGAUAAAUAUUUGAAUUGAGUGGUUAACUUAUUUUGGUGGGGCGACCCCGGUCAAUGGGAAACCUACAAGUCAAACAACAUAAUGUAACUAAAAAAUGACAGUUGUAGCUUCCAAUGAAGAGUUUAAAUAUGGGAAUUGAAGUCUUAUUUUAUAUAACAUUGAGUAACGUAAAUUGACUAACUUCUUAUUCAAUUUUUCCUUUCAUUGUCAAAAUGCACUUACAAAUCCAUGAUUGAGAGGCUAAAAAACUCAAUCCAUGAAAUCAAUUUAUACACAAGGAAGUAGCGUGAAGCUACAACACUCCUUCAAGGUCAAUAUUCUGAUCAGUCAACACAAUCCCCUCUUCUGAUUGACCAACAUCUAUAUAUAUAUAUAGGUAGUGCAGCAUUUUGUGUGUUCUUCUUGUGGAAGAACCCUUAAAACUUUUGAAGAUAUCUUCUUCUGCCAUUUUUGACCAUUUCCCAUAUUUUAUGUGGUCCACGCCUCUUUAUCUGUGUGAUAGAAAAUUAUAAAUAUCCCAAAAUUGUAUACUUCCUUUUGGGACAUCCGAGGACCUCAUAUUCCAUUUCAAAAUGGGGGGUGAAAAUUUUUGGUACUAUAAAAAUAUUACCCUUCUUAAUUUUGUAAACAUAUUUUAAAAUCGUAAGGGUUUUUUGAAUUUAAAAUAGAUAAUAUUUAUAUAAUUUUAUACAAGUUAUUAUAAAUAUUAUCAAAGUUGAUCCUUCAUGUAUAAAGGUUUGUUUGACCUUAUGAGAAGUGUUUAUUUGUUCGACCUUACAAUAUUAGAGGACAUAAUGAAGUCAUUGUGUUUGCAUGAGGAGGGUGCUUGUGACAUCAUAUAUCGGAUAGAGAAAAUUUUUUUUGACACUAUAUAAAUAUAAGCUAUUUUUAACUCUAUAGACAUGCUUUAAAAUCAUGAGAAUCCUUUUAGGUUCAAAACCGACAAUAUGUACACGAUUGGGUAUCAUUACACAAAAUUUGAAUGCUAAUAUUGUCCUUUUAUCAAAGGGACUUUAACACAUUAUUUUUUUUAAAACAAGAAAAUAGUACUUCUUUUUAUUUUUAUUUUUUAAAAAAGAAAAAGAAAAAUAAAUAUAUGAUAUACAUGUAUUUUUUAUAAUUAAAGAUAUUUGCUUUGGAUAAAUCUUCCUCAUAAAAACACAUUUGAAACAUUUAGGUAUGGUGGGCCUGAGGUUGAGCCGAACCCUUUAUUGCGUCCCAGCUCAAAUCCAUCUUAAAUCCAAGUCCAGUUUAUGUGGUUGGGCCUCACCAAAUUGAAUAAAUAGAUGGGCCCAAGUUUUGGGAACCGUCCCUAGUUUGUAAUCUUAAAUUCUUACAUGAUGAAGACAUUUUCUUUUAGUUCUAAUGCUACUUUAUUUUAAAUUGCAUGUAGGGUUGGGUCUGAAAAUGUAGGUGGUGAAUUACAGCAACUACCCUAAGGUUUGUAACAUUUACAGGAACGUCCUUAUGGUUUCUGAGAUAACAUUUUCUUUCCUUUCUCCCCUCCUCUUUCAUCCAUUCCCAUAGUUUGUAUCUAGCACUUGGAAUUGUUUUCUCUUAAAGCCCAAAGCCCAAAGCCCAAAGCCCAAAGCCCAAAGCCCCUCUGUAAAAAUCCAUAAUCUGGCUCUUCAAAUUGUUUUUGCUCAAAGCCCAAGGCCCAAAGCCCAAAGUUCAGAGACCACAGCCCCUGUCAGAAAGGGUUUUUCAACCCCCGAAGUAACCGUUCGAAUUGGGUCUUGAGUUUCCGGUGAGUGUUUCUCCAGUUUUUCAUUUUCCGAUCUCAGAAAGCUUUUCACUCAUUUUGUUCUCAUAAUUUUUCUUCUGAAACUCAUUUUUGUUUUCUUGGUAUAUCUAUGAAUGACGGUUUGAGAUGAUAUGUCGAGUUUGGAGUUUGAUUACCCUAACUCUUUUUCGUUUUUAUUCUCCUUGUUCUUAUCACAGAUGAUAAUGGGGUGAUGUAAUCCCAAAAUAUAUAACAUGGAUUAAGUACCAAUAGAAAAGAAGAGAAAAUUCCUGGUACAAAAUGAAAUUUCUUUUUCUGUUCAUCCAGUUCCCCUGCAACCCAACAGAGCAUUUUUUUUUGCACUAAUCUUAGAUGUGUUUCUUGUUGUUUGAGUUCUUAUUUGACUCUUCAUUACUUUGAAAAUGCGGGUUUUUUUCAAAGAAAAGAUUUUGAAAUUGUUUAUUGAGAGAUUUGUUUCUGUUUUCAUGUAUCCUCAAACCUUUGUUCAAUUAGCUUGAACAUGGGUCAAAAUUUGUGGAAAUCUGCGAGUAAUAUUUAUGCCUUGUAUGUAAACAGUACAGAAUUAUAUAUGAAAAACAUUAUCCAGAAACUGGAAGUGUUAGUGCUGUUAUAGGCCUUGUCUUUGUCCCAGCAAGUGACAGCAUACUGUAAUGGUCCAUUUGGUGUUGAAUUUUUCUUUUUGGUUCCUAGUUCGAGAGUGUUUUAACACUUUGGGGAUUAACUUCAAAGCUGCACUCUCCAUGUACCUAGUCCAAUUGGCAUUGAAUUUCUUAUGUUAGGAAUUCCUUCAUAAGUGAUUACCUUUGAGGGCUGUUAGCUCUGUAUUCUUCUUUUCCAUUUCUUUUUUUGUUUAAGGCUUCUGAUUUCCGUCCAAUCCAAGUUCUUAUGUAGAGCAGGGUUAUGUGUGGAAUUGAAAGCACAUUGCUGACAUGUAGUGAUUUCUCAGAGGCCCAUAAUGGAAGAUUGAUUAUUGGGUUGUCAUUUUUUACAUGGAACUUUGUUUAUCUUUUGUGUUUAAUUCUGCACUUAUAAUUGAAGAGCUACUGAUGUAACUAUUAUUUUUAUUUUUUCACUGUGACAGGGAAGGCAAGGAAUUUGCGAUUUAGGUUGGCACUUUACAUCCAGAGAUGGCUGCACGUUUUGCUUCCAGAUUGUCUCAUGGUAUGUGACUUCAUGGUUUUUAAGUGGUGAUUGGUUUGCUCUCUCUGGUUAGUUCGUGUGUUAAAACAUUAUAGAAGCUUUUUGGUCUAUCUCACUCUUAAUGAGUUUAUAGUAAUUAAUAUGUAUUCUCUUGCUCUAUUAAAAACUUACCUGAAGUUGCAUCACAGAAUUAGUUUUGGAUUCUUAAAUUGGUAUCUGCAUAUGUUAUUCAGUUUUUCAUUUUGCAUGGUUUCUGCUCUUAUCAUAGAAACUUUAAACUUUAUGAAUGGUUAAACAUGCUGAGCUCUACCUUUUGUUCUUGGAAUAACUCGAAUCGUUUGCUUCAUAAUGAAAUUGGGAUUACGGUUUGAUUAAAAUGAGAGCAAUUUGCAUAAGGUUCUGAAUCUAUGCACUCCUUUCCUCUGUAGAUCUUCAAUGAACUAAAUGAGUAUUGGACUGCUUAAUCCUGACUUUUUUGAACUUAAUUAUGCUCGAGUUGGGUUAUCUCCAAGAUCGCCUAGUCUUGUUCAAGCUUGCCUGUGUAGAUCUGGUGGGGCUCAAGCUUGUUUUUGGGACUAUUCCAACUGUUCUUUUACAUAGUCAUGCCUCAAGUAAGCCCUUCAAGGAUCCUAAUCAAUUGCACACAUGACCCUUAUUUGUUUCAAACAAAAAGCUCAAUAACUCAACAAUCUUGGAAUGAUUUGAGCUGCUGACAACUUUAGUUGUUUUUGGUAUUGGAUUCCAAUAGGACAAUUCCAUUGAUGAUCUGAAUGCUUUUGAUCUAAUGACUAAUAACUAGGUUUUGUCCAAAUUCUGAUCGGCAUUUAUUGUUGAUAUAAUAAAAUAUAUUGCAUAUGUAUAAUAUAUAUUCUAGUCUAUAUUGUAACAUAUUUAUCUCCAAUCAUACAUAUCAUAAGGCACAUCCCAACCAAACCUCAAACCUUACUACUUGGGAUUGGCUACAUGUUUUUGCCAUUUAGUUCUCCCUAGAGCCAUGUCCAUAUGUAGCAUUAUUAUAUACCACAGUAUGGAUAUAAUUUAGAGAAUACAAAUUUCUAUUGUACAAUGUCUCAAAUAUUAGAAAGGAAAAGAGACAAAAUCUCAACAUUCAUGAGUAGUUCAUAUUUUGUUUAAACAAUAGAUAUUUUGUAAAUUUGUAGACAGGAAAAAUUAAGCCUUUUUCAGUUUAUCACAUACUCAAAUUAAGUUAAUUAUAGACCAACAAAAAACUAAAUGUUAAUAAUUAGUUUAAAUUGUGAUCAAUUACAAAUUUUCACAUGGCAUAAAUUUUCUACCACUUAAAUAAUGUCAUGUGUCAUAUAGGUUCCACGCAAUAGGAAGACAAGUCAUCUUUCAUUUAAAUAAUGGAACAUAUAUUUUGAUAAUUAAAAUAUAAUUGUUUUUUUUUAUAGGUAAAUAAUUAAAUUAUAAUUGUUAGAAUAAACAAAAUUGACAAGUUUGGUAAUUAAAAAAGUAAUUAUCAAGUCUUGUUGAGAGAUAUAUUGAAAAUUACAAAAUAUAGUUUUCUAAGUCUUCUUAAAUAUUAUUUUUACUUAAAGAAUAAUAUUUUAAAUGAUUAAGACUAUCAAAUAUGGUCUUCUAAAUCUCCCUAAAUAUUAACUUGAAUUAAGGAAUAAUAUUUUUAAGGAAUCGUAAAACUAUCUGAAUAUAGUGCUUCCAAUCAUAUACAUAAGGCCACUUCCAAAGUUUUCUAGACAAUUUUGAAGACAUGAGUUGGAGGAGAGCUAUUCUAGGGAGACCCAAAGUUUCUUCAAAUCUUCAAAUAAGACUUCAAUUUCUUCAAAGUGUUUUUGAAUUUUCAAGAUUUUUAAAGCAUUAAGUUUCAAGUUUUAAGAUUGAAAUCUACAAAAGAUUUCUUUGAUUUGAGAUUAAGGCCCAAGUCAUGUUAAGGCUCAAGUUAGGCCAAGUCAGCCAAGACCCAAGUCAUGCUAAGGUUCAAGUCAAGCCAAGGUCCAACUCAUGCCAAUGCCCAAGUCAAGACAAUCCAAAAUAAAGUCAGCCUAAAUUAAGAUCAAGCUAUCUGGGAUCAAAUUUCUUCAAGCCUCGAUUAACAACUAGAAAAGGAAGAUUCAGAGGAUAAAAAUAAAUAUUACACUUACAUCAUUCUUUAAAUCAAUAAAAUCUAACUUGGCCACGGAUAAUUUUUCUUCAAGCCUUUGCCUCUCUAACUUACAUCUCUCUCUCUCGCUUUUUUUUUGAUAACCGUGGGUGUCCGGGCCAGCUUACGCGCACCUCGACUAAUCCCACGGGGCCCUGAAGUUAACGACCGGGUAAACUUCCAGUGGCCCUGAGGGGACUCGAACUAGUGACCAUUGGGGAACCUCUCUCUCUCUCUCUCUCAUUGUUUUUUUUUAUUCCUUUGAACUGGGCAUUCAUUGUUUGUUUGCUUGUUUUUCCAUGAUUAUAUAUGCAUAUGAAGCCAUACUAGGUACUUAAUUUUAGGAACUGUGCAGAAUUCUAUUGCUCAUUUAUCUUCCUUCUUUUUAAUCUUGAAUUUUUUGUAAAUGUUUUUUAGAUGUGAAAUUUUAAGAGCUGACCUAUUUGCUAUUUGAUAAUAUUUGUUAUUUAAUAUUCACAAUGUCAUGAAUACAACAUAUCACAUGUACAGUAUUUAAAAUCCUAAUGCAUUUCUGGGAUUAUUUGCUGUGUGAACGGGUGAAGAGCUACUACCUCAUGUACAAAGUGUCACCCUAGGUUCAAAGUAUUGGCCGAGUCCAGUAUGACUUGGCUGAGUCGUAUCCAUCUUGCUAAGCUCCAUGAUGAGUCCGAUACUUGAUACAUGUUUUGCACUUACUCGGUAAAAAAUCGGUAAAACUUGUUCCGAUUCACCAAAACUACACCGAGUUAACUCGGAUCCAUGACUUCAAACCCACAAAACAAUCUUCUUCAUUGUUGUUGGAUUGAACGGCGGUGAGUGGUAGCACUAGGAUUGGCUGAGGCAUCAUUCUGAUCCCGACCCUCUUCUUCAAUCUUCAUUGCUUACUUGCUGGUUGUGUCAAUGUCGUUGAACAACAAUAUCGUCUUCAUUGAUGGUUGACAAUGAAUUGGGUAGGUGUGACGACAAUGCUUCUGCAUUUCCUCUAUCUUGGUUUGGAAGUGUCGGUAGCGUUGAACAACAAUAUUGUCUUUGUUGAUGGUCGACGACGAGUUGGGUGUGACGAUGCCUCAUUUCCUCUUCCUUGGUUUGAAAUUUAGGAAUUGGGAAAGUAGCGGAGUAGAUUUAGGAAAUUUUAACCUUAUUCCUUUUAUGAAAUUAAUUAUUCCUAAUAUAUGAUAAUUUGUUUAUAAAAUUAAUUAUAUAGGAUAUUUAUAAAGAAUUAAAACAUAACAAAUUGAAAUAUGAUAAAUGUUACAAGUAUUAAACAUGGAUAUAUAAUAAUUUUUUUAAAAUAUGAAUAUUAAUCAUUAAUAAUAAAUUAAUAAAUUUAAUUAUAUAAAUAUGAAAAUUAAAUAUAUAAUGAAAUACCAUAAAAUAUAAUAAUGGUAUUUUAGAAUAUUUUUACUAUAUUGAUAUGUAUUUAUAGUUAAAUAUUUAAUAGUUAUUAAUUAUAUUUAACGGUUUAAAAUUAUAUAUUAAUGCAAUUAGACAUUAAAUGAAAGAAGUUUAUUUUAUUAAUUCUUCAGGUCAUUUCAUUGUGUUUAAUUUUUUAUUUAUUAUUAUAAUAAUUUUUAAAUAUAUAUUUUAGUUUUUUUUUUUUUGAUAAACCAAGAUAAGAUAUCAUAUUAGAACACGCCAAAACAGGGGGCGCUUCCUAAGUACACCGGCAGUAUACAAAGAAGGCCUCAUUCAAGGCAACAAAGGAGAAAAACAAAAACCUAGAAAAACCAAAAAAGACCAACAAGUCAACCACCCAACAAAUUCAUAAAAGAGAAAAAGUCCACGUCCAUGAAUUGUUGAGACCAUUCAAGAAGAGCCCGAAGGAAGAGAUUCUUCAAACUCAUAUCUGACUUCUCUUUUUCUUGAAACAUUCUUCUAUUCCGCUCUCCCCAAAUACACCAAAACAAACAAAUAGGCACCAUUUUCCAAACUACACUCAUCUUCUUUUCUAGGCCCUUAAUUUUCCAUUCAAGAAGCAAGUUUCUCACUGAAUUCGGGAACACCCACACCACCCCAAAAGAAGAGAGCACCACAGUCCAAAGCUCCCUUGUCUUACCGCAAUGAAUUAGAAUAUGAUCCGUCGAUUCCUCAUUCUCUUUACAAAGAACGCAUCUAUUGACCAUAGACCAACCCCUCCUCAUUAACAUAUCAACAGUAGAAAUUUUACCCCACAUUGCUUCCCAAGCAAAAAAACGAGUUCUUAAAGGGGCACGCGAACCCCAUACCUCCUUUGCUGGAAAUAAGGGGUUGUUCUCCACCUUCAAGGACCGAUAAUAAGAUUUAACACUGAACUUUCCUUUCCUCUCAAUCUUCCAAAUUAAAGAAUCCUCCCCUUCUUGGACCUUUAUUGCAGAGAUGUGACUUAGAAAACGACUCACCUCCCCCAGUUCCCAAUCAUGAAAGGGUCUUCUAAAGUGCACCUCCCAUCCCCCACCACCAUCUCCUUGUCUCCCCCAAAGAUCAGCCACUAGAGCUGAAUUAUGGGAAGCAAUUCCGAAGAGCAAAGGAAAGAGCUCUUUCAGCUUAGACUCUCCAGCCCAAUAGUCCCACCAAAAUCUGGUACAUCUACCAUUUCCAAUACAAAUACUAGUUUUGAGGAAGAACUCCUCCCAACCCUUUCUAAUAUCUUUCCAGAGGCUCAUCCCAUAGGACUCCCUUACCUCUCUAGUGGUCCAACCCCCUUCCCCCUCUCCAAAUUUACCAACAAUGACUUUCCUCCAAAAACUCUCCCUUUCUAAAGAAAAUCUCCAAAGCCAUUUUCCAAGCAAAGCAUGAUUGAAUUCCUUCAAGUGCCUUAACCCCAACCCUCCAUACUUCUUAUCCUUGCAAAUAGCUGUCCAUCUUACCAAGUGGAUCCUUCUUCUCCCCUCCACAUCUCCCCAUAAGAACUCCCUUUGAAUUUUCUCCAAUCUAAUUCUCACUUUCCUUGGUAGUACAAAAAGUGACAUAAAAUAGAUGGGGAGAUUUGAGAGGGUGCUUUUGAUAAGGGUAAGACGACCACCCUUAGGCAGGUAUUGUUUUUUCCAUGUAGCCAAUUUUCUCUUGAAUCUUUCCUCUACCCCAUCCCACACUCUACAAGAAUUAUGAGGGGCUCUAAGAGGUAGGCCUAGAUAAGUAGUAGGGAGAUUCCCUACUUUACACCCAAAAACCGCAGCGACUCUGUCCACAUCCUCCACUCCCCCAACUGGGAUAAUUUCACUUUUCUUCAAAUUAAUUUUUAGGCCUGAUACCAUUUCAAAACAAAUAACAACCCACUUCCAAAAAACCAACUGGUUCCUAUUAUCCUCGCAAAAAAGAAGAGUGUCAUCGGCGAACAAGAGAUGGGAAACGGAAGUCCCUUCUCCAUUUCUUCCCAUUACCCUGAAACCUCUAAUGAAACCUUUCUCCUCAGCUUUAGAGAUUAAGCUACUAAAAGCUUCCAUAAUUAGCACAAAUAGAUAAGGAGAGAGCGGGUCUCCCUGCCUUAGGCCUCUAUAAGUUGAAAAAAACUUAGUGGGAGUGCCAUUCACCAAAACUGCCAUCCUCACAGUUGAUAUGCAGAAAAGUAUCCAACUACGCCACUUGGGCCCAAACCCCAUUUUCUCCAAGACUGAAAGAAGGAACUUCCAAUUAACGUGAUCAUAAGCCUUUUCAAUGUCCAGCUUGCACACUAAACCCGCACUGGCACUUCGCUUCCUUGAGUCUAUCGCCUCAUUAGCUACCAAAACCGCAUCUAAUAUCUGUCUUCCUUCCACAAAAGCGUUCUGACUGUACGAAACAAGUUUUCCCAUAACUCUUUUUAGCCUAUUUGCCAGGACUUUGGCAAUAAUUUUAUAAAGACUCCCCAAUAAACUGAUGGGUCUAAAAUCCUGCACAUCACUAGCUCCUCCUUUCUUCGGGAUAAACACUAAAAAAGUUGCAUUAUGGCUGCGAAAAACAUUAUUCUGCACAUGGGACUCCUCAAGACCUGCAUCACUUCCCCUCCCACGAUCGGCCANNNNNNNNNNNNNNNNNNNNNNNNNNNNNNNNNNNNNNNNNNNNNNNNNNNNNNNNNNNNNNNNNNNNNNNNNNNNNNNNNNNNNNNNNNNNNNNNNNNNUAUUCUGCACAUGGAACUCCUCAAAGACCUGCAUCACUUCCCCUCCCACGAUCGGCCAACAAGACUUCCAGAAUGCCAACGUAAAACCAUCCGGCCCUAGAGCCUUAUCUCCCCCCAACUCUGAUAUAGCUUUGUAGACCUCCUCUUCCGAAAAAUGCCCCUCCAAAGUCUCAUUAUCCAAAGCAUCAAGCGUUUUAAACAGGCUUGACUCCACAUCUGGUCUUCUUACCCGAGGUUCCUCAAACAAGGAUUUAAAAUAAGACCCAAUCCCUUCUCUAAGCUCCUCCUCUUUACUCAGCCGAACACCCCUAACAGUCAGAUUGCUGAUAAAAUUUCCCCUCCUCCUUGCAUUGGCCAUACGGUGAAAAAACUUAGUGUUACUAUCUCCCUCCUUUAGCCAAAGAGCCCUUGACUUCUGCCUCCAAGAUAUUUCUUCAAGGAUGGCACAGUGGCUGAAUUCAUCUCUAGCUAUCCAUUGGCUAUGUCUAUCUUCCUCAGAAAGAGGACCACACCUUUCUAAGCGGUCCCAUGAGUUUAGAUCCUCCAAGGCAGCAUCCUUCCUAGCUGUCACAUUGCCAAAAGCCUCUUUAUUCCACCUCUUCAAAUCAUAUUUCAAAGCCUGAAGCUUCUUUGCAAGCACGAAGCUAGGUUUCCCCCUAAAACUAUAGGACUGCCACCAAUCUUUAACCUUAUCCAUGAAACCUUCCACCCUUAGCCACAUAUUUUCAAACCUAAACGGGCUUUUACCUGUUCUCAUCCCUCCACAGUCUAACAAGAUCGGCCAGUGGUCAGAAACAGGUCUUGGAAGAAGAACUUGCAUUGCCCCCAACAUCCUUUCCUCCCAAUCUCCUGAAAAUAAAAACCGGUCUAACCGAGCCUUUAAGGAACCUCCUUCCCCUCCACUCCAAGUGAAAGUUCCGCCUCCCAGGGGAGGAUCAACUAAUUCAAACUCCUCUAUAAAGCCUGAAAAAUCCCUCAUCAUGGUUGACAUCUGUUUUCCAUUACUCUUUUCAACUGGAAACCUCACUGCAUUGAAAUCCCCUGCUAUACACCACGGAUCACCCCACAGCCCCUUGACAGCGGCUAGCUCCUCCCACAUCUCCCUCCUCUCCUUACCGUUACACGGUCCAUAUAAACCGGAGAAGACCUACACAAAACCCUCCUUGCAGUUUUUAAAACGACAAGAAAUAGAAAAAGAGCCUACUUCAGCCUCCAAACCUUCCAAAACUUUCUUAUCCCACAUCACUAGCACCCCACCUGCCGAGUCCCUUGCAUCUAAGGAAACCCACCCCAAGUUUCUACCAAUCCCCAAGCUUCUUACGAUUCUAUCAGACAUCUCCUUCAUUUUUGUCUCCUGAAAACACACCAAGUCUGGUUUGUAUUUUCUCACCAUCGUCUUAAUAACCAUUCUUUUAUCAGGGUCAUGCAACCCAGUUUUUAAUUAGUAUAUUUUGCAUAUUGGCGCAUACUGAUCUGAGAUGCUGAGACCGAUGUGCCUUAGGUGCUCCCGAGUCAAUGAUACCGUGACUUUGAACCAUGGUGCCACUCAACUACGUGACAUGUCAAAAUUGAUAACAGUACGCAUAUGGUUGGAAACCAUGACCCCUCUACCAAGUAAACCAAUAUAAGUAACAUCAGAAGUGGUCAAGGAACUUGUCUUGAGCUUAAGGAAGCAUGUGCUUGCUGAAGUUGAUCUAGUAAAGAACUAUUGUUUGGAGUGAUGGCUUUCACAUUGAGCACCAAUUCUUCCCUUAAUAGCUAAUAUGCAUUAGCUCAAUCUUAUGGAAACAUACCUGGAUGGGAUUACUUGGAUUCUCUGACCGGUUCUUUUUUCUGGGUGCCUACCAUGUUUGGACUGGUUUGAACUGGAAACUUACUUUGUAUUUUACUUUUCUAAAUUGAUUUCUGUCCAUAUAUUCCAUUACUUUGAAUGGUAACUUAGUAUUUUACUCUUAUGCUACCUUUUUUCUCCUGAUGACUGACUGCAUUUUGUUUCAUUUUUCUGGAAAUAAAAAAUAGUGGGCCGAUCAGUGUUUGGGGGGCUUGGCAACAUCUCUUCUGGUUCACUGAGAACAUCACUUGAUAGCACAUGGAACAAUUUCUUGUCUCAGGUUAGCAUGUUUCUUUUUGAUUUGAUUCUUCCAAGUUUUUAUAGAAUUCAAGUUGCAAUAUAAUUCUCCUUAUUGCAAGCUGCCAGGGAUUCCAUGCAUCCCAGUUUUUACUUUCCUGGUGUGACUCAUUAAAUAUCUUGGUUUAUAUCCUUAUUGUACAUGGCAGAUUCAACAAACCAUUGUUUAUAUUUUAUUAUAAUGCUUUGUUCUGUGACUGUGGAAAGUGGUUGAAAACUUUUAUUCUUCAAGAUUCUCUUAACACUUUGAAUAAUAGAAGUUCUCUUCCACAUUCCAAAAUGGCUACUACUUGAUGUUACUUACAUCUAUUUAAAAUGGCAUUAAGUAGCCAUUUUAUACAUUUCAUAUGAUUAUUCUAGUUAGAGACUGUCUGCAGAAACAUGCUCACUGUUGGACAUGGGCAUGUCUGAAGAACAGCUAUGAGCAUAUCCCAAUUUUGAUAGAAUAAUCCAAGGAUACUUUCUUGCAGUGUUCCUUUGUUAUGUGGUGCUAUGUUAGACAAUAAUUUCAAAAUGAAUGAAUUGUCCAUGUAGGAAAUGCUAUAUUCACUAAGCACUUCAUUUCACCCAAGAGUACAGCAUGACAAAGGAAAAUUGAACAGUUUCAAUUUUCUGUAGAUGUUUUUUUGUGUUCUAGCAAUUCUGGUUGGAUGAAUUGACACCUAGAUGUGUAACUGCACACAGUACAUAUUCUCAGGUUCACCAUCGAUUUAGUAUAGAAUUAGCCAGCUUCUACUAGAUUUCAAGAACUUAGGUCAUUGAGCAAGUUGAUUAAUCAAGUUAACAAAUUUCAUCUUCUUUUUCAAUAAAAAACAAAAGGAAACCCCUGCAAAUGAGUUUAGCUAAAUUAGUUGCUUAUAGUUCCACCUCUGAUUUGCUCCAAUAGUUGUGUCGUUGAUUUGUCUUACAAUUUCUACAGCAGCAGCAAAGGACUUUCAUACAGAUGAGGACCGUUCUCAAAGUUGUGGACAACUCGGGGGCAAAAAAGGUGAUGUGCAUACAAGCUUUGAAGGGGAAGAAAGGAGCAAGACUGGGCGAUACAAUAGUUGCAUCAGUGAAGGAAGCUCACCCUAAUGGAAAAGUGAAGAAAGGAGAAGUUGUAUAUGGUGUGGUUGUGCGUGCUGCCAUGCAACGUGGCAGAUGCGAUGGUAGUGAGGUCAAGUUUGAUGACAAUGCUGUUGUACUUCUUGAUAAGCAAGGCCAGCCAAGAGGGACUAGAGUAUUUGGGCCAGUACCCCAUGAACUAAGGAAGAAAAAGCACCUUAAGAUUCUAACCCUCGCAGAGCAUAUUGCUUAAUGUCAGGAUCUCACCCAGGGAUUAUGAAUUUUCUGUUUUUUUGUUGUUUAAAUGUUUUAGAUUUUGUUGUUUAAGAGGAGGAAUUUUGCCCAUAGUCUCUUGGAAGCUGAAUUUGAUCAUGGUCAUUGUUGGAAUACUGGCAUGUGAUGCCCUUCUCUACACAUUCAGGAUUGUAUCCACUUAAUAAUUUUGCUUAUGAUUCAUAUUUCUGAUACUUCAACCUUCCUGUUUCUGUGCUAAGGAUUAGCAGUGCAGUCCAAAUCAUGCAGAGCAGAAUGACCACAACUCAAACUGCUCGUGAUAAAAAAUUCUCCUUUGCUAGAGGAAAAGAAGCCAGGUAACAGUGGUUUGUUUCACAUUAAUUUCUUAAAGCAAAUGAAGUUAAAAAUGCAGCAAAAUAAUGAGUGCACACCCAUGGUAAAGCUAGGAGUAGACACCCCCACUACUCCCUGCCAAUUCUUUUUACCUCUUUCAUGUUUAGUAGGGCUUUACUCUGGACCAAAUGGUCAUCUAGAGUUAGGAAUCUUAAUUGGGGCAGUGCAUUCAGGCUUGUGCUUGCAAAGCAUUUCUGAAAACCAAGUUAAAAAUACUAAAAACAAAGAGGUAAAUGCUAUAAAAAGAGUUGUGCCCUUUCAACCUCAACGUAACCCAAGGCAACAGGGUCACUAAUCUAACACAAGUAUUUUAGAAAUGGCCUUGGCCAUCCAGAGUUUGAUAUUCUUGUAGUAGGGGUCCUUUCCAGAAUAAAGAAGGCAAGUACUCAUAUCAAUCUCAAUUUUAUUGAACUAAUCGCAGUUGGUAGGAUUCACACCACCAAGUAAGGCAGUGUGACACUAGCCCUUUACUCAAACUGCAUGUCUACGUCUGUCAUGUGUUCCUUCUAUUUUUCAUACAGCUUGGUUCUUUUGUAACGAGUCUGGCCUUUUCUCCCAAAACCUUAACUGCAAUGUUCUCAUCUCCAACAUCUUCUCAACCUCCUCAAUUGGAAGCCCUUUGGUUUCUGGAACAUAAAUUAUCACAAAGAACAGGGCCACAACUGAUAUUACUCCAAAUAGCAGGAAUGUCCAAGACGUCCCAAUGGCUUGUGUCAAAGAAAGGAAGGACUGGGCAACAAUGAGGUUGGAGACCCAGUUUGCAGUGGCAGCUAUUCCCCCACAAACCCCUCGAAACCUUAAAGGAUAUAUCUCUGAAUUCACAAUCCAUGGGACAGUACCCAUUCCAGGGGAGAAGAAUAUGAUAUAAAGAGCCAAGCCAACUACUGCAAGCCACCCGUAUUUGCUUGGACAUCCGCUUGUGUACCAUAGACUAUCUUCUUUAUGGCACAGAUCCUUCACUGUGUCGUUUGAGAUCAAACAUGCCCCUGGAAGCAGCUGCAACAACAAAAGUAAUACUUAUUAUCAAUAACAAGAAGAGCAAACAAUGGAUUUUUUGAAGCUAUAGUAUCGUGAUUUUUUUUUUUCUUUAUUCAUUGCAUGUGUUGUAUUCAUAAUUUUUUGCUAACUCAGCGGGGAAUGGAAAUUCUGAAAAUAAUGUUCUCAGUUUUGAGACAGGACUUCUUGCAUAAAAAUUUGGGAAGGAACCAAUUCUGUGAAGAUUUCAUUCAUGUUUAGUAGCAACCGGCCCUUAGAAGAUAGAAAUACAUAAAAAAAGUGUGUUUUACCUUGUUAAUAGCGGAGGCGCAGAACCCACAAUCUGGAGAUGAAGCUUUCAAACACUUCAUGCAGUCCCAAGUAGCAUCUUCUUUGGCUGAACUGUAAUCCGGGCAGGUGUAAUUUGCGAAGCGUGAUGUUGCUAGCGGGCUAACAUCUGGCGAGUGUGAUGUUGUCUCAUGGAAGACUGCUGAUAGAAGCCCAAGUGAGAUUAUAACACCAAUCAGACUGAUGACCAAAAGCUUCUUCCUUCCAGUCCUGUCAAUGAAAUAUAUGCUAACAAUGGAGCCCAAGGCAUUGAGUCCAGCAGUUACGAGCGAGAGAAGGAGUGCAGUUCGGUUUGAUGCAAAACCAGCAAACUGGACAAUGGUGGGGCUGUAGUACAUAACUGUGUUUAUGCCCACAAACUGCUGGAAGACUUGAAGCCCCACCCCUGCAAUGAGUCCCCUCCUAACUGUUUUGGUUCUCCAUAGUUUGAUGAAGUUAAUCUUCUCAGAAGAUCCCUCUUCCUCAAUCUCUUUUUCAACAGACUCCUUUAGAUCUUGGAUCUCUGUUUCAACCUCGUGGGCUGGGUAUAUUUUCCUUAGUAUGGCUUUGGCCUCUUCUUCUCUCCCCUGUUAGAUAAGAAAAUAUUGAUUAUGCUGGAACUUAAAGGUUAUGUUUGGUUUGGAAAGUAAAAUAGAAAAAAAAAAAUAUUAAGAAAAAUGAUUUUUUCAUGAUUGUCCUAUAAAAUAUUCCAAAGAAAAUUAAAUAUAAUUAAAAUUAAUUAGAAAUUUAUGUCUUUUAAAAUUAUUUAAUCUUUAUAUUGAUGAGUUAAAAUAAAUAAAAUGAGUUUGAAGUAGUAAAUAAAAAUAAUUUAUCAUUUAUAACUCUAUUUUUUAUUUUCUUUCACUUUUUCUUUUUUUUUUACAUUUACUCCCCAUUUUCUUUUCUUUACAUUUUCCCUCAAAUUUUCCGGUGAACCAAACUAAAGGAAUAAUUGAUUGGAAUUUAGAAGCUCUACAGUUUUGAAGUUUGUGAAAGGAGAACCUUGCGGAAAAGCCAACGAGGGGACUCUGGAAGAAGGAUCAUCAAUAUGAACUGCACCAAAGCUGGGACUCCAGCAACUCCAAGCAUCCAUCUCCAUGUCCCUGGUGCCUAUAUUUUGACACAAACAAAGUGGAUUAGUGUCUUCUCAUAUGUUUACGUCUUCAUGCUUUGGGCAAACUUCAGGAACAAACAACUUCCGAUUCUUACCCCAUUUACAUCAUCUUGUAAACUUUACUGAUAAGUAAUAAGGUAUCCAGUUGUUCAAUGGGAACCAAACCAAUCCAGUGUAUGCAGGGUUCACUUUUCCAUAGCUCAGUUCUACUUGAUCUAGUGGCCCAUAAACAUAAAUGAUAGACUGAAUUUGAGAGGAAGUAGCAAAUUCAGCUUUCAAAAUAUCGAUCAACCAAGAUUUUCUGACAUUUCCUAGAGGAUUUCAUCAAUUCCUGUCUUCAUAUUUUUAUCUUUGACCGGGUAUUGAUAGUUCCAUAUUAAACAAUUAUGUGAUCAAGUAAAUAUUUCAAACUCCUUCUCCCUAGAUCCUCCAAUUCAUGGAAUUUAAUGAUCAGAAGUAAUUUCUCAAAAAGAAGUCUCUACCUGAAGUGGAAGGUUUUAAGUUCAGUUUCUGUGAAGUUGCUUACCGUUGGAACUCAAUAUUUUCAGCCAUUAGAAACCAUUCCUCAUGGUCGACGGCCAUCUUGAUUAAGUGGGUUGUAUUUCCUGACUUGUAAGAAAUAGAGAGAAAAAAAAAAAAAAAAAAAACAAAAGCAGAAAGGAAAGAGUUUUUUUGGUUGCUUACCUUGGUAAAGGCCAAGUUGAUAAGGUAAGCCAGAAACUGGCCUCCAGUGAUGAGAAAACCAUUGGUACUGACCAGGGCACCUCGAAUUUUUGCUGGAGAAGCUUCUGAGAUAUACAGUGGGGACGUCAUGGAAGCCAUUCCAACACCCAGUCCAACAAAUACUCGUCCAACGAUGAGCGUAGCUGGGUUUUGAGCUGAAGCCAUGAUCACAGCUCCAAUGAAGAAGAGGAAGUCUGCAAUUAGAAUUGCAGUUUUCCUUCCAUACCGGUCGUUCAUCCAUCCACCUAUUGCAGCUCCUAUAAUUGCUCCGGCCACCGCCAUGCUCACUAUGCUUUCCUAUAUAUACAUAUUUAUUGUCAUCCAUACUAAUCUGUCAAGUAUAUUCAUCAAUCCCUGUGGAAAAUUUAGAUGGCGUAGGAAAUUUAAUCAAGAAACACAUUUUUUUGGCUGCAUAAUGUGGGCUUCACAUGAAUUCUCCCUUGAGGAUCAUUGAAAAGGGUAUUCAUCCUGAUAAUUUACUCAAUUCAAAAAUUGAUUUCAUUUUUUUUCUCACGUGUAUCAUGAAAACUCCUCUCAUUUAAUAUUUUAUCUUGUAGAGAAAUUUAUUAAAUUACAAAUAUGAACACAAAGAUCCCAGAAAGACCCGGGCAGCAUGAGUCUUGUCAUCAUUUUUUUCCUUUCCUUUUCUUUUCUUUUUUUUGUUUGGAAAAAAAAAAAACUCAUCACGAGUUCAUGAAUCCAAAGUGAACCAGUGGAAAAAGCUUAGAUAAGGGAGUUGGGCAAUGAGUGGAAAUUGAGUGGCUGCUGCUUCUGAGGCGUGAAGAUUGGAGGGCAGUUGGGUCAAACAGAAAGCCGACAAGGGGUAGUAACGUCCAAGAGGAUCAAUAUAAAAAAAAAAAAUAAAAAUAAAAUUGAAGACAAGUACCUGCAACACAGUCUGCUUAUCCACAGAAUCGAAGUCCUCUUUGAUAUAGAGAAGCGCUCCCGAUAUCACUCCUUCAAAGUUCAAACCCAUCACAACACAGUGAUCAACAUCUUUCAUAGAUGUAGUAGAAGAAGAAAGACGAAAGAAGAAAGCAGAAAGCAGAAAGAGCUUCUAAAAAUUGUACCAGUAUCAUAUCCAAAGAGAAGGCCACCGAUGCCGGCGGAGAAAGCGAGACGAAGAACAUACGGGUUCUUCCAAGCUAGAGAGAAGCAGUCCCUGAAAGCCGACGUUUCCACAGGGUGUAUCCCUCCUUCCAUUUUUUUUUCUUUGUUGUCCUGUUUAUGAAAUGUAUCCAAACACACCCUUAAGCUACCAUGAAAGGGGGUGAGAGAGAGACAGAAACGGGAAGCAGAGACUAAGAGAGUGUUUGUUUGAUGGGGAGUCAGAGAGAGGAAGCAAGGAGAGCGGCCACUUUCCAAUUCUCAAUGCCCUCUUCCAGUUCCAGCUUCUCACUUAUACUGGAAAAAUGAGACUUUCAUUUUCACACGACCUUAUUAUUAUUAAAAAAUUAUGUCAUUUUUUAAGGCCAUUUAUUUAAAAUAAAUGCGGAUAAUGUUGAUUUCUGUUCCGCCCGCAGUCAACAGUCAAUUAACCUUGUCGUAUGCUAAACAGGAUGACGAUAAUGAUUGCCCCCAGUCGACCUUUACGGCGCGUGCGUUGCACCCCCAAUCAUACCAAAACUCUCACCCCCAAUUCCCCACUCCCAAAAUAAUUUAACAGCCCCCCCCUGUCCUCACAAACCGAAACGCCUUUCAGUUUCCGUUACGGCCUUCUCAACAUCUCCUUUUGGAUUCUCCCUUCUUAAUUGCCUCCUCAUUUUUCAAUUUUUUUAUAAUUAUUCUAUUUUAUAAAUUAAAAUUUUGAUUAUUAAAGAAUUUCAUUAACACUAAUAAUUGUUUUAUAAAAUAAAUAAUUAAUGAUAAUAAUAUUAACAACAUAUAUAAAAAUAACAUCGAUUCUCUUUUUUCUAUUAAAUAUCUAAUCAAAUUUAUUAUGUUUAGUAUUGUUAAAGUUUUAUGAUCUGAAUUCUAUUUAGUCCAACCUAAAAAACUCGCGAUACAACAUAUAUGAUAAAGUUAAAAUUAUGAAAUUUUUUGAAGAGGUCUCGACACUAUCCCUGAUCCCUCCUCCUUUUUUGGACCAAUUUUUGAUAUAGUAAAAUUUUUUUACUCUAUUCAUAAUUUUUUUGUUUAAGGUUUUUCACGUAAAUCAUAGUAUUCUUAUUACCUGUUCUCCUUAUUUUGUAACAAGUACCAUUGGAACCUAUUAUUAUAAAUAUGUUUAUUUAAUUAAAAGUAGUAUUCUUAAAUAAAAAUAAAAUCAUCAAGGACUGGUUUCUUAACUAUUUUAAGUUAUAAUUAAUAUUUUUAAUGAUAUAUUAAAGUGGUUUGUCCACAAUUUAUAAUAAUAACAAACUAAAUAAAAAAUGGUUUCAAAUAAAUUAUACUAGAACAUAGAGUUUAAAAAUUAUGACAAUUUUUUUGUGGGACCAUGCAUUUUUUAUUUUUUAUUUUUUGUUUGUAUAAUAAUAAGAAUUUCUUAAGUUUGUCCAAUUUUCCUGCUUUUUCUUAUCCAUACCCAAACAGUGUCUCAAAUCUUGUUUCCCCUAAAGUGAAACUGCUUUAAAUCAAAAGUAGCAACAUGUUUUUGACAAAUUUAGCAGGGUGGCAAUGAUACAAAAAAAUUUACUCCUGCAUCCACCAUAUUUUAUUCUAUAAUAGCAAACUUUAUGUUCAAAGCAUAUGUAUGAUAUUCAUUAAAUUCUAGAUUUAAAAAAAAUCAAUAAAAAGAAGGAUUUUUAAUUGACAUUGUUAGUGAUAUUAUAAAAAAGAAGAAACCAAGGGACUGUUUGGUAAUUGCCUUAAAAAACGGUUGUGGAAAAUAAUUUUUGAAAACUGUUAUUUGAUGUUUUAUUGAAAAAGACCUAUUUGGAAAUAUUUUUAACUUAUUUUUAAUAUUUUUAGAAAAUAAUUUUUACAACUAUUUUUUAUUUUUAAUCAUUAUACAUGUUUAUAUAAUUAUUUUUUAAAACAAUCCUAUGAAAAUAAGUGAAAAUAAGAAAAAAACAAUUAAAAAUUAUUAUCCAAAAACAUCAUAUUUUCUAACCUUAAAGAACAGGAAAUAGAAAACGGCUUUUGGUUAUCCAACAUGUUUUCUUGAUUUUUUGAUUUUGAGAAUAAAAAAAACAGUUGCAAGCACAAAAAAAUUAGGUUGCUUAUGUGAUCCUUUAGGCAAAAACAAACAACACAUUUUUUUUUUUUAAGGAUGGAGGCAAGUUAGGAGAAAUGAAUAAUUUAGUUGAAUGUGUGUAAACAUUGCAAGUAUGAGUAAUAUAAUAUAAUUUAAUGAUUAUAAAAUUGUAGCUACUGUUUUGGGAAGAAAGAUGACUUCAUUUAAAGAUUAAAUUAACUUGAGCCUACAUUUGAUUGAUAACUGCCAUGUGAAUCCACUUUUCUCUAACAAUAAAGUUGUGAUGAACAUGGCAUGGGUUAAGUGUGAGCAACAUAGUAGCUUAAAAUUUGGACAAGUAACUUGGUCACAGAGGCCAUCCAUCCACCCUCACCCCCACCAUUUAAUCAACCACUUUUGACUAGUCCCACUGCUAACAUAUGGGGUAUGAGGGGGUUUGUAGAAAUUUAGGGAUUUGACAAAGAUAAUCACCAUAUGUAACAUAUGGAGGUCAUCAAGUAAGGGGUCUCAAUCCUCUUUUUUCAAUGGACAAAAUGUCUAAUAUUCUACACCAUAUGCAUGUACAUGAAUCUUCCCAGAGUGACAGGUCAGGGUAAUUGAAGCCAAAUUUCAACCCAAAAGAGCCUCUUAAAAACAGACAUGUCUUUCUCUUUGCUCAACCAUGACAGCCACCAUAUCUGCAAAAUAAGUAUUACUUUUCUUCUAUUAAAUAAAAAGCAGAAGCAAAAGCAAAAGCAAAAGCAAACGCAAACGCAACGGUGCCCCCUCUCCCCUCUCCUUUGGAACCGAACCAUUUUUUGAGAUCACCUAUUAGGAGCCAGGUCAAAGAUGGUGUGAGCCCUAGUUGGUAGAUGUCACCAUCCACCUCACACACUUCAUUAGAAAAACCCACUUGAUCAAUGAUAUAACCAGAAAGUUGUCAGAAUGGAUAUGAUCACCUUGCUUGAAAGCAAGCGUAUCUAAAUUUUUUAUUAGAAAAUUUGGAAGAAAGCCCUUUGAUGGAAUUCAUCAAUGAUGCCAAGAAAAAAAGGGGCACAAAUAGUAACUGCAAGGGUAUAUAUGAUAUGAUCAAUUGUAACGAGAAGACAAACCAUGUGAGGUAAUUAUGAUUGGGGCGGGGGUCUACCUCAAUUAGAUUCAGCAAUGGUGUGGUGGUGGAGAGAGCCCAAAAGUGGAACAUUAGAGACGGAACUUUAAUAAUAUGGAGUCAAUUGGGAAUUGGGAUAGAAUGGUGAAAAGAGAGAAGAUGAGGACCACAGCUUUUGAUUCAUUAGACAUUAUAAUUGCAGUAUCACUACCUACCAUUCCAUUUUACAUGAAGACAUUCAUGUGCUCUCUCAAUCUCCCUUUUGGUCUUGAUAUCACCUUCUCUUCUUUGCUUAAAGUUGCUUUGGAAUCUAUCAUUCAAAAAGGUCAUACUUAUUUGCAUGAGCAUCAUGAAUGUGAUUAGUGCUAGAAAUUAAGGGAAGUUACUUUAUAUUUUUCAAUUGUUCUUCUAAAUGCAUGUGUAUUUAUGAAUGCAUGAAUUUAUUUUUUGAAAGAAUAAAUUUUGUUUUGAGAGUUGAUUGAAGGAAUUUAAAAGAUUUGACUAAUUUUUAAAAUUAUCUUUCACAUUAUAAAAUUACAAAAAAUUGUAUUUUGUUUUUUUAUUAGAUAAUUUAAAAACAAUCCAUUGGAAAAACAAAUUUUGGUGAGGAGUGCUUAAGUGGUCCUUAUGAGCAUUGAAGUGCUUGUAAUCAAUUUACAUAUUUUUGUUAAUUUUCUUGUAAUCAGUUUACAUAUUUUUGUUCUUACAAGCAUUCAAGUGCCUUGUUAUUAGUUCACACGCAUAUAUAUAUUUUUUAAAUUGUAAGAAAGUGCAUUUUGUCUUUUCUUAGACAAUUUUUAAAUAAUAGGUUGGAAAAACGAAUUUGUGAGGAGCGCUCAAGUGGUCCUUGUGUGCCUUUAAGUGCUUGUAAUCAGUUUACAUAUUUUUGUUAGUUUUCUUAUUCCAAAUUUUUCAUGACAUCGCCUAACUUGUUAGGUUUUUAAGACUAUAAAAAUACGUUAUGUUAUUGAUGUUAGGUGCGCAUCUUAGAGUAGGUGUGUUUCUAACACUUUCGAGAGCUUAAUUUUUUAUCGAGUUUAGUUUGUGGAUAUUGAUUGCAUCCCCUCGAGUUGUUGAGGAGUUCACUUAGGAGCAUGAAACAUUGCAACAUGGACAUGAAAACAAAUGUAGGUACUGGCUUGUGUAAGACCUUUAGAAAGAGGAAACAUGUAGUCCAUAUAAAUUUGAGUACUUAAUUUUUCAUAAUUAGUAAAUUUACUCUAAAGUUGAUUAAACCUAUAAUUUUUAUAUCUAUAGGUUUUCUAGUGGACCUUGCAAGUGGGUUUUUCACGUAAAUUACACAUAUAUAUUGAUUAAGAAAAAUUACAAUUAUGAAAAAAAUUGAUUUUUAGGCUUAAAUAUCAUAACAACCUAUUCAUUCCCUCACUUAGCUAGUUUUAGAAUCAAUAUUCAAACUUUCAAUUAGUAUUAGCAUAUGUUGAAUUUAAAAAAUUAAACUUUUUCCAAUUCUUGCAUAAUCUUGAUUCAUGGAAUCACAAGAAGUGGGAGCAUUUGUAAAUAAUCCAACCUACUUUAGUGGAAAUAAUUAUCCCUAUUUGAAAGCCCAUAUGAAAUUCAUUUUGAAAAAUGUAAGAAUGAAUUUGGAAUGCUGUUGAUUUGAGUUAGUGACUUUCAUUAAAGUUGUAUAGAACUGGUAGAUCCAUAGGAGAAUUAAAGCCUAAAUAAGAAUGAGAUAAUCUUGAUAACAAAGGUAGUUAGGCUAACAUUAGGGCCCUUUAUAGCAUCUUAAAUGGUAUUAGUCCUAUAAGAUAAAAAUUAAAACUAUAGUUUAGACAAAUAUUUGAAGAAGAUCUUUGUAACUUGAAUUACAAUCCUUAAUGUUAGUAACUUUUUGUAGGGAAUUUCAAAUUUCUCCAUUCUUUAUCCCAAGCUUAGGUUAGGUGCAUGAAAACUCCUUAGGCUAUGGAAGCAAAAAUGCAAAAUAAAGGAUUAGAAAAGUGUUACAGAAAACUUUAUCUUUGAUUUUAAUGUUCUUAAAUCAAAUUCAUUUAGAGAAUAUUAAAUUUGAAGUUGCCGAAAGCCUUAUAAACCCAUGUUCUUCCACCCUAUGACUUUACCUCGAUCCUUGACACUCAAGCGGUGAGGUAUUUAGAAUGGUGUUGGCUAAAGCUUUCUCUUCUUUUUGGAUGGUGAAAGACGACUAAUUAGAAACUUUAACUUGCUAAGGAGGAUAUUUAUAGGGUUUUUCAUUGAACUUAAAUGACUUGAGUCACAUGAGCUUAGAUAACUUAAUAUAACCUAAAAAAACAUCCUAAUUGAUUAAUUUACCAAACAAGGCUAUCCAAGUAAUUAAUUAAUCUAGUUUAGAGAUGUCGUUCACUAACCCUUGUGUAACCUUAUGUAAUUACUAAAAUGCCCUUAUGCACAUAAGUUGACUUAGAACUUAUCCAACCCUUAUCAGAUAUGCCAUCAAGGUGUAUGAGUUCGAAUUGGGACCAUUAGGACCCACAUGAGUACUGACUCCAUUAGAAUCCAAUUCUAAAGUUGAUUCAACAUCUUACUAUAAGCAAUCAACUAUACUCCAAUAUCUUAUGUAAAUAAUAACGAAAUAAAGUUCAAGUUUAUGACCUACUAUCCACCGCAUGCAGAUUUCUUAUGAAUUGGUGUCCAUAAUCUAACAAAGUAGUGCUAUCACCUAUUAAGAUUACCUCUCCAAUCCUUAAGUUAUAGAUCUCACCUAUUAUGUGGUCAAUUAACAUACUUUACCUCCAAAAAAAUAUGUCAAAUUUUCACUAAAAGAAAUGCUAUGACCAUAGUUUUCUAUAUCACAUGUCAAUUAGACCAUCAAAAGGAACACACCGUCUUAAUCCCCAUGAGAUAUCAUGGUGCCUUCAUUAAGAAUACCUGUUGCUACUAGUUUCUAUUAAUAGUGACCCAAUCCAUAAGGAUGUAUAACCACCUUAUCAUCCAUAAGUCAAAACCUCUCAUUGACUUUAACACAUGCUCAAUAUCCUCUGAAGAUUGGUAAUCCAUGCAAUAUAAUAGUUUGGUCAAUCAUAACAACUGAUUCCCUAACUUCAUGACUCGCUAUAAGUUCUAUUCAAUGUUUAAUUAUAUAUAAUAGUACACUCACUAUGAGAAACUCAUCUCGAAGGUUAAGACAAACCAUCAUUCCAAUUAAAAGAUAGUGCACUAUAGUUUUUACUUGAUUGCCAAAAUCCAUGAACUAAAUAUGAAUGACUUAUUAUCUUGCAAGAAACCCAUAACUUGUAUUCUCUGUGCAACUCCUAAUGCACCAAAAUUAUGUAUAAUGAAAGUUAUAUGAUUACGUAUGCUUGGAUAACCAAUUAAUGCAUAUGGGAUAGUAAAGUGAACAAGAUGCAUAAAAAAAAUAAAUUUAUUAAUGAAUUUAAAACUAUUACAUCAUGUCAUGCUUUCUAAGGCUUUAUCCCAAUACUUCAUUCUUUAAAGAAACUAUUAGAGUUUCUCAUUAUUCCACCUUCUAGAUUUUAGGUGUAGAUGAACAACAAGAACUUGAUUGAGAGAAAAUAGAAGAGAUGUGAAGAAGAUCAAACCUUUUGGAGUAAAGAUUUUUGGACUCACCAAUGAGCUUACUAUUUAUAAGCAACAUUUUUUUUUUUUUGGGUGAAAGAUAAGGAUUCCAAAUUGAAUGGAUAAUUAUCUCCAUUCUAUUUUGAACCAAUUUAAUUCAAAAAAAAAAUUUGAAUUUCAUGAAAUCUUAUCUACUUAUUCAUCAUCCUUUUAUUUAUCCCACAUAUGGACGGUGAAUUUAAAAAAAAAAAAACAUUCAAAAUUCUAACAUCUCCCACUUGUCCACAUUGGAUAAAAUCUCUAUUUUUUUUUUAUUAUUUUAAAUCUUGCAUCAAGUCCUUUUCUUCAUACAGAAAUUGGAGUGUGCGACAUGAUGAGAAGUUGUAAAGUAGGAGCGUUUAUGACAAGUGUCCAUCUCACUAGCAUAACACAUCACUCAAAAUAAAAUAUUUUGUUUAUACCAUGGCUUGUCAAUCACACUAGUUCAAGCACCUUCAAAAACUCUUAAAUGAGUCAUAUCUCAAUUAAAAAUGCUUAAACCUAACUUAUAGAUACAUUUAUAUUCAUAAUUAUAUUGAAUACAAAGUUAAUAUAAUUGUCCAAACUAUGAGCUAUAAAUAGUGGUGUGUUACAAACAAUUUUCCCUAACUAUUCAUGCUAAUUCAUUUAGGUUUGACCGCUUUCCUGACAUAUUCCAUUGGACUAUAUCAAUCAUGAUCCCUCGGUUACAUGUUAAAGUAGUGACAUCUUACUCUUACUUAAUGACAUAGUCCUAGGUUCAAGGGUGUAGAGUAGACUUUAUAGUAGUAAGGGUUCACAUAGUGUUAGAGCAGAGAUCCAUUUAACCACUCAUUUUAAUAUUCGCAGAUAGCACAUAUAGUCUGAUAUCUAUGUUACGAUAGAGUUUUCACAAUAGUGGGUGUGUCACUUUCUAACACCGUACAAAUCUUAGCUAAGUCACCUCCUUAAGUGCUUAUUAUGAGUUUCUUAGCACAAUUGCUUAUCAGACAUUUGCCUAAUAUCUCACAUUCGACUUUGUUAAGGCAAUAUGAAUUUAUGGAAUAAAAUCAUAUUUGACUUUUAUAUGUCUUAUCUUAGCCUAACUAAGGUGAUGUUCCAAAUAUAUAGUUUACUUAGCAUAAAAAGGAAAAAAAAAAGAAAAAAAAAGAAAUCAUCUCAUCCUACUUGCCAUCUAAGCACUAAGGUGAUUGUCCAUGUGAAUAGACCAAUCUAAGCUUGGUGACAAUCAAAUAAUGUAUGUUGUUGGUAUUAAUCAAACUAAAAAGGAAUCCACAUCUAAGAGGAAUAAAUGUAUAAGGUACCCAUAAAAUGUCAAUGCAAGAAGUUUCCAAAAAUAAAAUACAUAUCAAAGUUUAAAAAAUCCUAAACUCCUCACAUAAGUCCAAAUGAUAUCUCUAGUAGUGACUUUAGUAAGUGGAUUAGCCAUCAUUCUACUGGUCAAGAUAAGUUUCAGGACUACCUCCUUUUGUGCAACAAUGUCUUGAAUGUAGUGAAAACGAACAUCUAUAUAUUUAGUCCUAUCAUGGUAUUUAGGAUCCUUACUAUAUGUAACAGUAUUCAUGCUAUCACUAAAAAUAGUGGUAGGCUCUUUGGCAAAAGUUGUGACUUUUAGGUGUUGGAAGAAUCUCCUUAACCCAACAACCUCCUAUACGACUGUUAAAUAAGUAACAUACUCCAACUCCAUAAUGGAUAGAGCAAUGCAAGAUUGCUUCUUGCUACACCAAGUAAUAGCGAUACCAUUGAGUAAGAAAUCAUAUCCUAUAGUGGAUUUAUGAUCAUCUUGAUUACUAGCCUAAUCUACAUCAUAAUGUCCUCUUAAUCUCAAAUCUCCACCUAGAUAGUAAAUGAAAAAAUCUUUAGUUCGUUGGAGGUAACGAGAAAUCCUCUUAACUGCUCGCCAAUGAAUAGGGCCUGGGUUACUUUAGUAAUGAUUGACUAAUCCAACUACGCAACAUAUGCUAGGUUUAGUACACAACAUAACAUACAUUAGACUUCCAAUUGCACUCACAUAAGGAACUUUUGUCAUUCGUUUCCUUUCCUCAUCAUUCCUAGGGCAUUAAUAAAGGUUUAGGUGUAACCUUUCUUGAUAAGGGUAUCAAUAGGUUUGCAAUUUUGCAUCUGAAACCACUUUAGAAUCUUCUUAAUACAAGUCUCUUGAGAUAAACCAAGAAGUCUUCCUGAGCAAUCCCUUAAGAUCUUAACUCCAAGCGCUAAAUUUACUUUGCCCAUGUCCUUCAUAUUAAAAUUGGAAGACAACCGCCCUUUGGUGGUGACAACAAUGUUCAUGUCAUUUUUAGCAAAUAAAUAGAGCAUUCUUGCCUUUUCAAAAUAGAGUAAAUUGUCCUAAUCACCCUUAGCAAGUAAGAAACACACUUAUUGGAAAAUUCACAAAAACACCUAAAAAAACCCAAAAUAACCUAUGAAACACAAUAAGAUAAGAAAAAACUUGCCAAUGACAUCAUCAAUGGUAGUAGUGGAUUAAGGCUUGUCUAAUGGAUUAGAGGAUAUUUUAGUGGUAUAGUCAUUGAUGUGGAAAGGAUUAGAGCAAUUUGGUAAUUGAGUUAAUGGUUAAAAAAAAAUGGUUUCUAGCCAUAAGGUUUGUCUAACAAAAAAAAAUAAAGGAUUCUUAUCGAUGAGUUAUUUUUAACUUUGAUUUUUUCUAUUUAACAAAAAAAAUAAAAAUAAAUACCACCUACAAUUUAUUCUACUUAUUAUGAAGAAUUCAUGUUUGUUGAGAAAAAUAAUUAGAUAUUCAAAGGAAUAAAACCUAUCUUUUAAAUUUGGAUUUCAAUAGUUUUGAUUGCAUUAAUAUUUCAAAUCAACUAAUAAGAAAAGAAUUUGCGCCUUAAACCAAAUUUAUGUUGAUAAAUAUACUAAUUAACAUAAGAAAAAUUUUGAUAUCUUAGCAAAAUUUUUUAAUUAUUAUUAAAAAUGUAACUAUUUAUAACAUUUAAGAUAUUUAAUUUAUUCAUCUCUUUUUAUAGAUUUUAUAUCAAUAAAAAUUAUUGGAGGCACAAAAAUAUUGAUUCUCAAUAUUUUAACUUUUAAUUCCUUUUUUUUUGCAAAGUUUAAUAAACAUGUCAUAAAUGUAUUAAACUCUCUUGAUUCUGGAUUAUUCCAACAGAUAAAAUGGUCACCAUCAAGGACCACUAUUGUCGUCUUUUUUGACUUUUAUUUUUCUCCUACUUUCCAACUUUUUCUAAAGCUCACGAUUUUGGUAAAGGACAUGCCCCUUUAAAGUAAAAGUUUGAAUAAUCAAAUUUUUGAAAGCAGGGUCCUUAUUAAGAACCCCACGGGGUCCUUAUUAAGGGCCCCACCCUAGGGAUUCCUCUUAGACUGUAGAUGAUGAAGAGUAGAAAAAAAAGAAGGUAAAAUUAAAUUAAAAAAAUAAAAAAACUUUAUGUAUCUUCAAAUUCAGUUGGUGGGCAAAGUUUCCUUCCAUUUUUUAACUGGUCUCCUGAAAAAUUGGGCUUUCGUGCCCAUUUGGUUAGUGGACCUGGUUUGGGCCUUGCAUAGGUCAAAGAAUCAGAAUUGGAACUGUCUAUGGGCCUGGGCCUAACUACCAAGCUUGAUUUAUUCAUGCAACCAUGUAAGAUAGAAGCUGAAAUUCAAUUUUAAAAAUCCGACUCCCCCAAAUCAAAUACAAAGGGUCUGUUUGAUAAUUGUUUUUUUCUGUUCUCUAAAAAAAAAAAAGGAAAACAUGUCUCGUAAUGAGAAAACCAUUUUUUUUUAUUCUUAAGAAUAUAAAACAGAAGGUUUUUAAAAAAAACAUUUUAUAAUUGCUUUCACGUGUUUUUAAAAGGUUGUUUUAAAAAAUAAUUAUACAAACAUGUAGAAAAAUUAAAAAUAAAGCAUUGGAUAUGCAAAUCAUUUUUAAAACAUAUUUUUUUUAAAAAAACUAAAAAUAGAUUUAAAACAUUUUAGGUUCUAAACAAAGUUUUGUUCUACAAAACAUUAUAAAAUAUUUUUUAAAAACUUUUCUCAAAAUUAUUUUCGAAAAUAGGACCAAAAAUAGACAUCUAUAAUUGGUUUGGCCGCCCCAAACGGAUUGGAUUUUGAGAUGUGCCUAUUUCAAGGGACCGUUUGUGGAAGUUGGAGAAAAAUGAGAUGGCAUGCAACAAAAAUUAACAGAAAGAUUCUAAACUGAGAAACUAUGAUUGGGAAUGCUAAAUCAUAUCCUACAAAGAAGGAAGAAUCUACCAAAAAUCAGGCCAAUUUCCAUUGACACUGUGGACUAAAUAUUGAAGACAUCAUGACCAAAAUAUCCCUCAUUUGUCCGAGUUUAUAGCACCCUAUCUUAAAGGAUGAUCCACCAAAAAAAUCAGUGGGUUAGGUGAAAACGCCCUCUCAUGCAUUCAUUCAUUUCCAACGUCUCUCUCCCAACUCACAACAAAGAAAACAGAAAGGACGAUCACUGAUACCAACCCCAAUCCCCUCUCUCCCAAUUUUGAUUUCGUUAUCCAGUAUUCACCAUGCAUAUAUGCAUCCAACCCAGAUAAAAAAAACCCCAUUAAACCCCAUCAACCUGUAGAGAGACCUUCCUCCUCCUCCUCCAGUAUGCCUAUCUCCACCCUCAGAUCAUACCAUAAUGGCUUGUAAUGAUGAUGGAGACAGAACUUCACAGCCUAGAAGAAACCCUACCUGCUGCAAUAUCAAAACUAAAGAGACAUUCUUCCAUCAUCAGGGACGGCGAGGAAAGUGAUGCACUGGUAAAGUACACAAGUCUGAAAGAUGUGAUUCUCAACUCGCCAAGAUAUAAUUCGUACGAGGGAAAUGCUUUCGAUUCGACCAACAUUUCGAUACGGAACCAACUGGUAAAGCAUGCAGCCUCCGCCUACCUCCAGUCAGCUGCGGUUCUCUCCAGCCGAAACCAGAACUGCUUGGUCCGUAUGUGGAGGAGAAUGAAGAACAAUGCUACAUUGCGUUCAUGCUGGUUCGUCUACAUUAGGAACCCCUUGGGAGCUUGUUUCCAGCCGAUAUGUCGGUUUCUUGGUUGGACGAUACAUGAAAUUGGAAGGUUUUGGACUAGGAGGAUCACCAUAGCCUGAGACUACGUACUACUGUGAACAUGCAAUCGAUGGAGUUAAUUCUUUCCAAGCUAGGUAUGCAUUCAUUUUAUCAUUUUCUCGUCCUUUUUUUUUUUGUCUUCUAAAAUGAUCAUGUAAUAAACAAGUAUGAUCAAUUUCAAUUAUUGAUUGUAAUUAUAUUAUUCCCUCCGAUUGCAAUUGUAAUUAUGUACUCAGCGUUUGGGGCAAAACCUAUUGUAAGAUUUCCAGGUUUAAAUGCAAAGCACUUUAAUUUUACCAUCCACAACUAAAGGGGAAGCGAAAAUUGGUUGAGAACUUGGAAAUUAGAUUUUUUCAACCUAUUUUAUGUGUUUUCAAAGUAAUGUUUUUUUAUCAAAUAUGUUUUGAAGUGUGGACAAAUUGUUUUUAAAAAUAAAAAUAUUGGUUUUAUAAAUAGAUUCCUGAUGUUAUAUAACUAUGAGUUUCUUUUAACUAUGUAGACUGUUUAGAUGUAUUUUAAAAUCAUGAGAGCCUUUUUGGGCUUAGAGCGGACAAUAUCACAUGAUUGAUUGAAGGUUGUUAUAAAUUAUAUUAGAGUCAAUCAUCAAUUCCAGUGUGGGGGUUUGUUUGGUCUCGUGAGGAGUGUUUGUCCCUAGUGUGGGGGUUUGUUUAGCCUCAUGAAGGGUGUUUGUCUAUUUGGUCCUUUAAUCAUAUGGGACACAACGAGGACGUUCUAUGUGCAUAUGUGGUAUUUAUGAUGUUUCAUAUUAGAUAGGGGAGAAACUUUUUUAUGCUAUAUAAAUAUAAUUUCCUCUUAAUCAAAUAGAUGUGUUUUAAAGCCGUGGGUCCCUUUGGGUGGGAUAAUAUUUACACGGUUAAGUGCGAAUUGUUAUAUUCAAAAUAAGAUAACUAUUUUAACUUAGUAUUUAAAAUUGUUUUUGACUCUAAGUUAUAGUAUUAAAUUAUUUUAUCAAAUAUAUUUAAUUUAUUAAAUGACUUAAAUUAUUAAGUCAUAUUAUAUUAUUAAGUUGAUUUGCCAAACACCCUCUAAGUCUUCUUUUUGGUUAUAUACUUGAGCAAGGUAGAAGUCUUCAACUCAUGCUAAUGACAUUGUAAAAUAAAGGAAGAAGAACAAACUAGAUGAGAAAGAAAUUGAAAUGUUAAGAAUAAUGUAUUUAUUCAAUUAAUAGGUCAUCUUUUUAUAGAAGGGCAGGAGAUACCAUAUAUAUACAAAAAAAAAAAAAGUAGAUGAUCUUCAAUAAGUGAUGAUACUUUCAAUCCUAAGGCUUUUGCCAAUUAAUUAUGAAUUAAUGUUUUUUGAAUUUAUGAAAUGUGAUCGUUUCUAAACACAAUUGAUUUCAAUUUCGUAGGAGAUAGUGAAGUCUGUUUAAUUAAAAAUAAUAAUAAUUUCAUUUUAAAUAAGAUCACAUCUUUGUGAGAUUGGUCCAUGAGCCAUGUGGAAAAGGGGGGAGGAGGAAGACUAAGUGGCCUUCUUCAAAACGCAGCGUUUUAGUCCAUGCUAUAGGCACCAUCUACGCCUGUCAAACCCCAAAACCGAGAGGCAGCAAAUCAAAAGAUCCUCUCGUCUUCCUUCACUCAUAUCCUCAUCAUUUAUUUUUUCUAAAAGAAAAAAGAAAAAGGAAACCGUUAUGAAAUUUGGCAGAAGGUAUAUGUCCUCAAUAUUGUACGGACUUGGCAUAAUUUUAUUCCCACACCCUCUUUUAUGUCUUUGCAUGGUUAUUGCAUGCCAUUAAUCUAAUCUCCUUGAUUUCCGGCCGGCAGGCGACCUGUGAUAUCCGGUCAACAGGUCGGAAAAAUGGAGAUUCAAACUUAUCUGAUAUUCACCACUCAGUUCCAUAGAUAGUUGAUUUCAUAUUAAUUGAUAUCUAAUAUCCCAAAUAACAUUCAUCUUCUUGAUAUGAGCCUUCCAAAAACAAACAAGCUCAGUUCACUGUACAAUUAUGUAUGUCUGAUUAUAAUCAUAAAAAGACGGGUAAAAGUAGACAAUAUAAUAGGGAAAUUCUAGUAAUAGGAGUUGGUUGGAUAUUCCGGUGAUGAUGAAGUUAUAGCCAGAGAGCUCCGGCAGCUUUCAGGAGAGGGACCAAGGUGCCGUUAAUGUGACAAGACAUGAGAGUUUCGAUACCGCCCAAGAACUUGCCACCCACAAAGACAGCCGGGACAGAAUGCUGGCCGCCGGCGAGCUGGUACAGGACGGAUUGCAUUUCGGAGCCAUACUUCUCCUUGUCGAGCUCCACGAUAGUGGGUCCUACUCCAAGGCCGAAAAGCAGCUGUUUCAUCACGUGGCACAUGCAGCAGCCGCUGAGGCUGAACACCACCACCGCAUUGCUGGAGCCCAGCCUCCUCACCGCCUCAUACGUGGUCUCCGGCUUCUCAUGGGCUUCACCGUCCAUCCCAAGCUGUUCCUCUAUCAUGCCUGAUUCCUUCAUUUGCAUGCUUUCUGGUUCCAAACUGCAAUAUAACUACAGAGGAUAGAAAAAUGAAAAUAAAAAUAAAAAUCCUAAGGAUUCGCAAAGCUACUUUUCUGUGUAUGGAAGGCAAAAGAUUGAAGGGGUUUCAACUUUCAAGUUCCAACUGUUGCUUUUGAGCACGUAUGAUGGGAGAGAGUACCGAGUGGCGGUAUUUGUAGGGUUUUGCAGCAGUAGUACAAGCUACAUAUACAAGAAACAAAAAACAAACAGUGAAAUACAGUGAGUUGGGAAGCAGAAAACAGCGGAAUGCAUAGGAAAUGUUGCAGAGCAGUAGUCCAAAGUCCAAACGACUCCUAGGGUUUGCAGAUAAUUAAAAGAAGAAAAUGGAAAUAGAGAGAGAGAGAGAGAGAGGAGGAAUCUGAAGAGAAGAGGAGAGAAUGAGAGGGACGUGGGGGAGCGUACCCGGCAAUAUCUGACGGCUGCGCAGUGCUGGAGGUUGAGCGCUCUCAGCCUCUCUCUCCUGCUGCUUCUUAUCCUCACAGAGAGUACGGACUCCUAAUCAUCCGCUCUCAGGCACAGCACGCCAUGUCUCCUUCAACUCUUGGCCUGGGGUAUCCUCUGCCUCUAUGCUGAUGCUGAUGAUGGUUAAUGGCAAUUUUUCUUCCCUUUUUUAUACAGUUACCAGGGAGACACGCGCCUCCCACGCGCCAACUAACCGGGACCCACAGAGACCACUACUGCAACUUCAACAGAAUUGGCGUGAGACGACCUGUACGGAUUUUUCAACGGCAAGACCCAAGGGUUUUGGACCUUUUUGUAUCAGAGAAUCACGUUUUCUCGUGGAGAAGAGCGACCGACAGGCCAGACAAUGCAACGUCUUCGACGCCGUCGUUUUGGCGGUCAGUGGAUCGGUCUAUAUACGGAGCUUGCGCAGGGGCCCUGGUCAUCGUCCUAGCCCUUGGGACAGAUAUAUGUUAUAUCGACAGGGCUUGUAAAUUGUAAUAACGCCUUUCCGAAUCCGAACCACAGAAGCUAACCGCUAGUGGUUGCCCCCGGCAUGGAUAAGAGCAGAAGGAAACGGUCAAAGACGAGGUUCUUUCAACUUUUUUUUUUAUUUUUUUUCAUUUUUUUUUCAUCUAAUAUUAAUAAGUGUAGGUAAUGAAAUCCAUCGGACCAUGAUUGGGUACAUCCAAACAACUCCUUAGGAAUGAUGAUAUCGAUUGGCUCAUUGGGUUUAACAUUGCAUGAUAUGGCCCCUUCGAUUUUGCCAGUUACCUUCUAACAUAAUUUAUUGCUUUUGGUCGCAUGGGUAAAGAAAAAGUAGGCUGUGGCUCUCCAAUCAAGAAAAUUGCAAUAUUUUCAAUGAUAUCAUAUUCUAUAAGCUUAAUUUUUUUUUCCAAAUAAUUCAAAUAAAUUUUAUUAUCUUUCUCUAUAUUUAUUUAUCCAUAUCUAAUAAUUUUAACAAAAAAUAUAGAAUAAAUAAAUAAUUGAGUAAUAUGGUAAUAUAAUAAUAUAAUAUUUGUCGUAUAAUAUAUUAAUAAUUUAUUUUCACAUUUAAAUAUUUUAGUUUUGAUGUAUAAAUAACAAUCAAUUUUUUUUAUUAAAUAUAUAUUUCUAAAUAAUAACUACAUCAUAGUAUUUUAUUUUACAAAUUCCACACUUAAAAUUUUAUUUUAUUUUAUAAGUUAAGAUAACAUAGUUUCGAUAGAGUUUUCAUAUAUGUUAGGUACCAUGCUUUUAUUGUGCAAAAAUUUCAUUAAAUAUGGUAAAUAGAACAUUUUUUUAAGUUUUAAAAUUUAAGAAAAAAAAAAUGGUGGAUUUUAUUAUUUGUAUGUUGGUGAUGUUCAAAAUAAUUUUUUCUUGACUUUUUAUUUUUGAUAAUUUUUCUUAGGUAAUUUCUUUUUCAAAGAAAUUUAGUAAAAACUAUCAAUUUAUAACUAAAAUUGAAAAAUUAGAUUUUGAUUUACAUGAAAGGAAGUUUUAAAAGUAUUUUAAUUGGAUUCAAAUGGAGGUAUUCCAUACCCCUACUAUUUAUAUUGUAAACCUAAAGUAAAUAGAGUUAUAAAUGAGAAAAUAAUAACCAUUUACUUAAAUGUUUAUAAUACAAAUAUAAAUAAAGAGCCAUAGAGUAAAUAAAAUUGUAUAGAAAUAUAGUUGCAGUAUUGCAGAGUAAAUAAAAUCAUACAUAGAUAUAAUUACAUUGUUGUAGAGUAAAUAAAACUCGGACCACUUGUGCAAUCUUUUUUCAUUUGUGUUUCACUUGGUAUAUUUUUUUUUUUAACAUUUCUUUAAAUUUUGCAAAUGAUCAUCUUCCUUCUUUGAGAGACCUUUAGUACCUUAAAACUUUCUAUUGUAGGAAUCAUGAAACAUCUUGAAUAAUAAUCAAAUCCAAACAACAUCAAUCUUCUCAACCUAGAAUAUUGUAAUUCUACAUCAUGUUGUUCAAGUUAUUUGUAUACAAAUAUAACUAUGACACAUAAUUAUAGUUCUUUGUUUUUCUUAUUAUUACAAAAUUUUCCAACAUCCAAAACAUCUAUACCAUAAAAACGUAGCAUCCCAAAUUCCUUAGCUGUAACAUCAUCUUCCUUCUUGCUCCCCUCUAACUUGGUCUGUAAAAAAUAAUUUUACAUAAAAAAGAACAAACUCAUAAGAAUGAAUGCUAUUGAUGUUGCAUAAAAAGACAUUGGACACGUACUUGUACAUCGAAACGUUGAGUUGUCUUUUACCAAGCCUUAUAAAAGGUAAAAAGAAAGAAGGUUGUAACAAACUUCAUUGAUAAUAAUGGAAUUGAAGACAUAACUCACUUGAAUGUGUUCAAUUUUUUUGAAGAUCCUAGUGACAAAAUUGAUCGUUUAAUUGGAGAUGAAUAUGUUUUUUAUGAUUGAUUGUCAUGCCUUAUAUGUUAUUUUAUCUUCAUAUGUUCUUUCGUUUUACAAACAUUAACUUUUUUUUUUGAGUUCUUUUUUUUUUUUCUAUGCAUGAUAUUUAUAUAUUUAUUUAUUUAUUUAUUCAAAUAAAUAGAUGAAUCAUCUUAACUUGACUAAUUACACAACACAUCAUGAAGAUGUAUGUCUUGCAAACUGUGUCACAACGCAUACAAUUUUUCUAGAUUAAAAGUAUUUCUUGAACUUAACAUUUGUACCAAACAUUAUUAAUAUAAUAUUAGGUUCUAUAAAACCUAAUUCAAAGCUCUAGAAGAGCUACUAUUGUUUUAAUUAGCAGAAUCAAACUUAAUAUUGAUGAUGCAUUAUAUUAUGUCAAAUUUAAAAGGAAUUUGCUUAGUUUCAAAGAUAUUUGUCAAAAUGGAUAUCAUAUUGAUGCUAUGAAUAAAAGUAAUAUAGAGUUACUUUAAUUGUUUCGGGACAAAAGUAACUAUUAGAGAAGCUCCCUACUUUUUCUUAUGGGUUGUAUCAUGCAACCAUUAGACCUAUUAAAUCAUAUGCUAUAAUGACCCACAAAUUCUAUGACCUAUACCUUUAUAAUUUGGCUUGAGUGAUUCGGUCACCUUAGUUCAUCUAUGAUGCGUUGAAUCAUUUGUAACUCUCAUGGGCACCCUUUAAAACACCAAAAGAUUCUUGUGCCUAAUAAUUAUAACUGUGUUACCUGUAUUAAGAAGAUAUAUAUAUAUAUAUAUAUAUAUAUAUAUAUAUUAUCAAGCCAUCUUUUACCAAAGUUGUCUCAAAAUUCCCAACCUUUUUAGAAAGAAAUCAUUAGGAUAUAUCUGGCCUCAUUCAUCCUCUUUGUGGACCAUUUCGGUAUUUUAUGGUCUUAAUAGAUGCCUUCACUAGGUGGUCAUAUGUUUAUCUCAUUUUCAUUUGCAAUAUUGCUUUUAUUAGGUUACUUAAAUAAUUAAUCUAAGAACACAAUUUCUAGAUUACCUUAUUAAGAAAAUUUGUCUUGAUAAUGCGGGUGAAUUUCCAUCCCAAACUUUUAUUGACUUUAGUAUGUCAACUAGAAUUGACAUCGAACAUGUCUUGUUAUUCAUGUUCAUACCUAAAAUAGUCUUGUUAAAUAUCUUAUCAAACGACUUUAAUUGAUUGUUCUACCAUUACUUUUAAGAACACAACUACCUCUUUUUGCUUGGGGUCAUGCUAUGCUCCAUGCUCAUCCUUAGUCCAUCUUUGGCUUUUCGUUUAUCAUGAGGAUUCAUCUUUAAAACUUGUACUUUGUCAACAACCAAAUGUUUCUCACUUAAGAAUUUUUUGUUGUACUAUCUAUGUCCCUAUUGUUCCUCCUUUAAAGACUAAGAUGGGUUCUCAAAAGUGCCUUGGGAUUUAUGUUGAUUUUGAUUCUCCAAAUAUCAUUUGAUAUUUGGAACCCCAAAUAUGUGAUGUUUUUAUGACAUGUUUUGUCGAUUGCCAUUUUGAUGAAACAAUUUUUCCGUUGUUAGAGAAAAAAGUCAAUUCCAAAAGAAUGGCGUGAAAAUAAUAUAAUUACUUAGAAUACAUUGAUUUUAUCUGAUCUUGACCUUUAAACAAAUCAAUGUGAAUAAAAAAUUCAAAAGAUUAUUCAUUUGUAAUGAAUCGCAAAUCAACUGUCAAAUACAUUCAUUGAUGUAAAGAAAGUGACAAAGUCAUAUAUACUAAUUGCAAAUACUCUAGCAUAAAUUGAUGUUCGUAUAGGACAAUUAACCAAUAUUAUAUGAAAUGAAUCUAAGAUAUGCAUGAAGCAUGAUAGACCUAUUAGCUCAAAUGAGAUAGUUCAAUGGAAAAGAAAAAUGCAAAUAAAAACACAUAAAAACAUUGACACUCUUGUAAAAGUUCAAUAAAAAAAUAGGCUAUUAAAUUUGACUAAUAAGUCCUAGAUUAAUAAUCAAAUGACCCUUAAAGGAGGCUCAAAUUAUACAAUUAGCCUUAAAGAGACACAAAUACCUCAAAAUAGGAGAUCUCUAUUAGUUAUCUACAUACAAGAGAAAAAUGAGAUCAAAAUACACUCAUUAUACACAAUAUUUUCUUUUGAAGUGGCUAUCAACAUCAUAAAAAAUGAUGAGAAUCCCGAACUAAAAGUUGUGGAUGAAUGUCGAUGAAGAAAUGAUUGACAAAAAUGGAAAGUAAUCUAAUAAGAGCUAAACUUGUUAAAAAAACAAAAAAUAUUUGGACCAAUAGUCUAAACGCAUAUAGAUGUUAAGUCUAUUGGGUAUAAAUGUGUUUUUAUUAGAAAACGCAAUAAAAAGAAUGAAAUCAUAAGAUAUAAAAUGCGAUUAGUAGCAUAACCUUUUUCCUAAAAACCUAAUAUUAACUAUGAGGAAACAUACUCUCUUGUCAUGGACGCAAUCACAUUUUGAUUUUUAAUUUGUUUGAAAGUCUUAAAAGGACUAGAUAUGCAUAUCAUGAAUGUCAUUACAACAUAUUUAUAUGGAUCCAUAGAUAAUAAUAUAUAAAUGAAAAUCCUUUAAGGAUUUAGAUUGCUUGAAGCAAAUAAUAUAAAUUCUCGUAGCAUGUACUCAAUCAAGCUACUACAAUCAUUAUAUGGAUUAAAGUAUUUCAGACACAUGUUGUACAAUCACCUUAGCAUAUACUUUCUAAAAGAAGGGUAUGUGAUUAACCCUAUAUGUUCAUGCGUUUUCAUUAAGAGAUUAGAAACCAGAUUUGGAAUUAUUGCAAUUUAUGUUGAUGAUAACUCAUAAAAAUUGCUAAUUAUUUGAAGAGAGAAUUUGAAAUGAAAGAUUUGAGGAAAGCAAAAUUAUGUCUUGUCUGAUCAAACAGUUUUCAAAUGGAAUGUUAGUUUAUCAAUCAACAUAUACAAAAAAAAAAAAAAAACGUGAAGUGCUUUCAUAUGGAUAAAUCACAUCAACUAAAUUCUUCAAUGGUAGUUUGCUCACUAGAAAUAAAAAAUGAUUUAAUUUUUUUUUUUAAUCCUAAAUAGGAUAAUGAAGAAAUAUUUGGAGAAAUACUUUGUCUUAGUGCUAUUGGUGCACUCAUAUGCCUUGUAAAUUGUAUAUGAUUAGACAUAGUAUUCUUUGUCAACUUGCUUACGAGAUAUAGUUUCACACCAACUUGAAGACAUUGGAAUGGUGUCAACUUGUAGUAUGAUGUCUCUAUGGAAUAUCUAACAUUGGUUUAUUGUACUUAAAGGAUUAUAGUUUUAGUUACUUGGUUAUGCGGUCGUUGACUAUCUUUUGGAUUCUCAAAAAGUUUGAUCUCAAACAAGGUAGUAUAUAUUUACCUAUGGUGGUACAACAAUAUUGUGGAAUCAGUUAGACAAAUAAUGGUAGCCACAUUUUCAAAUCAUUAAGAAAUAUUUACAAUUCGUGAAGCGGUCAUGAAUGUCUAUGGUUAAGAUCGAUGAUCCAACAUAUUAGAGAGUCAUGUGGCUUCAUCAAAGAUAAUUUGACAAAGUUAUAUGAAGAAAAUGUUGCUUGUAUUGCAUAACUUAAGGGAGGAUUUAUAAAGGAUGAUAAAGCUAAGCAUAUUUGCUCUAAGUUCUUCUAUGCUCAUGAGCUAUUAAAGAACGGUAAAAUUGAUGUUUAAAUUCAUGUGAUAAUCUAGGAGAUCUAUUCACAAAAAUAUUGGUAUUUAUUAUGAAAAAAUUAAGAUACAACAUUGGGAUGUAGAAAUUGAGAGAUCUACAAAUUGAAACUUUGAAAAAAAUAUGAUCAUAUACAUAUCAGAAAGAGGAUAUUAAUAUAUAUAUACUAUACUCUUUUUACCUGCUUCUAGAUUUUAUGGUUUUACUAACAAGGUUUUUAGUGGGGUAACUUUGAUGAUAAAAUCAUUUAAAUGAAUAUUCUACUUUUUUUUCCCUUUACUAAAGUUUUUCCUAUUAGAUUUUCUUCUAAUAAAGUUUUAAUAAGGUAUAUUUCUAUAAUCAUCUAGGGUGUUAUGAUAUAUGAAAUUUGGUAUGAGAAUAUGCUACGAUAAAUGAUCAUCUAUUUCCUAAUAUUCAUCAACUGUUAUUGUUAAUCCCUUCUUGAUUAUAUAUAUAAAGUUUCUACUAUCUCUUCUUCUAUAAAAGGUGGUUCUAAGAUGGAACACAUAAUUUUAUUCCUAUUGUUUCUUCUUCCAAUUCUUAUCCUAUUAAACUCUUCUUUUAUAAUAAUAUUACCUUAAUUUAUUGUAAUUAUUUAAUUUGUAUCUGAAUUGUUAGUUCUUUUUUAGGAUUUAGAAUCCUAAUUGGCUUUUAUUAUAAUUAGAUUUUAUAAUUUUUUUAUUUAUAUUAAAAAAAAAGUGUUUGUGAUAUUCUUUUAUUUGUUUCCUUUAUAUAUAUACACAUGUGUGUGUGUGGGAGUGGUUUUUUUUUUUUUUUUUAAUUUUAAAAAUUUUAAAUUUUUUUAUUGUUUGCCAAAGCCAUUAAAAUCUGUGCGGGAAUGGGAGAAAUGAUUAGAUCGGUGGAAAAUGAAAUCUGCUAUGAAAAUCAGAGGUAGAAUAUGAAGUUUUGACCAUGGUUUUCCCAUUUCCGGUAACAGAAACCCACCACUCUAAUUUUCAAACUCAUCUUUACUUUUGACCGUUAAAGGGUGUGAAUGGACCAUGGGGCCAUGGCCCAGUGGAGUUUCUUGGGCAUUUACAAUGGGUAGGGCAGUGGAGAGUCUGACGUGGCAAGAAGACACUGGAUGGGUGACAACAUCAUGCGCGUAUCCUGGUGCCCCCAGUUUCUAAACCAAAAAUAAUGCUUUUUGUUUUUCUUUUUCAUGCCUCAAGUAGCCGGACAACUUAAAAUUGUGGAUUAUUUAUCGGCGGGUGCAUGCCUCCACGUCAUCAUAUGUCUAAACUUGAUUGGAUUUAAAAAUUGGAGAUAAAUAUAAAUCUUAGAGACAUUUAUUAUCUUCUCUUGAAUUACACCAUAAACAAAUUAAGCGUAAUACAAAAUAAUUAAAAAAAAGAAAGCUCUUAAACAUGCCAGGUGGCAAUUUUUAAAAAAAUGCCAUGUCAUUUUUAAAAAAAUCAAUAAUUAAUUUUAGGAUGUAAUUGGGCAUUAAAUCCUAAAUCCACGGUUUCCAAUUACAUCGACCGACCGUACAUUGUUUAGUUUUAAAGGUUUAGUGUAGAUCCAUAGUUCUUGAAAAUUCAAAGCUUCUGGAAUAAAACCAGCAACUACCGCCCAUCUUUUCUUUAACUUUGGCUCCUGCUUUCUCGUAUAUAUGCCAUUUAUGUUAAACAUUUGAUGAUAAAACUUACACAACUCAAAUCUGCUUUUCCUUUUCUAUUCAUCGAUAUAUUUUUUUUUUCCUGCAACCAAACAGAGGUGUUUUCUUGAGAAAUCUAGGGCUUCUAGACGCAUGGCGGUGGUGAAAUCAGAGAUUGCGGAGAAAAGUCACAGACGGCGAUGGGUUUGGGUCGUUGGGGCUCUCCUCGUCGUCCUUGCUAUGGCGAUGAAACCAAUGAUCUCGCAUUUCGGUGGCAGCAAUAAACCCUGCCACUGUGGGAAGGUAUUUUCUUUUGCCGUCUGUUUGGUUUCUGAGAAAAUCGAGCAAAAGAAAAGAAAAGUGAAAGUGAGGUGGUUGGUCUCUCGGAUGAGUAGAGGGUUCCUUUUUCAUUUCCUAGCAACCAAUUACAUGGUUUGAUUUGAAAUUUUGUGCAUUUUGGUAUCUGACAUUUAGAUUUUUCUCGAUCAAAGAACUAGUUUUGUUUUAUUAAUUUUUCUCGAAAAUAUGAACUCUAACUUGAGAGCUGUACCUAAUAUCAGAACCACUUUUUUAAUUGUUGAAAGGACUGAAAUUUUAUGAGUAAUUAUGAUUUUUUAUAGCUUUAUGAUUAAUUAUGUUUGUAUGAUAAUUACUUUAGGUUAUUGAACGAUUUUGUUACAAUUCUGAGCAUAGUUACUCAACUGAGCUUGCUUUCAUUGGUCUGAAUGACAAAUUAGACUUGACUGAUGCAGCUAUUUGUGUUUCGGCUUCUCAUUAAAAUUCUUUGCCCAAAACUUUUUCAGGAUGCACAUAAGUAUAGUGGGAUGGUAGAGGACUGUUGUUGUGACUAUGUGACGGUAGACCAUCUUAAUGAGGAAGUUUUGCAUCCAAUACUCCAAGAGCUUGUUACAACUCCAUUUUUCCGAUAUUUUAAGGUUGGUUUUAAUUCCAUACUGGCUAGAAGCAAGCAAAUUGUCUGAUGAAUUAAUACCCGGUCCUUGCUCUUCCAUGUAUUUAAUUCUAUUUUGAAGAUGAGUUAGUGUGUGUGUUGUGGGGGUUGGGGGGGGUGGGUGGCGCGGGGGAGAACAAUAUUUCGGGGUUUGAAGGUAAAUUAUUACAUGUCAAAACUAAUCUAGAUGUACGAUAUUUCUGUGUUUAUGACUUGUUUAUUCUGUUAUACUUCAAUUGAUAUUGUGUUUUCGCUUAUGCUUGACUGACCUAUAUCCCAUUUUCUGAAGCCUGUUGAUCCAUUUCUAUGGUAGGCUAAGUUGUGGUGUGACUGCCCUUUCUGGCUAGAUGAUGGUAUGUGCCACUUGCGGGAUUGCAGUGUUUGUGAAUGCCCCGAAAAUGAGUUCCCUGAAACAUUUAAGAAGCCCUUUAAUCAUGUCCUUUCAUCAGAAGAUCUUAUUUGUCAAGAGGGAAAGCCACAGGCGGCUGUUGACCGUACACUAGAUACCAAAGCUUUCAAAGGCUGGGUAGAAGUAGACAAUCCAUGGACAAAUGAUGAUGAGACUGACAAUGGUGGAUUCUUUUACCCUGCACAUUCUAACAUUUUUCAUUUUAUGUUUAGUUAAACGUUUUUGUUAAUUUAUUUCUUUUCAAGCCAAUUGCAUCUUUCUGAGAAUGAUAAGUCUCUACUCAUAUACUUGCAAAUUUUAAAGUUAAUAAUGCCCUGGUAAUUUAUUGAAAAUGUGAUCUAGCAAUUUAAGAUCCAUUGGAACUUCCAAUGACAUUGCUUAGUCAAUAACACUCCAUGUUUCUUUUCUUUUCUUAAGUUUCUUUAAUGGUUUAAUAAAGCUUUUGAUGGUUCAUUUUCAUUUGCAGCGGAGAUGACAUAUGUGAAUCUUCAACUGAACCCUGAACGCUACACUGGAUAUACUGGUCCAUCUGCACGAAGGAUAUGGGAUGCUAUUUAUACUGAGAAUUGUCCAAAAUGUGAGUUCUUAUUGUCUGCCAUAUCAUGAUGGAUAAUAUUGUUUCUCUUCUCUUAUGAAAGUAUCUAUGUUUGUUUAUUUAGUUAUUUCAAUUUCUUCAUAUUAUAAGCAUCAACGAGGAGAUGCCUAAGCCAUUUCAUUAGAAACGUUGGGUUUUAGUUGUUCGGUAAAAUUAAGGUAGCAUUUGGUUGCAUUCUAGUUUUCUUGUUCUUGAAAAUGAAGUGAUUAUCUAGAGAAAAGUCAAAAUUACAUUGUGGAGGAGGAGAUCCCUGUUCAAAACUAAAACAAAAACAACAGUAGGUGAAAAGACUAAUGGGACAUGGUGUUCCCAUUAUGAGAUUACCUAGUAGAAGCUUCCUUUAAGCAAUCCCCUCCAAGCUGCUCAUUCUCUACUAUGAUGAUUUCUUGUUGAUAUUUGACCCAUCAUGCAGAUCCAUCUGGAGAAUUUUGUCAAGAGAAGAAAAUAUUGUACAAAUUGAUAUCUGGUCUUCACUCCUCCAUAUCAGUCCAUAUAGCUGCUGAUUAUCUGCUUAAUGAAGCUACAAGCACGGUAUUGGUUCUUGCUCAUAGUUGUUUAUUUAAACUUUGGGAAUGGAAAAUGUACUUGCUCCUUGCGAAAUUAUGCCCUUUAUUCAUAUGUCCUUAACAAUGAUGGAGCCAGACAGUUCAAUUGCUAUGCUACCACUUGAAUUGAAUUUAGCAUUAAAAUACUGUUCCUGGUAUGUUUCAUAUUCUAAACCAUCAUCUUUUAGCCAUUUGGACUUUAACUUUGUAAUGGUUUGUAGCAUCAUUCCUCCAAGUUGAUCUUGGGAAACACUCAUCAUUACAACUGUUUGUGUUGAUGAUGGUGAUAAAGUUCUUUGCCUUGGGUAGAAGUGGGAGUGCAAGGGUAUGGUGACCGUGUGUUAUCCUUGCCUUCCUGUGUGUUAUUUGGAGGGAUAGAAAUUGUAACAUUUUUUACCAUCAGGAUCUUAUGGGAAAAUGCCACUUUUGAUUUAUUUUUGGCAUCUCUUCAGACUCCAGUACUUCCCCUCUCCUUGGAAAAAUUAAAACUGAUGAUUGUGCUUUUGAGCAUUCCUAGUCAGCUGCACAUUCCAGGCUUGCUAAGGAGCAUAGAGGAAUUAUAUGGGCUAUCCCAAAGUAGUAUGUGCAUGAUUGAAGGAGAUUCUUCUGUUUUCAGUUCUUAAUUUCAUCUGGGCUCCUACGGGUCCUGAAACAUCUGCCUGCUUGCUGAAAGAGACUAGGGACAUCUUAUUGAGGUUGGGAGGCCAAGCUGGCUGGAUAUCAAGGGAAAAAGCUCAGCCGACCUCCUAGCCAAGAGAGGGGCUCAUCUCUGGAACUUUGGUGGAGUUUCGAGAAAUUUUAUUCUGUGUUGAUUCUUAGGCUGUUCGUAUUAUUUUCUUGAGAUUUUUUUUUGUCUUGUUUCUAGAUGGAUUGCUUGUCCUUUCUUUUUUUCCUGGUAUUUCUUGCAUUUUUUUUAUUAAUAUGAAGUCUGUUGAUGACAUAUCUAACAAUAAUUUUUUUUCUUUGCUGUCAGUGGGGUCAAAAUCUCACAUUGCUCUAUGAUAGAGUCAUAAAAUACCCAGACCGUGUCGGAAACUUGUACUUCACUUUUCUCUUUGUUCUUCGAGCUGCCACAAAAGUGAGUAUCAAUUCUGACUCCUUUCAAGCAUCAAAUUAAGUUUUGUUGAAAGCAUACUGCUGAAGUACUACUUAAAUAAUACCAUGUUCUCUUGGUGGAGUAAUUUCCUUCAAUGUUGAUGAUUGCUCAUCUUGUUGGCAAUCUGCUCUUGUGUACAUUUCAGGCAGCAGAUUACUUGGAGCAGGCUGAGUAUGAUACUGGUAACCCUGAUGAUGACUUGAAAACACAGUCUCUAAUGAGACAGCUGCUCUAUAAUCCCAAAUUACAAGCUGCAUGCCCCAUCCCAUUUGAUGAAGCUAAGUUGUGGAAAGGUGAAAAUGGACCUGAAUUGAAGCAGCAGAUACAAAAACAGUUCAGAAACAUUAGGUCUUUCUCAAAUCCUUAUCUGAUGGUUGUCUUAUUUCAAUAUCAGUCUUGGACAUUUUUACUUAUAAAUAGGAAAAAAAAAAAAACAUAAUUUUCCUGUGUCACUUUGCUCUGAUAGAUUUUAGUAAAAAAUAGGGAAAAAAAAAAACUGAUUUUCCUGUGUCACUUUGCUCAAAUAGAUUUUAACUAUUAUUUCAAGAUGUUUUUGAAGUUAUUUUGAAAUCAGUAAUUUUCAUUUGUUUCAAAAGAAGUGCAGCAGAAGAAGGCAGAAACUUUUAUCGGGUAUCAAAUAUAAAGAAUUUAUAUCUAAGUAUGACCAAUUAGCUUCUCUAAUUUAAUAACUCCUUAUGUCUGGUUGCUUACAAUAAAUUUUCACUAUGCAUUUCAAUGUGAUCUUUGAUUGCUGCACUAUUAUUGACUGGUUCAUGCCUGUGCCAAUGAUACAAUUAUUUCUGUUUUCAUUGUAGUGCAUUGAUGGACUGUGUUGGCUGUGAGAAGUGUCGACUUUGGGGAAAGCUUCAGGUUCAUGGUCUUGGAACUGCAUUGAAAAUCCUUUUCUCUAUUGAUGGUCAAGACCUCUUGGGACAGUCUGUAAGUUUAUUAAAUUGACUUCAAAUAUAAAUUUUUUGUUCUCCUUUUACUAGCAAUUCUUACUUAAUGUGUCACUGUGCCCCUAUAAGAGGAUAUCCACGUUUCUAUUUGAAAUCCACCAAAUAGUUUUUCUCAGGAUUCAGUGAGGUUAUGUUUGGUUUCCGGAAAAUACUAAGGAAAGAAAAAAAAUGUAAAGGAAAAUGAUUUUUUUCAUGUUUGGUUGUCUAUGAAAAAUAUAAAAGAAAAUCAAAUAUAAUUAAAAUUAAUUAAAAACUUAUGUAUUUUUAAAUUAUUUAAUUUAUAUAUCGAUGAGUUAAAAUAAGUAAAAAAUGAGUUUUAAGUAGCGAGUAAAAAUAAUGUAUUUUCAUGUUUAGUCUAUUUUUUAUUUUUUAUUUCCUUUUACUUUUUCUUUGUAUUUUCCCUCAAAAUUUCUGGGAACCAAACAUAACGUAAGUGUCUAUUGGUAGUAUGAAAACAGGGAAAAUGGUAUAUUUGAUGUAUGCUUUCACAUGGUCAAGCAUUUUUGGAUUGACCAUAUAGAUUGCCUACAUCUUCAUGAAAUCAUCCUUAAUCACCCAGCAUCCCCCCGGUUUUUUUUUUCUCAUAAACUAAAUUGAAGUCUGUUCGAUCUUCAGCUGCAGUUGCAACGGAAUGAAGUGAUUGCCCUGAUGAACCUACUCAAUCGGCUCUCAGAAUCACUCAAAGUUGUCCAUGAAAUGGGAACUUCAGCUGAAAUGACCAUUAAAGGGCAGAUCUCUGCACCUGCUGCACAAAGCUGCCCAUUACAAAGGAUAUGGGCAUCUAUCGUUGGAACCAAGGAAGGACAGAGCUCUGCACCCACUUCUCAAGGCUGCCCAUUGCAAAGAAUGUGGGCAUCUAUCGUAGGAUCUAGGUACGGCAUUACUGAUGUUCAUGACGUGAUAUUUUUCUUUCAAUAUUUGAUUUUUCUUUUUUUCUUUUUUUAAUUGAUGAUGCUAACAAAAGGGAGGUUGUUGAAAUGUGGUGCUUGGCUGCUUGCAGAUAAGAGUCGCUAACUUGAGUAGACUCUGCUUCAAAGGAACACACAGUUACUUAUCUAUUAUAGGAUUCUCACCGGCAUUCUGGGUUUUGAAAACAUUUUCACGGGAGGUAUACGCCAGAAAUGUUAAAUUAAGAAGAAUCUCAGAGAAAUGUAUAAGUUGGUGAAGAUUUGUAUUUGGUUGUCAACAUUUCAAAACCCUCUAAUAGCAAAUUAUUCAAGUGUUUUACCAUAUAAUGUCUUAUUUGAUAUGUUGUGGGUAUGUCAAUCUCUUCCAUAUUAUAUGUGGAGGGUGUGUUGAAAGUUGACAGUGGAGUCCAAAUUUCUAACGACAUUAAUUUAUGACUGCGUACGUGCCCUUUUCACUCUGAAUCGUAAAAACGAAAAUUAGAACUUACGUUUUUUGUCCUUAUUCCAGAGACCUGAAAAGUAGGUUGCAACAAAAUCUGGAGCUGAAAAUGCCCCUUAACCUGAUUAAAUUACUCCUAUCAAGAAAAAUAUCUUAUUGACCCAAGUAAUUGCUUGCUGCCGUGGUUUAAAAAGGCUUCAGCAUGCAUCAGCAUGACCAAAAUCCAGGAAGGAGAGAAGCAAACACUGAAGCGUUCAGUUCAUAGUAGCUUUUAUGCUCAUUAAAUUUAAUUCCAGAAUGUGCAAAUUAUGUUUGUUUGCCGAGUAAUAACUCCUGCUGGAGUUACCAGUAAUUUGGGCAAGAUUGAUGUGGACUGGGUGAUCACUACCAUAUGAAUUGAUGCAUCUGUCUUAAAAGUACAUCUGUAAACAGGAAUGUAAAAUAUACAGUAUACAAGUCGUUAACAACAGCAAAAUCAUGUAGACAUUUUUGAAUUUGGGCUUUCACUUGGCCAGAAGUCGCAUCUUUUUCAUAUCUCGAUCUCCUUCUCCAAUAAGUAGGAAUAUCAUCUAUCGCGUUUAGCUAACACACCAAUGCUAAUACAGAUUUCAAAUAGGUCCCUUGUGUUUAGCCUCUUCUCGUAUCUGUAAGAACCAAGUCAUCCAACGCUGCUUUUGAUGCAACGAUGGGGAUCGUCCUGAAACUCCAACGUUAUUACUGCAGCCAUAAGCACAAAUGCUCCAACAACAAAUAAUACUACCAGCUAAACAAUUAAUAAAGCACUGGAGAAAACUUUUAGCUUGACAAAAUAAUGCAAACUUUGGUUUCUAAUUUUACAGAAUGCAAGGCUUGCAACUACAUAGCACCAGAAUUGCAGGGUGCAGUGCAAAUGACUUAAAUACCAAUUUUUUUGGCAACCUGCUGGAUGUGUCCGUGGCACCACCAUAGCCCAUCCCACAGUAAAUCAGAUUGUGACACAAAAUUGCAAAACAUUGUAGUUUCACCCAAGAAUUUUGAAGCACCACUUUAAGAUUUAUAUCCGCCAUUCAAGAUAAGAUCUAAAUCCAACAUUCAAAUUUACUUGCAAGUGCUAAGCUUACAUUCAAAAUGGAGUCUAGCGCGAUUUCUUUAUGCGUUUGGGGGGCCUCAUUGUUUCUUUCCUUGAAUCCUCAGUAGUCUUUAUGUUCACAAAUGGCUGCAAACAUUUUCAAGAAGAAUUAGAUGUCAGAACUGGUUGUCAUAAUCAGUCUUUCUGCAUUUCAAUAAUCACUUUAUUCUGGAUUCCAAGAAAAAAGUGGCUAGUUAUACUAUGAAUGUUUAUCAACCCUUCUGAUUGACAACUGACAAAGAUGCUAUUCUCACUCCAAACAGAGUUUCAAAAUGGCGCAUGGGAAGACUGAUAAUGUCUUAACAAACAAUGUAGAUGGCCAAGAAUGACUAGGCCUUUAUCAAUCAAAAUCCAAUACAGGCCCUUCAAAACCAGUACAAGGGUAUUUGGUGCCUUGUUUACAUCUUAUAAUGUAUCAGAAACAGCCAGAAUAAAAUACUUUUUCAAGAAAUGCUGAGCUCUCUUCUUUGAGGCUAGACAAUUUUCAUAUCAAGCAUUUUCAUAUUAAUCAUUUGCAUGUUCAGUACCUCAUAGGUUCCUUGGUCUUCCUUUUUUACACUCUAUCAAUACCCUUCUGAUGUUUAGUCGGCCAUCCUACUUGUUGCUUUUGUAUGCUUUAUAAGUGCUCUUUUUCAUUUAUAAAAUUUAUUACUCAUAAAAAAUAAUUUCCAUGCACAGCCACAAAAUUAAGAACUGAUUCAAAAAAAACAGAAGAGCAAAAAUAUAUCGUAGUUUAGCAUUCAGGAAUUAUUUGACAUCAGAAUUACACAGCAUUUAGUAUGAGAAAUGCCAUGGAUAGUUUGCCCAAAAAUCCAAGAAUGAAUUUAUGUGUAACAGCAGUUAUCCAUGCUAAGUAAAUAAAAAAACAUGUGUUAACAUUCGAUUAUCAUUAAACAUAAUUUGGGAAUUAUACUUCAGAAAGCAUUUGCAAAUGUUCUGGAAUAUAUAAGGAAUUAUUUUAAAAAGGUAUGAAUGGAAUUUUUGUUGUUUUGAUUAAAUGAGAUAUAUUCAAGAAAUUUCAGGAAUAAUGAGACAAUUUGUUACUGUCAAUUAAAUAUACGCAAUUAUUAAAACAAGCACAAAAUAUAACAAUAAAGUAAUGUUUCUAACCUCUUCCCAUUUUCUCUGGAGUUCCAAAAGUUCCUGACAGUAUGCAAGGCACUCUGCGUGGUAGACGGCAGCUAAGUCUUUAAUCAAAGCCUUCCUUCUGAUGAUGCCAAUCACUUCAGAAGAACCAAAAAAUGAUAAGUUAAAUAUUAGGACCAUCAAAAAAAUUUCUCCGGCUAGAAACAUAAAAGUCUAGAAUCAUACAUUGCCAAACUCCUUAUUAAUAAUAACAUUUCAGUGAGUUUGAGACACCAUGGGAUGGAGAAUAUACGUGCCGCAUUUAUAUGUAAGAACUCUAAAUUAUUAAUUAAUUUCUAGUGGGCAAACUCAAUGGAUUAGUUAAGACACAAAAAAGGUUCUACAUUCUUGCUAUUUUAUUGAUCAUAUCAUAUUCAAUUUUUAAAAGGCCAAAGGUGGUUCUGAGGUGUUUUGAUCAAAUGAAAAGGUUAAAGCCUUGAGGCAGAACAAGGUAUAAGUCUCAACUUUAAAAAUAAAUAAAUAAAUAAUGAAAAAGAAAAGAAAAGAAAAAUACUAAUAAAAUCAGAUGAAAAUUGAAUAACAAGAAAACCACACAAUUCUUACUAGUCAAAUUAAUUGUUUGUCAUUGUCAAUAGUUUCUAAUUCAUCUUCCUUUCUACUAUAAUUUAAUUUUUUUUGACUUCAUCAAAUAAUCUUUAAAACAUCACUAUCAUUAGUACGAUUUUCCAAGAAAUCGUAAUCAUAUCUAAUAGCCCUAUUAUCCUCUUCAUUAGUAUUAAUGUCCACCUAUUCUUUUUCUUCAUCCAUCAAUUCUUAUGACUUUUUUCUUUAUCCUUCAAUAAUAAUAAUAAUAAUUAUAUAUGAGCUUAGUCACUAUAGCGGUCAAUUAAGCCCUUACUUUGUAUAAGGUUUAAUCAUAGUCUUCAAUCGAAGACAAAACUUGUAAAUCUAUAUCAAAACCCUACAAAAGGUUAUAUAUAUAUAUAUCUACACACACACAUACAUACACAAAAAGCCCAUCAUUAAAACCCUUUGAAUUUUGGGACUUAAGCCUUGAGGAUAUAGCUUCAAGAUAGCAAGCCUCAAUAGGGUGAGGCUUAAGCCUUUAUUACUCCAUAUUAAGGCCAGCCUUAAGGUUGUAAGCCUCAACAAGGUGAGGCUAAAACCUUUAUUGCUCUAUAUUGAGGCUAGCCUUAAGGCUAUAAGCCUCAGCAGUGUGAGGUUUAAGCCUCAAUUAUCAUAUAUUUGGGCUACAGCAUCAAGGUUAAUUUGCAUAACCUCGCCUUGAGACCCUCAAUAGCCUUUUAAAACACAGAUAUUAUAUUAUCAUUGGAGAACCUAACCUACAUUUUUUUAUCAAAGAAUCUAACCUACAAUUUUUAUCAUGAAAUUUCUAGGCUAACCACAUGAAACUUAAUUUGACAGAACUUCAAUAAGGAUACAUGCAUACAUACACACAAGUAUUUUAUAUAUAUAAGAACAAUAGAAAUAGUCUUUGAUUUGGUUUAUAAAACUGUGAACACAACAAACAUCCAUUGAUUUCCACCACUUACAUGAACCAAUUCUGCGAGAGGAUAGGAAGCCCAUCAAUUGACAGGAGAGCACUGUCAUACACAGUUUUCUAAGGCGCGCUUAGAACACAUCAAGGCAGCCAAUCCCUAGUCAUAGUGCCUUGCUAGACAAGACACACACCUUAUUGAAAAGGCGCACCUCAUCUGCUGUACUCUUCCUUUUUAAACACUUUUAUUCUUGAAAUUUAAAUAAUUUCAUUACUUUUUUUUUUUUGUUGAAUGCUUCUUUCAAAUGUUUGGAAUCUUAAUUUUUUUUAUUGCUUGUAUUAGAUCUUGGAUCAUAUUUUAUAAAGUUGAUAUGCAUCCUAGGUCCAGUUUCACUUCACUCAGGUGCACACCUUGUGUUGCGCCUUGGGCCUAAGCUAUUGGAGACUUUUGCGCCUUAGGUGUGCCUUGUGCCUUUUAAUACUAUGGUCAUACAAACAAUCUAUACUACAAAUUCACAUGACCAUCAUUUUUAGCUUUCAUUCCAAAAGAAAAGGGCCACCAUCAUCCUAUUAAUUUUUUUUUAUUAAAAAAAUAACCCUUGUUCCUUUGUAUAAAUAUUAAGAAUUGGAACAUUAAUUCUCUAAGAGGUUGUUAUGUUGAAAUCAACAAAAGCCCAGAUACAAUCAAUGCGACUGCAGAAUGUUGCAACAGACCUAAAUUACCACAAAAUGCAAAUGUUUUCUCAUGUUUCACCCUUGAGAAAGUUUCAAAAUCGGGCAGUUUCAACUAGCUUGGGCAAACAUUUUGACCAAGAUAGAAGACAUUAGUACAUAACCAACUUAAAAAGGCUCAGGGCCAUCAUAAUAAAAUUGCUAUUGUCCCUAAACAAUCAAACCUAAAACAAGAAACCCUAGCACCCAUCAGACACUGCAUUGAAUUGAACUAAACAAGAAACGAUAAACUCCAAUUUAUACACACACGAGAAACAAUCAAAAGAAAAAAAACCCAAAAAACAAGUUCAAAACCCUAAAAAAGAGUGUUACUUCGGCUGGGGUCGAAUCGAUGCGGAGGAGGAAGAUCGGGUUGUGUUGGGGACGGCUCGGGAGGAGUAGGAUCGAGUUGUGUGGCAAGUUCAGGAGGCGAAGAUGGAGGAUCAGGUUGAUCCGCCGGAGGCGGAGGAGGAGGAGAAGGAGACUCCGCGUCAGCCAUAGGAGGUGGUUUGCUGUUUGAGAGUUGAGUGUUUUUUAUGCUGGGAAUCUAACGUGGAGAAGCCAAAGGCUUUUGCAAAAGUGCAGUAAUUUAAUAAUAAUAAUAAAAGGUUAUUUGAUAAAAUCAUCCAUUUGCAAAACUAACCGAUCAUAUUAUAUAUAUAUAAUUAAAAAAUAUUUAUAUCAAAAAUAAAUUAUUCUUCAAAUUAAAAAAUAAGAGGAAUUAAUUUUACACCUAAAGUUUUUUCAUUCAUUUUAAUCAAUUAAUUCAAUAAAAAAAAACCAUUUUAUAAAACUGUAGCUUAUAAAAAGCGUGAAAUUUUCAAUAUGAAGCAUUGUUUAUAAAGAGUCUCUGUUAUUAUUAUUUUUAUUAAUAAUUAUAAGAUUUAUGUUUAAAAUUUUCCUUAUGCAAUACAAAUUAAUUAAAAGAAAAGAAAAGUGUGAUAUUAAGCCAUAAAACUUAUUCAAUAUUCAUUUAUUUAUAGAGGUUAUCUUCAUGAAUAUUAUUCGUAUUUUAUAAUUUUCUAUUUUUUUUUAAAUUUUCAUAUAUUACUUUUCAUUUAAAAAUAAUAAUAUUCACCAAGUAAGCUCAUAGUGUAACCGUUUGGAUAGACCAAUAAAAGGGAAUCCAUAAUUUGCUGCAUAAAAUUGAUAAAAAUAAAAAAAUAAUAACUUUAGAAAAUGAAAUAACUUCUUGAUAUUUACUUUAAAAGUAGAAUGACUUUUCAAAGUUGUUUAAAAAUAAUUAAGGCUUUAAAAAAAUUUAAACUCAAAUUUUUAAAAUUUUAAAAUAAUUAAGUUGAUAUUUUUUAUAUAAAAUUUUUAAAAAUUAAGUCAUAAUUUUUAUAUAAAAUAUAGAAGUCAAAAAAAUUAUUCUUAAAAAUAAAAAACAAAAUAUGUGCACUAUUAAAUUAUUUUUAAAAUAAUUAAGUUAAUAAUUUUUAUAUAAAAUAUAGAAGUCAAAACUAUUUUUUUUUAAAGAAAUAAAAACAAAAUAUUUAUCCAAAGUAGCACUAAUAGAUUAUUUUAAGCAAUAGUUUGAAAAGAAAAAAACCUAUCUCCAAAAUAUAAUUUCAAAAUUUUAAAAAAUAAUUUUUAUUAUUUUACGAAAAUAACAUAAAUUAUUUUUAUUUGAAAAAAAGUAUAUUUUCUUUUUAAAAGCUACCAUAUAAAAUAUACCAGUAAUAACUAUUUUUUAUUUUUAAGGGAAUAUUUACGGCUAAUAAAAAGCUUUUAAAAAAAUUUAGUAGGAUUUUCGGAAUCAAAAUUUAGAAAUAAAAUAUUUUCAUAUAAUGUAAAAAUAAAUGCUACUAUAUAAAAUAUAAAAUUUAAAAUUAAAAAGGAUUUUCUAAAUCUAAAUUUAAAAAUUAAAUUGGUAAAAAUAAAAAGAUAGAAUAUAAAAUAUUUUUUAUUUUUACAAAUAAAAAAAAAGUAGUUUUUAAUUUUUACAUAUUUAAUAUUUAAAUUUAGAUUUAGGAAAUAUUUUUGAAUUUUUUUAUUUUAUAUUUUAUAUGGUAGCUUUUUAUUUUUAGGGUAUAUGGAAAUAUUUUAUUUCUAUAUUAAGAUUUAGAAAAUCUUUUUGAAGAUGCUUUUAUUAAGAGUAAGUAUUGCUUCUUAUCUAUAUAAAACAACAAUCAACCCAUCAAGAAACAUUCAUUAUCGAAGUCGACUUCAAUUAUGGCAAACAUAAAUAUGGUGAAAAAACAGAGCAUGGGAAGACAGAAGAUCGAAAUCAAAAAAAUUGAGAAGAAAAGUUCCUUGGAGGUCACCUUCUCCAAGCGUCGAACAGGACUCUUCAAGAAGGCCGGCGAGCUCUGCGUUUUGUGCGGUGCUGAGGCCGCCGUCAUCGUCUUCUCUCCGGGCAGGAGGGCCUUCGUCUUCGGCCACCCCUCUGCGGACGCUGUCAUCGAUCGCUUCCUCCAUCGCGAGACCAACUCUCGUGCGCUUGUUCCGGCGGGACAGGUGCACGGACACGUUCAGAGGCAAUACUUGGAGGCUCUUGGAAGGCUGGAGGUGAAGAAGGAGCAAGAAGAGACGGUGGGGGGAGAUGGGGAGGGUGGGUUUUGGUGGGACGCGCCCAUUGAGAACAUGGGGUUGAAUGAACUGGAGCAGUUCAGGGGUUCCCUUGAGGAGCUGAGGAAGAAGGUGGCGGAUCGAGUGGAGGAGAUGACCAUGAUGAUGAUGAUGGAGAGCGGUCCUUCUUCGACUGCCAUGGUUGAAUAUGCAGCGCCACCGCAGGAGUAUAAUUCUUCUGGUGGUGUUCUGCAUGGCCAUGAUUUGGCUGCACAGGGUGUUCCUCAUGGUUUCGAUUUUGGGUUCGGUUUCGACGAACACCUUUUCUGAUGUACAUUCCUUUGGUUUUUUUUAUUUUAUCUUUCUCUCGCUCCCUGUUCCGUCCGUACUUCGCAAAAUAGUACUACCCCAUAUAUCAUUAUCUUUCUCCUGAGGUAUUCAUUAGACUAGUUAUGAUGAUGGAUAUCUUCCUUUGCCUUCCUAAGGUAUUCUUCAGACCUGUGGACCUUUGCCUCGCCGGAGCACAAAUUGCAGUUUCAUAACCUAUCAAGGUCUAACUAGAGAUGAAAAUAUCAUAAUAUAUCGGUGAAGAUGGAUAUAAAGUUAUCGGAUUUUAUCGGGAGAUAUGGGCGAUAUAUCAAAUCAGCAUGGGCAAAAAAUUUGCGAUAUAUUGAUGAUUUUUAAUGCUCAAACUCUUAGUGUAAUCAACCUAUUAUGAUUUUUAAAUCUUAUCUAAUGGGCCAAACGAUGGAUGAAGUUAUCCACUUAAAUUUUUAAUUUUGGUAUAAUAGUUAAAAGCUUAGAUCAUGAUCGGAGACAUAUAAAACAACACUCUCAUGCUCAUAUUUAGACAAAUUGAAAAAAAAUCAUAUAUAAGAUAAGGACUAUAACUCAUAUUUAGACAAAUAUAUAUAUAAUAUCAUUUUUUUUUAAAAUUAAUUUUAAAAAAAUGAAAAAAAAAAAAUUCUCUCCCACUUCAUAGGAUUGUUGUAACACUUACAUUUUAAAAAUUAAUUCAUCAAGACCAGCAACGUAGAACUUUAAACAAAUCAAUGAUACAUUGAAACACCAUGAUCAUUUAGUUUAAAUAUGCAAAUGGAAUAUUAUAUAUAUAUAUAUAUUAUAAGUCAUGUAUUUUAGGUUAAUUUUAAAAUAAAAUUUAAUAAAUUAUUAAUAUAUAUUAUAUUAUAAAUUAACUAAGAUAAAACUUGAAGUUAAUUUUAAUUAUCUUAUUAUAUAUUUUAUAUUUUUAUAUAUUAAUUAAAUAUAAAAUAAAUAAAAUUAUCAACAUUUUUAAAUAAAAAAAACUUAUUUAAAUAUCAUCCUUUAUUUUUUCCUUAAUAUAUUCAAAUUAAAUAUAUUAUCAUUUUAAUAUUAAUGUAUUUUCAAAUUCAUUUAUUAUUUUAUAAUAUUAUAAAUUUAUUAAUGAGAUUUCAAACCUAUAUAUUACAUAUAUCAAUAAAACAAUUUCUAUAAGUAUUAUUGUUUUUCUAUCAUUUUUUAGAUUUUUUUUAAUAUUUUUAUGAGUUUUAAUUUUAUUUAAUUUUCAUUUCAUCAUCGAUUUUUUUUGUCAAAAUAUACAUUCAUAAUUUUUUAUAUACCCGUGUUUACCAAUAUUUUCAUCGACCCGAAUUCUUGAAUUCUUGUAUCAUCAGUGGCAAUUCCAUAGGUUGUACUGUUCCUCAUGUGAAAGGUAAUUCAAAACUAAGGUUCAAUUACACAUCUUCCAUAGACAAAUAACAGAAGAUGAAUCCUGAAAAUGGCAAUUUUCUUCAACGUUGAGAAGAAACAGCAUACGAAGUAAAUGUGAUACAAUUAAAAUUGUUUCUUAAAACAUUAGUAUGAACUAUGAAUUAGUGCAAAGAAACAUUCUCUAUGGGUUAGCAUUAUGGUAGUAUAAAACUCGACAUGUUUCCAACCUGCAAUCAGACAAAAAAAAAUGGCAGCCAGAGAUGGUCCAGAUGCCUGAUGAGAAUUGGAGAGUCUCUGAUACAUAUUAUGUACUCAAAUCUUAUAAGCUUUAAGCUUUUAAAAAAUUAGUUGCUCAUGUGUUCCAACCUCGACAUGUACUAUUUCCUGUGUUGUCUGUCCUGAGGUGAACUCUGAUCUCUGCUCUCUCCAAGGCCAAGAUCAGUUCCAAGAUUGUCUUCCCGAAUCUCUAGCCUCCUUGAUUUCCAGCUCCAGAUUUCCUAAGAUGGUAUAUAUCUUGACCGACAUUGGAUGAGAUCGAUCAGCAACACGAAAUUCAUGCACCUGCCCAUUUAUCUCCAGCCAGCUACAGCCAGGGGUUUUCUUCAAACCACUAUCCCUAAGAAAACUUCUCAUCUUAGCAACUCCAUCCCACUUCCCUGCUGCAGCAUAGAUGUUAGAGAGCAAAAUGUAGUUUCCGGCAUUUUUUGGUUCCAUACUUACGAGCUUCUCAGCUGCAAAUACUGCAAGUCCUGUUUCUGAAUGCAUCUUACAAGCGCUCAACAAUGAGCCCCAAACCCGAGCAUCAGGUUUGAAGGGCAUAGUUUUUAUUAGCUCUUCAGCUUCACUGAUAUGUCCUGCCCGCCCUAGAAGAUCCACCAUGCAAGCAUAGUGUUCCUGGUUGGGUUGGUAGCCAUAGGUUUCUGUCAUCUCCUUCAAACACUCCCACCCUUUUCUCACAAGACCUGAAUUAACACAAGCAGUCAAUAACCCAAGAAAGGUUACUCGAUCUGGUUUCAGUCCUGAUUGCUUCAUUUUGUUGUACAGCACAAAGCAUUCAGACCACUCUCCAUGCUUUGAAUAUGCACUGAUCAUAGAGUUCCAAGUGAUCACAUCCUUACCAUCUAGUUCCUCUUCAUCAAAGAGGUUCCUUGCCAUAUCUAUGCACCCACAUUUUGCAUAGCUUAUGAGGAGUGCUGAAUUCAUGGAAGAUGUUGAGUUUAGACCGGAUUUGACUGAAUAUCCAUGAAGGUAUUUCACUUGUUCUAAUGCCCCCAGAUUCACGCAUGCGGGCAAGACAUUAAUUAUUGUAACACAAUCAACUUUAAAACCAUCCAAUUUCAUCUUGGUGAAGAGUGACAAAGCAUCAUGAGAUCUCUCAUGGCUUACAUAUCCUUUGAUCAUUGAGCUCCAUGAAACCACAGUCUUGUCUUUCACCAAAUCAAAAACUUUUUGUGCAGCUUCUAAUCGAUUGGAUUUACAAUACAUAUCAAUCAAAGAAUUAUGAACUGACACUUGAUAAUCCAAACCAUUCCUUAUCACAUGGGCAUGCAUUUGUUUUCCCCAUGCAAGACAUUUCAGUUCUGCAAUGGAAGACGUAGCUGGAAUUGCAGUAAACAAAUCGGCUCUAACCCCACAUCUCCCCAUCUGGAUUAAAAGUUCCAGGGUUUCCUUAGGGUGUCUAUUUUGGGAAUAUGCUGAUAUCAUUAUAUUCCACACAACACAGUCCCUUUCAGGCAUUUUCUCGAAUGACAACCUGGCAUCCUCCAAACUGCUGAAUUUAGAGUACAUACUCAACAGAGCAGUAUUCACAGACAAAUUUUCACACAGGUAGCCCACAACAACCAAACAGUGAAUAAAUUUUCCUGCUUUCAAUGAAUUCAAAACCACGCUGGAUCUUAACAAAUUGAUUACAGUAACUGAAUCCGGUUCAAGUCUCUGCAUUCUCAUCCUCUUGAAAACCCGAAAGCUCUCUUGAGCAUUUCCAUUUUGAUAAGCCUCAAAAAUUAAAGAAUUCCAAUAAGCCAAAUCGUUAAUAGCCUCUCCCUCCACCGGUUCUUGCAAAUUCCCAGAAUCUCCACAACGCCGGUACAUUUCCACCAAAGCAUUACCCACCAAAUCGUAAGAAUCAAAGCCCAGUUUAACCACCUGCCCGUGAACCCUUUUUCCGUAUUCAACAUCCGAGAGACGAGAACAGGAAUUCAACACAAAAGGGUAGGUACCUUCAUCUGGAUACAUACAUUUCAUAACCAUUUCUUGGUACACCAAAAGGGCUUUCUUGGAUUCACCAAACUUUGAAAGGUUUCUGAGGAUUGCGUUGUGGACAACCGAAUCUGGGUUGGAGAUAGAAAUGAAAACUUGUUGGGAGAGAUUGAGGUGGCCCAGAUUGGCAUAACAGUUAAUGAGUUUGGACGAGAGCAAGGGGUUCUGGUGGAGGCCAUGGAGGAUGAACCUGGCAUGUACUUGUUGAAGAAGCUGUGGUUUGGUGCAGAGGUCUAAGAGAGAGGAGAAGGAGCUGCUGAAUGGUUGUGUUUGGAUGGUGGGAAAGUUUUUGAAUUUUAGAGGGAAACGGUUGAGGAGAUUUAGCGAGAGUGAAGUUUUGAGCAUGUUAGAUGAAGGUUUAAGCCCAAAGUAAGAAUGUGGAUGAUCAGCCUUCCCUUCACCAUGAUCCCUUCCUGGCCAUGUCAUGUAAGAGUGAAUAUAGAAAGAUAUUUGGAAGGUAAUUAACUAAUUACAAUUAUUAAUUAUUAUUUAAUUAUCAAAUAUGGCAAUUUUGUUUCAUAACUUCAUAAUUUAAAUAAAAGCUAAAUUAUUUUAUUUUUCAAAAAAUGUGUUCAUUCACUUCUAAUAUUAGCCUGUUAAUGGGAAUGCAAAGAAUCCAAAAUAUGUUUUUUUUUUCCUUUAUUUUUUCUUCUCCUUUUUAAUUACAUUUUAUUCCCAAUCUUUUGUCAACAAAAAUACAUUUUUAUUCUUAUUCCAACUUUAUACUCGUAAAACUAAUCAAUUAUAGUAAAUAUUAAGUUAAUCUUAAAAUUAUUUUUUACUUUAAAUUAUAAUAUUAAGUUAUUUUAUCAAACAUGUUUAAUCUAUAUAGAGUCCGUUUGGCAGUUUAUAAUCUUUUUAAUACUUUUAAAAUUUUAUGAUUAAGAUUUCGUUUAAUAAAGUUUUUAGGAAAUAUUACCAACAUUUAACAUUUAUUUUUUUUUUCUUUCAAGUAUUUAGAAAUAUUAGAAAUGCUUUCAUGAAUUAGUAUCAAUGCGUUUGACAGUAAAUUUAGAAAGUGUUUCUAAUAUUUUUAAUACUUAAAAUUUUUUAUCCUUCAAGCAUAAAAAAAAGACCAGAAAUACUUUCUAUAAUCAUUUUGGUAGUGAUUUUAAUAAGUAUUUAUAAUUUUUUUAACACUUGAAAAUUUUUAUCUUUUAAGUAUUAAAGAUGUUAAAAACACUUCAUUAAAAAUCACAGUUAAAUACACUUUAAAAUUGCAUUUAGUAAUGAUUUUAAAAAAUGUUUUUAGUCUAUCUAAUACUUAAAUGAUAAAAAAUUUUAAGUGUUAAAAAAUUUAAAAACAUUUCCUAAAAUCACUAUCAAAUGAAUUUUAGUAUUAAAAAUGUUAGAAACGUUUUCCUAAAAUCACUGUUUGAUUUGAGAGAUUAGUUCAUUGGAUACCCGAAAACCAUAAUCUUUUUAACUUGAAUUAAAUCAUUAAAUUAUUUACCAAACAACUUCUUCAACCUUUUGAAACGAACAUCCACUUAAAAGUUACCUUCAAUGAGAUAUAUUGGAUAGGAUAAUGGGUAAAUAUUAUAACUUACGAGUUUGAAUCGUGUCUUAUUAAAUUCUAUAUAAUAAGGUUGUAUUUGUUUCUCUUAUUUGAUUUUUUUUUUAAAAGAGUUUGUGUGAAAUUUGAAUAAAAGAUAAUACAAAAAAAUUAUUCAACACUUAAACACUGAAUUUGAGUUAAAAAUAAAAAUUUUAACAAAAAUUAACUAAUUUAAACAAUUAAAAAGCGUCAUAAAUAGGAAGGUUCCCCUUCUUUGAUUAGAGGAAGGUUCCCAGAAGCAACAACUAUCCAUUAUUUUUCUAUCUAUUUUUAUUUCGUCAUGGUUUCAUGUCAUAUUUUAGGACAAUUUAGCUUAAAGUAAUUUAAAUAAUCUUUGAUAUAAAAUAGUAAAAAAAAGAAAAAGAAAACCUAAGGAAUAGUAUGUAAAAUGUUCAUGAAGUUUUAGGUUUUAUUUGAUAAUUAUUUUUAAAAAAAUAAUUUUUAAGAAUAGUUUUUAAAAAUUGUUUUAUAAUAUUUUAUAAAAUAAAAGUUUGUUUAAAAAUUUAAAAUAUUUUAAAAAUAAUUUUUAUGUCCAUAGUUUUGUUUUUAAUAAUUAUAUAUAUUUGUAUAAUUAUUUUUUAAAAUAAUUCUAAAAAUAAUUAAACUAUGGUUUUUGAAAAUACCCUAUUUUUUAUUUUGUGAGAAAAAAAAUAGGAAACAAUUUCUGAUUGUCAAAAGUAUUUUUCAAUUUUUUUGUUUUAGAAAAUUGAAAAUUCUUCUUUAAAAUAGUUUUCCAAUAUGUUCUUAUAUAUUUAUAUUUACUUUUUAAAAAUAAUAUUGAAAAAAAAAAUCCGUUCAAAUUAGGUAGAAGCACCUUUGCCCGAAAAAGCGAGGCGACAAAAUUGCGGGUCGAAGCUCCCAUUGAUCGGGAACGCCUCAGGUGGCAAGACACCAAAUAAGACCUGGUUGGGGUGCAGGUUAGCCGCACCACACAUUCGGUGCACGAUAGCACUUGUCUUCAUCACUCUCCUUCGGAUUCUGCAGAGCUUGCUUCUCUUCAAGCCUGGAAUCAAAUCUAGAUUCCCGUUUCCUCUCCAUCCAAGCAAUCCAAUCUCUCUCUCUACCUUUUUUUUUUUCCUAUGAUCCGGUUCUAAUCGGACCGGUCAAAGUCAGGAAUCAAUGAAAAAUUUGAGUUGAUUUUCCUGGUGCGAUUCUUUGCUCUCUGUUAGCCUACUGAAAAAAUACGGGGAAACAAGAGAGAUUGAAAUGUGGUUGUAGAGAAAAGGGAGCGGACGUCACUAAUUGACCCCUGAUGCCCUUAUUUCGUCAAUCGAGGUAAGUUUCUAUGUUUCGAAAACGUAAAUCCAGAAUUUAAUUUUCUUUGCUUUUCGUACGAGAAAUUGCAGGAGUAAAUUGAUAUAUUGAGCAUAAUUCAACUCUACUCAGUUGGCUUAGAACACUUGAUUCAAUGUUUACAACUAUUCAACUAGCAUCUGACAUUAGAUUCUAUCCUUGAUUUUGUCAAUUUGACAUUUUUUUUUGUGAAUGUUUUCUUGCCGUGAAAAUGUAGGAAAAUAAAAGGAAUUGAGAAGUUGAAGAAAUGAUUUUUGGUUGUGUACAACCUAUGAAAACAGAGAAUUUAAGGGGAUUGGGUCUAAUAGGACAACAUAAAUUACAAGGUCCAAAGUUUAUUUUGCUUAUCUUCUUUUCCCCAGUUUUCUCAGCAACCAAAUUAGAGUCAGGGUAACAGUUGGCUACAGCAGCAUGUUUAACUGAAUUGGCUUUAAAUAAGCCUAUAAAUGUGGUUCUCAUUUUUCAGUGUUAUCAAAGGCAUUCGCCUGGCUCGCUUAGGCCAUCAGGCCAGGUGAGGUAGAUAAAAGUUGCCUCUUGAAGACCCAGGCAAGGUGACUUCAAAGAGGCAACGCCUGGGCAAUCACCUUGGGAUAAGGUGUAAGGCAUACAGGCAACCUCGCAUUUGAUCAUGAGUUAAGAUUAAACAUACUUAGAUUAUAAUUUUAUUCAAUCUAACAUUGGAUUAAACAAAGUAUAAGAUGAAAUAUUAUAUUAUCAAUCAUGGAGAUGAUAAGAUGGAUGACUAUCAAUCUAGUCUUGAUGGAAGCGAAUUUUAAUUUCAAUGAUGACUAUGAUGAUGAUGCCUAAAGUUUCUCUAGAAUGUUCAAUCUCUUAUUUUAUUUUAUUUUAUUUUUUUGUUUUGUUGUCUAGAUGUUUGAAAAAUUAGAAUAUGCAUUUAGACAUGAUGAAUAUCUCUAAACAAUAUAAUGUUUUUUAUGAUAUAGGGUAUAAUAUUUAACACUUUUAAUAAUUAUUACUAUUUUUUUAAUUUUAUAAGACAUCAUGAAUGAUGAAAAAUUAAUAGUGUUGAUUAUUGAAGACAACACUUAUAUUGGUUAAGUAUCAAAUAGGUAAAUAUAUGUAUGUUUUUUAUUGUCUUACUAUAGUUAGGCUAUUGCCUUGUUUUUUGCCUUUUGCCUUAGGCUAAAGGAGUCUUAUCACCUUGAUGUCGCCUUUUGCUUUUGACAACACUUCCAUUUUUGGUGCAAAUCUCUUGAACAGGGAUUUCCCUUGUUGCAAUUGUCACUAGGACUGAAAUUUUGGGGGCAGCACUGGUUGAGCUGAAAUUUGGAAUCAAUGGAUGCAGAUGGAGGGAGUGCCUCAGCGGUUGGUAUUGAAGGCCGACCAGUUUCCCUCCAUUCAGGGCAGCCAAGAGGUGAAAUUUCUUUUUGGAAUUCUUGUUAAAAAAUUUGGUUCUUUUAGAUAUCCUAUGAAAUUUGAAUGGGUCCAUUGUGAAAGGAUGAAAGGUCUCUUUUUCAAUUUUUCACAAUCAAUGACCAUUCCAAUUUUGUGAGAUGCCUCCAUUCAAGAUGAUACAAAUUCAUAUGUAAAACCCUAUGGGCCAAAAUAAUUUCCAUUGCAUGUCUGUUCAAGUCUUGGUAUUUUGGGUGAUUAUGUAUUAAAGGUCUUAAAAAUAAGAUGCAGAAGACGAAUGCGAUACACUUUUACCAACUAAAAACAGGCAUAUGCUAAAACAAUACAUUUUCAGUGUCAUAUAAGAAUAAAUCAUGAUUUUAGUCAAAUUUUUUAAUUUUGUUUGAUUGGAAACUGUGAAAUAAAAAAUCUCAAGUUUUGAGAUGGGGAAUUGUGAAUUAGAGACCCCUGAGAAUAAUGAAUUAAUUGAUAGUCUCUUAAAGUUAGCUGAUUUUUGUAAAAUAUGAUCCAGAAAAUUCUUAAACCAAGUGAGGCAGAUCUUUUGUCAAAUGCAUAAUUACAGAUCCUUUAUAUUUUUAAUUUAUUUUCCAAUUACACUUUUAUAUUUAAACAAGUAUUUCUGCGAGCCACAAGGUGGUAGUUUAAGUCCUCACCUCUUCCUUGAAAACUCUUUUAUUUCUUCACAAUCUUCCUCUCUCUAAUGCCUGGAUGAGGAACUUCUUUUUGACAUUAUUUUUGGGUUUAUAUGGUCCCUUUUCCAUUAUGGCAACCUCAUGUCUCAGCGGGUCAUUGAUUCUUUUGGAUUCGAAAGAUGCAUCAAUAUGUAACCCAGAUAGUUAACGGGAAGCUCAUUCACCUUCCAUUCCAAAUCCACCACCAGCUCCUAUGCUUCUCAAUUACCCUGACUCAUUUCACAAUCUUCCUUGGGUUGAUUUCCAGGCUUGCAACUAACUUUAGGGUCUGAUUGUCCAAGAAUGCAUGGAGGCACCUGCAACUGCGUAUGCAAAACAAUAAAGUGGCAUUAACAAAUGAUAUUUGAAACAAAUCCAUCCUUAUCAAUGACACUAAGCCCUUCCAGAAACUGUCCUUCCUCUACCUUCAAAUAAGUUAUGCUGAAUCUCCUUGACCACAAUAAAUAGAGGAGAUGCAGCAAUGAGCUUCCCUGAGUUAGCUUACCAUAUAAGUUUGGAGACUCUGGAUCUAGCCUUCAUUUGGCAAUUCCUUUGGAUUUUUUUCUCUUCAUAUCUUCUGGUGAACAGCUGAUGCAAAUCUUUUAUCAAAUCCAUCGUGAGCAUGCUCUGAUUGGCAUUUUUUUCUAAAAAUCUCUGCAUCCUUCCCCAAGACUUUUUUGACCAUUUCCCUUAGCAUGUCUUAGAUAACUGGUCUUUAGUAUUCCUUCCUUUGGUUCUUGCUAAUUUAAUAUCAUGAGGUCCACUGUUUGUGUGUAUGCAUAUAAUUAUUUAAUUUCAAUAUGAUUUGCUUUAUUUUCUUGCAUUAACAUAUAAGUGAUCUCAUUAUGAUGGUUUUGCAGCUCUAUAUCAAUUUACACAGCAGAGUCUCCCAGCAUGUAAACCUGUAUUGACACCAGGAUGGGUUUGUGCUUGAACACAAGUAUUUAUGCCUGAAUCUUCCUUAGUCCGGUCUUCAUAUUUAUUUUUGUGAUGUUAACUUUCUUUUUUACAGGUUAUUGCCACGUUUUUGUUGAUCGGUGCCAUUUUUAUUCCUGUUGGUCUUGUUUCUCUCCAUGCCUCACAAAAUGUAAUCUCCCAUUUGGUUGCCAUGGAUAUAUUAAGCAGCUGCUUAUUUUUUAUUUUUUUUCAAAUUACUCACUGUUGUGCAGAGAAUCAAGUAGUAUAUUAACCUGACAUUUUAUUUCUAGGUUGUAGAAAUUGUAGAACGUUAUGAUGCUGAAUGUAUACCAGAAAAGUACCAAAGCAACAAGGUUGCUUAUAUCAGAGAUAGCUCAAUUCCCAAAAACUGUACUCGGUACUUAAAGGUGAUACUCUUUUCUUCUUCUCUGAUGUUAAUUUGAUCUUUACAGUGACCAUGCAUACUUGCUAUAUUAUAGAUUUCAUCUUGAUUCAUGAAACAAGAUUUAAAGGGUAUUUCAUUAAAAACAUAAUCUCCCUUUCAAGUGGUAAGACUUGAUCCGGAUUGCAUAGCCUUUCCACUUAACUUAAGAAGAAAGAGGGGCUUGCAAGUUUAUUUAGAUCAGUGAUCUUAUGUAUGGGAGUCCUAAGUUUAUCAUAUCUCAAGUUCUGUAUGAGCAUAGUCAAAUAGAUAUCUCUACCUAGCUAUGGUCUGCCGGUCUCACUGUAGCAGGUUUCAUGUGGUCAUGUUGAAACUUGAACAUUGAUAUGAGACAUAUGUUAGUUUUUUGAUAGCUUCAAUUUCCUCGUGGUGGUAAGAGUCUCUCUUCUGGUCUUGGACUUGGCUGUUGAUUAAAUUGAAGACACCCUUUUAGGAGAGACAUCUUUCUCAAGUAAAGACAAAACUUUCCUGGGGAUAACCUAGUGGCAUCCAACUUAAAAUUCAACUACAGAAGCAAUAGCUCAAACUAACCAUCAGCCAUGUUAUUCUGCCUUUGCUCCUGAUCAUAUAACUGCUGUUUGCUUUAUUGGAGGCAAAUGAACAGUCAUGAAAUGGACCUUUCUAGUCAACAUCUUUGAAACCCCUGGUCUUCAAAUGUUCAUGCCAAAAGUAGAAGAUUCCUCUAUCAUAAGAAGAAUGAUGAGCUUAUUAAUAACAUUCCUGGCAUAAGUAAUAUCUGGAGAUGUAGGGAGUAGAUCAACAAGUUUACAAGUCGCAGGAGUACAAGUAUUGCUGAUAGCCUGACCAUUUAUGUUAUUGUUGGCUUUGGCCAGUAGGAGUUACAAGUGCUCUGUAUCAAGAUUGCUAAGUUGAUUAUAGAUCAAUAACUUAUCCUCCAAGAAUUGAAGAUCGCUUCUUUGAUUUUGUAGGUGCACAAACAUAUGAAAGCUCCGAUUUCCGUCUACUACCAACUUGAUAACUUCUAUCAGAACCACCGCCGGUGAGAGUUAUUCCAUUUCCACUUCUUAUGCAGUGAGGAGCCCUUUUGUUUAUGUUGAUUUAAAAUUUACUUGUUUGCCUUGUUCUAUUUAUAUUUUGUGUUCAUUUCUUGAAUGUGUUUUUAUUCCAUUUCCACCUCCUGUUUUAAAGAUUUUGAUAAUGAGCUCUACUGCUGCCAUAAAUUCAUUUAGGAAUUAUCAUGGAAUUUCUUACAGCAGCCUGCAGUCUGUACCUCUAAUUUUUAACAUUGUUCUUUCACUUCAUGCUUCCAUUCUGUGCUUCAAGAAUUUUCAAAUAUUUUCCAGGUAUGUCAAAAGCAGAAGCGAUCAGCAGCUCCUGCAUGGACUGAAGUACAAUGACACAAGUUCCUGUAAACCUGAACAAUUGAACAAUGGUCUCCCAAUUGUCCCUUGUGGGUUGAUAGCUUGGAGUUUGUUUAAUGACACAUUUAACUUUGUCCGAAGGUCAGAGGAAAUGAAAAUUAACAGGAAAAACAUUGCAUGGAAGAGUGACCGGGAUCACAAAUUUGGCAAGGAAGUGUAUCCCUUCAAUUUCCAGAAUGGGACUUUGAUUGGAGGUGGAAAGCUAGAUCCAAGGAUUCCUGUAAGUCUUUUCCGUCUGCAACAGUUUAUCAGUUCAUCCUUUCCAAGUCUCUAGGUCCCUUAAAGCAUAAUAUCUAAUUCUUUAAUUUAGCACCACUUGUUUAUGACUUGCGGUAUAUUUUUGUAACCAUCCCACUUGUGGUAGCUGUACCAUAUUUUCUCAUCUUGUUUCUUUGAUCAUCAAAUCUUAAUAACCUAUAAAUAUUUAUGAAGAUUAUGGAGAUAAUGAUGUAGUUUUACAAGAGAUGUCAUUUUAAGAAAUUUGGAAUACUUUUCUGUUCGUUAACUUCUGAGAAAGGGUAGGCCAGAUCAAAGACCAUUGUCCCAGAAGUCCUGUGGGAUAUUUGUGUGAGAUUGUUUCUGAGUUGUUAGCUGGGAUCUGGAGAAAAGUAUGGGAAUGUGGUUUAUUUGAAUACUAAAAGUAUGUGGAUGAGAAGCAAAUCUUGGAUGCAGUAUUUGCCCGGCUAACAAAUGUUUGGACAUUAUAUUGAGAAAUCAGCUCCUGGCUAAUUUGUGAGCUGGAUGUUUAGAUGCCUUAUAACCUUGUAAAUUGGGAAUUUCUUCCUUGCUUGUUGAGGAAGAUGGCCCUUGGGGAUAAGUGAGAUGAAAUACUUGCAUUUUGAUAAUGUUGUUCUUAUAAGUGGAGCAGGUAGAUUGUUCUUUUGUAUUUCAACAAUGUUGUUCUUUGUUGUGGUGGAUGGGUUUUCUUGUGGCCUUCUAUAGAAAAUUUUAAGAGGAUUAAGGCAAAGAGAUCCUCUCUUUCUGCGUUUGUUUAUGGUCAUUGUGGAGGCUUUUUGUGGACCAAUGCUAAGGAUGGGCGAAAGAACUUUGUAAAAAGGUCCUGAAGUGGCUGGGGCAAUAGCUGAGGAGAGAGCACAUAUUAUUUACUUCUAUGUGGAUGAUAGCUGUGUUUUAAUCCGUAAAUGCUGAGCAACUUAUAUUUUUAAGAGGAGGGUUGCGCUAGUUUGAAGCAGCCAUAAUGUUAAUUGAAUAAGAUGAGUGCUCUCCUAAUGGGUCAUAUGCAUUUGGACGUGCUAGCUAACAGCCUUGGAAUGCAUCACUUGGGAUUUUCUUUUAUUUUGGAUUUUAGUUGGUUGCUUUUCUAAAGGUAGAUGAGUUUGGAAUUUGGUGAUGGGAAGUUUGAAAAGGAGUUUUAAGUGGCUGAAAUAGUGUACCUUUCAGGAGGGAGGCAAAUUAUUUUAAUCUGAUGAAGUCAUAAAGUUCUUUCAUUGGCUGAAUGUAAAAUGAGUUAUUGGCUGGAUGCUUAGCAUGGGGAGAUCCCUAUUAUGGAGUGCUUUGCAAACUUUUAUGAAAUUGCUUUAGCUACAGAGGCAUGUGCACAUGACAAUGUGAGCUGUGAGGCACAAGAGGGUGAUUGUAAAAGUUGUGAUAUACUACUUUGUAAAAGUUUCUUUUGUUAGGAGUUGGGUAGGGUUGAUUUUGUCUUUAACAGCUCUAUUUGACAAAGAUAAAUAGAUGUAGGGAAGAAAAAGUUAAUUGGCACAGGAGUUUGAAUGGGGCUUUUCUUUUUUGUGAAUCUCCUUCUCCUUUUUAGUUUGUCUCCCAGGAUAGAAAGUACUUUCCUAGCCAAAGAGGUGUAGAAUAUGUUGGUUCUGGAGUUGGCUGACUACCACUGUGCAUUGGAAAGUGGUAAUGGAUAUGUAGAACUUCUAUCUCUCUCUGGGUUAUGGUGGGUAAAAGCUCAGUGGAUUGAUGGACUGAUGUUUCAAAUACAGUGGCAUUGCCACAUGCUAUUUUGUGGUGCAUCUGGAAAAGAAAUUGGAGGCUUUUGAAGAAAAAGAGGUUUUUACAGUGAAACCAAAGUUGUAUAUCAGCAAAGCCCUUUCUUUGGAGUAGCACAGUAGGCUUUGGGUUCAUAGACUUCUUAGUUUCUUUAAAAUUCUGAAUUUUAUUUUCUAUUUUAUGUGUAUACCUUGCAUACAUAUGGGCUACUAACUCACACUCUUUGUUUACUUUAAUACGAUUUUUUUUUCUUUUGGUUUAAAAAGUAAAAAAACAAUUAUGAAUAUUUAUCUUCCUUUUGUAGUGCCAUCACUAAAACCUAUAUUUCAUCUAAUGUUGGUGACAGCAUAGCAGUAUCAUAUGGUUUUGAAACCAUUUACAUUCAGUGAUCAUGUGCAAGAGCAUGGAACAAUCCUAGACUAGUACCAUCCUAGGAUUUUUCAUUCUAGGCCCAAAAUCAACACCAAAACCCUUCCAAUGUAUUGGAUUGCAAUUGCAAAUAAAGUGGAGAGAAAUAUAGCCCUGAUGAGCUUCUCCAUACAUUGUAGAUUCUAUUAUUUUUAUUUAUUUAUUACAUUUCCAGCUGAAACCUGAGGUUGACAAAUUCUUCUGAUUUUAACACUCUUUUUUUGCUUUUGCUGGGGGCUGCUGGGCCGCAAUGGAUCACAUCAAUCAGCUGAGCGAUCAAGAGGAUCUUAUUGUAUGGAUGCGUACUGCAGCACUCCCUAGCUUCCGAAAGUUAUAUGGAAGAAUUGAAGAGGAUAUAGAUGCAGAUGAUGUUAUUGUUGUUCACCUCAGUAACAACUACAACACGUACAGUUUUGGUGGGAAGAAAAAGCUUGUUCUUUCCACAUCCUCUUGGUUGGGAGGAAAGAAUAACUUCCUUGGGAUAGCAUACAUUUUUGUUGGUUCUUCCUGUAUAUUCACGUCAAUUGUCUUCAUGUUGCUUCAUGUGAAAAACCCGAGGUAAAACUUCAUAUGUCCAGUAUGAAUGAUUGAAUUCCUCCCUUAUUCGUCUUUUGUUGCAUGAAAUUUAAAUACCAUAAAGAAAGUGCUGUUGACUAAUGUAAAAGGAACUUUAUAGGAAUGAGGACUCCCCCUCACCAGUGCCUAAGUUCUUAUUAGGUUAUUUGAUUGGGUGAAUUUUCAAAUGGCAAGCAUGGUCCACGAUGCAUUGUUAAUAGGGCUGUAACUUGGACUGGUUAAGGGUUAUUUGAUUGAAGCUCAACUUAAAUUAAAAAACAAUCAAUCUAUGUUCAACUCGAUCCGAAAGCUUAAUCGAACUUCAUUUUUCAAAACUAAGCUUGAGUCUGGAUUGAUUAAAUUAGACUUGGAUUUAUAGGAUUGUAUGAUUUGGAAUCCAUUUAUAAUGUUUUUUUUUUUUAAUUUUUUUUAAUUAUAUUUAUAUUCAAAUUUAAAUAAUAAAUGAGACAAAAUUUAAUAAAAUAGUAAAAAUAAAUUUAUAUAUAUUUUAAAAAAUAAAAAUAGGGUAAAAUAUUUGAAAAUAAUUAUAAUAUUAUUAAUUUGUAAGGGUUAAUUUCAUUGUCUCCCAUGAUAUUGAAAUAAAUAUAUUUAAUUUCUAUUAGUUUGAAAUUUCUUGAAGGCAUACCUACCCUUCUUAUUUGUUAUACCUCCCUUUUAAUUUAAAAUUAGGAAACUGAUUAAAUAUAUUUAAUCCAAAUUUUAUAGGAGUUGAGUGAAAUUUAUCUUAAUUUGUGAUGAAUUAUUAUUAUUUUAUUAUUUUCAUUUCUUAUUUUUUAAAAAUAAAAAUAAUUAUUAUUUAGCAUACUAUGAUUUGAAUAUUAUUUGAAUGGAUGCAUUAAUAUUUUUAAAUUUCACUUCUUAAUAUUAUAUAAAAAAAACAUUCUAAUUAAAUACUGUUAUAUUAUUUAAACAUUGUUAAAAGCUGCUUGAAGUGAUUAUUGUAAAAAUGCUUUUGAUCAUUUGAAUUAUACUAACAAAUAUUAGAGUUUAUUUAAAAAAUUUAUCAUUGAUCCCCGACAUUGUUGGACUCUUCUUCUUUUCUUUUUCGGAUUUUGUUUUUCUCAAUCUAGACAAAAAUGCAUAUGAUAAUAGAAAAAUAGAUAUAAAUUUUAGAAUUAAUACAUUUUUUUUCCCACAAAAAGAUAAUUAAUUUGAAAAUAAUUAAAUUUAAUAUUUUAUCCUAAAAAUAUUUUUGUAUCCAUCAAAUUAAUCUUUGCAUCCAUCCUAUUUACGCAUCUACUUAAAAAUAAUAAUUUUAUUAAUACAUUCACUUACAAUUUUAAAAGUAUUUAAAACAUCCUUCCAUUAUUCUUUUCCAUACUCUUCUUCUUCUCCUUCUUCCUUCUAUUUGCAACUAAUUUUCAACUACAAAUUAGAAGAAAAAAAUUAUGUUCUUUGAAGCUCAUUUGAUAAAAAAAAGGUAUUCGAAGUAUGUUCAUAGCCAAUUUUAUUUAUUUAUUUAUUUUUAUACAUUUUGUUUGAAUCCAUAUAAUAUAUCACAAAAAGAUCUUUUAAGAUUUAUUGUUUUGUCAUUUUUAACAUAAAACUUGUCGUAAAAAUAGUUGAAAAACAGUUAGGAGAAGUUUAGAAAUGAUUUUAAAGUAAGAAAUUAUGAAAAAGUGUGAUAGAAAUGGUUAAAAAAAAAAAAAAAAACCAUUCCAUAGUCAUUGGACUUGAAAGGUCAAAUAGUGUGGAAAGGUGUGGACCAAAAGUCUAGGUAUCGAAAAAAUGUUAAUAAAAAUAUUUAGACAUAAUAAAAAUAUUCUGACAUAUAAAGUAAGAUAAUUUGAUUAAUUUCAAUUAUUUGGCAAAUGAUACAUCCGAAACUAUUAGAUAUUUAUAAAAUACCCAACUUAUAAUGAACACCAUUUCCAAGGCAUUUUUCAAUUUUAACAAAUGUGAAAUACAAAAAUUAUUAUAAAACAGAUGAAUUUUAGUACUUUCAUUGCAGAUAAAGUUAUUUUCUUUAUCGAUGGAUGAGAAACACAACUUUCUUGAUCAAUUUUAUUAGGAUAAUAGAGAAAUUAGAAGAGAAGUUACAAAAGAAGAAAAGAGUAGUUUAAAGGACAAUUUUAUCCUAAAAACUUAUUAAAAGGGUGGACGAAAAAGACUAGCUUUAUGGAUACAAAUAUAAUUUCCCACUUCUGACACAUAUUUUUUGGCAUUAGCUUACAUUUUAGGGGUAUCCUCCCAUACUCAUGCAGUCCACAAGACCUGGUCAAACCAUUAAUUAAUGGUCUAUAUUUCGAAGAACCCCACGAGAUCUUUCUCUCCAGUUCCCCCUAUAUCACAUCAGCCAGCCUCUUCUCCUCCCAUCUCUCGAUCUGUUAAAAUCUUUGUAUAUAGAAACCAAUUAACAGAAGCUUUUUCUUCCAACAGGAAUGGAAAAAUAAGAGAGAUACAUGAAAAAUUGGGCUGAGAUUGCACCAGCCCUUCUCGUGUCUCUCCAAAAGUCUUCCAAUCCUCCUCCUAAGUUAGAGACCAUUGAAGAAGAGGGUGGUUCUCGAAGCUUGGAAACCAUGCACAAGCGCACAACGUUUCUUCUUCCUUUGAUAGUCUCCAUGGUUUUCUAUUUUUUGUUAUACAAAGAAGUGAAUUGGUGUAGAAAAUUUUUCCAUGAGAGGUGAGAAAGCUCUAUUUACUAUUUAGCUACUUGAAGGUUGGAGAUGGAGAAUGUUAAUAAUCAAUACCUAAAUCCUCAAGGUGAUCUUAUCCCAUUUAUUGUAACCAAUAUUAUGAAUUUUGUUUCAAAAGUAUUUUUCAAGAAUUUUACCAUUAUACCUUUUGCCCCCUCUUGUCCUCCCUCUUUAAAGGUCAUAUGGUUCGAUGGUAUUAAGAUGACGUUUGAUGAAACCUAAUAUUUAAUAUGUAAAAUUAAAUUAUACUGAGUUUAUAAGGUCAUCUUAAGUUAUUAAGUUGAUUUGUUAAAGUCAUUUUUAAUUUUAAAUUAUAGAAUUAAGGUAUUUUGUUAAAUAUGUUUAAUUUACUUUGAUUGUAUUUUGUUAUUGAAAAGUAUUAGGGGAAAAAUAUUAAGGAACAUAAUUUUCUUAUAAUUAGUUUUGUUAUGAAAAAUACAAAACAAAAAAGAAAAAUAGUUAAAAUUUCAUGUAUUUUUAAAUUAUUUAAUUUUUAUAUAAAAGAGGAAAAAUAAGUAAAACUAUUAAAAUAAUUUAUUAACUUUUAAAUCUAUUUUUUAUUAUUUAUCUUCACUUUUUUUUUUCUCUCUAAUUUUUCUUUCUAUUGUCUUUCCCUUUCCUUUUCCCAUAAAUUUUCUAAGAACUAUAUAUAGUUUUAUAGACAAAAUAGGAUAUGAGAGGAUGUAUAUAUCCUAAAAUAUCAUAUCUAAUUGAAUCAUUGAAUAUAAAAUACAUAUCUUAAGAUAUAAUUUUUAAUGAGAUACGAUAUUAUAAAUUAGCAUAUUCAAUGAGAUAUGUUAUAUUGUAUUUAUUUUUUUUAAAAAAAUAUUAUAUAUAUAUAUAUAUAUAUAUAUAUAUAUAUAUAUUAUUUUUCAAAGUUUAAAAUAUUAAUUAUAUUAUAUUUCAAUUUUUUUAUUUAAAAAAAAUGAAAUUUCUCUUACAUUUAACAAUAUUCACGAUUUAAAAUAUUUAAACUUUAUAGUAUGUUAUUCAAAAUAAUAUAUAUAUAUAUAUAUAUAUAUAUAUAUAUAUAUAUAUAUAUAUAUAUAUAUAUAUAUAUAUAUAUAUGUAACAAGUAUUAAAGUGUGUUUAAUAAUGAUUCUAAAAAGUGUUUCUAACUUAUAUUACUUGAAAAUUUUCAUCAUUUAAGUAUUAAAAAAAUAUUAAAAACACUUCUUAUAAUCAUUACUAAACGUACUCUUAAUCUUGUUCUAUAAUAUAUUUAAUAAAUAUUUUUUUUAGUUGUUCUUUUUUAAUCAUAAAUUUAAUUUUAUAAUAAAAAACUUUUAUUUUACAAACAAGUAAUAUAGAAAAAAAAAAUUGAAAAAAAAAUAAAUUUAUAAUACAUAAGAUAUUUAUGUUCUAUAUGUGAAAAUGAUAUAAAAAAGAGGAUGAAUGAUAUAUCACAUCACUUAUCUUAUCGUAUUUGAUUGAAUAUAAGAUAAAAUAAGUGAUGAGAUAACCUAUCCUAUCUCAUCACCAACCAAAUAUGAAAUAUGAUAUAAUAUUCUCUUUUUUAUAAUAUUUCAUACUAUAUUCAAUCAAUCAAAUAUGAUUUUAAUGAUCCUAUACUUAAAAAAUAUUUUUGAAGAAAAAUAAGAUGUUUGGAAAAAUUUAGGAUAUACUUUAAAAAAUUUGAAAAUUUAGUUGUAAUCUUGAAAAAUCUUUAGAUUUCUUAUUCUUGUUGUCUUCUCGGCACAAGCAUGAACUAAUAUUCUAACCCAUGAUUUUUCAUUGGAGAGGAGAAAUAAAUUCUAACAAUUGUUUUAUCAACAAAGCUUAUUUACCUACUUGGAAUUGGAAUACCUCUGCAUCCUAAUACAUCAUUGCCUCACACCUCAAACAGAUGGGGCUUUUGUUCACUUUCUAAGUCCAAUCUUUCCUUCUUUCAAUGCAAACAAAGAAGGUAAAAAAAAGAAAAAAAAUCAAACUAGAAGAAACUGAACUCUGGGCAUUCCAACUUCUCUUUACAUUCCUACCGAGAAAGAGGGAGAGCAGAGCAUGUCUUACAUGCAAUUCAACCUGAAGACAAACAAGUCCCACACCCAACUUCACCCUCAAAUUCUUGUGAUUCACCACCCACCUCAUGGCCUCUGGCAUUUCUGUUCUCUGCGGGCAAUUCAAUGUUGACACGCCCUCCACUUUCAGUCCCCUAAUACAAUUACUUUCACCAUAACAUCAAACCAGUCAUUUCAUCAAACACCAUUUCUAUACAACAACAAAAAAGACACUAAAGAAACAAGCACUGGAAGAAGAAACAACACCACCACCACCCUUGUCUUCAGAUCAUCCAAUCCCUCCGACCCUUCUUCCAAAAUGGUCUCUAACUUUGGACAAUUUGAAGAUCUCACCGGACAUAUCAACAGGGACGGUGCCACUUCCACCCAAUUCUCCACACAUCUCAUUCUCAGCUGCUUUGCCAUCUCAGCUAGUUUGAUCUUCAAGACCCUCUUGCAGAGAAAUAAUGGAGUUGGUAUAGAGAAAAUGGUGAUUUAAAGAUUACUGAGUGGUGACGGGCUUAUGGUGGGUGGCCUAAAUUUAUAGGAGAGGUGGUUGGGCAAUGGGCGAUAGAAAGUAGGCCACGUGAGUAACAUUUGAAAAUGUCUCGUAGCAGAUCACUAUACGGGUUGUUCAAGGGACAGCAGAGCAACAGAAUUGCAACUUCACGUGGCCCAAAGAAGGAGCGCACGUGGAUGGGGUGGUGCACGGGGUUUGGUCACAGCCUCACUGGUCUAUUUGGGAAGACACC